AAAAUUGGAGAUGAUUCCUUCUGAAUUUAGCAACAUUCCAACACGACAGAAGAUUGAGGCAUAUCGUUGUGGUGAAAAUGUUGAAAGUUCAGCUUUGCAAAUUCGAGAAGAGCAACUGGAGUAUGGUAACCAAGACUUUGAGGUGACAAUCAGUAAAUGAUCGUUACAUCAACCUUUUUUCCCCCCCUCCAGAAUUUACCUAAUUCCUUGACAUCCAACACUCACAUGGUGAGAAAAAUGAUACAACUCCCUGCUCCAUGUCAAUUGUCAGUUGUUCUUAUUCAUAGUAUUUUCUUUGUAAUGAAAGUCAAAUUUUGACUUCUAUGUAAAGUUAAAUAAUGGUUCUAUUGCAAAUUGUGCAAUAUUAUGGUUAAUAUGACAAGUGGUCGGAUCUUGAUCUCAACCUUGAAUAUUUUGCCUUGUUAUUUUCCUUUUAGGUCUUUCUCUACUACUGUAUUUUUCCAUAAUCAACCAUUAUAUGUGUGAAAUGAAAUUCAUUUGCUUUUAACUAAUUUAUUUUUUUUGCAUAAUACCCCAUCUAAACUUAGGAAAAUAUUAAAAUCAGCAUUACGUGUAAUGCGCUCGUUCUAGCAUUAUUUCAAACGUAAAGUAAUUAUAACAUUACCUUUUUUCAGCAAUAUCCCAAAACUUAGGGCCUCUGUUUUCGUUCAAGUUUCAUAAUGAUAAAUGUUUUAUUUAUUUAUUAUUAUUAUUAUUUUGAUGAUUGUUCUGCACCUUGGUGAGAUGCCACACGACAAUGUGCGACUCAAUCGAACUAGGCCAUACAAACUGACUUUCUGAUCCAAGUAGAUUAGGUAUAACUCCAAGUAAUCUACUUCUAGAGCCUAGUUCAAUCCAUUGCUUUCCAUUCCGAGUGAUUACAAAAAAGCUACUUGGAUUGUGAGUUUCUAGCCAUUGCUUGACAUUUAUUUGCCUCAAAUUUAGAUUGUCUUACUAACGGAAGAGAACAUAAGAAUUAUUUUGUCGAAUUCUUCAAAUUGAGUUGUCUUGCAUUUUUAAUAAUUCUCAAUUACCCACCAUUUGUUGCACAUCGGGAUAAAAAAAAAAAAGGAAAGAAGAGAAGUCGACUCUUCAGGUAUUCUGAAUUAUCUAAGUCAAAUAUUUCAAAAUGUUUGCACAAAUAGAAAAUCAUGUGCAGUUUUCAUGGCCUGUAAAAUUGACACACAUCUUCCAAACGCAAAAGAACGAGGUUACUAGCUUAAUUUGAAUAUACAAGCUUUAAGCUGCCAAAUUCACUUUUGCUCUUGGGGCAAUGUAAAACCAAAAUUUAAGGUACAGAUACCUCAAUUUGAUAGAAGAUGCUGCAGUUUCAGGUGAAGCUGUUGAAAAUCAAGAACCUUUAACAUAUGAAGAAGUCAUUGAUUGUUUUGAAUCAAAUUAGACUGCAAGUUAUGAGAGAAGAAAUAUAUUCUUCAAUAAAGAAUAAGAAUUGGACACAUGUGAAUAAACUUAAAGAAAGGGUCCCCCCUGCAAAUAGAAGGAAAGAUAUCAUAAAUCAAUGCUAACAAACGGCUAAAUGAAAGCAGGAACGCAAUCAACGUAGUGAAUGGUGGUGGUGGUAGAGAAAGAGGAAGAUGAAAUGAAUUUUUUUUAUCGUUUUAAUUUUUUAAUUAUUUAUUUGGGACUCAUUUGUAAUUUUUUGAAAUUUUUGGGACCAUGGUUGUAAUUAAUUUUUAUUUUCUUCUUUUUGUUUUAUUUAAAUUGGGGGGGAGAGGGGGGUGCAUAUUCAUCGUUUCAUAAUUUUUUAUUAAGAAAAUAGANNNNNNNNNNNNNNNNNNNNNNNNNNNNNNNNNNNNNNNNNNNNNNNNNNNNNNGAUUCCCUACUAGAUGUUUCAAACUAGGAUGUUUUGUGAUAUUUCCAAAAGAUAGGGGGUUUUCAACAAUUUUGUCAAUUGGUAAGGGGUAUUUUGUUGUUUGGCCUUUAAGAAAUAAUAAACCUCAUAUAAUUUGCUCAACUAAUAAGACUGUAAAAUUCGAAGAAAGAGGUAAAUAAACCUAGCGAUAAGGCUCAGCCAAUAAGACUGGUGGAUAAAAUUGAAAAAGGGAAAGUUUCAUAUCUAAGAGGUUAAUUAUAACACAUUUCAAAACUAAGAAACAAGUUUUAAAACUUUAAAAACCAGAUAUUAUUAAAACUUAUUUAUGAAAUAAUUAAUUAAAAAUAUAUUUUAUUAAUUAAAUAUCUUAAAAUCACAUUUCUAUAUAAUUUGAUCACAGAUUAUUGAAUUAAUUGGCCGUGAAUUAUUUUUCGAUCACGAAUAAAAUUUUUUAAAAGUCUCAAAUUAUUUCACAAUCACAAAUUAAAAAUAAAUAAAUGAAAUUGAGAAGGUGAAAUCACGGAUAUAUUAAAGAAAUCAAAUAUACCAAUGAUUAAAAAAAAAAAAACCCAAAGGUUGUUGGGGAAAAAAAACUAAAUUAAAAUCAAACAAUCAAUCAAUAUUCAAUUCAAGACACAAGAACAAAAACCCAAAUUGUAAAAUCGAAAAAGAUGAGAAGAUCAAAUCAUGGACAUUAAAGAAAGCAAAUGUACAAAUCGUAAAAAAAAUCCCUAAGAUCUACGACUAAAGAAGACUAAAUGAAAAUAAAACCAUCAAUUGAGAUUCAAUUCAAGGCAUAAGAACAAAAACCUAGAUUGUAAAACCGAAAAAGAAAAAGAAAAAACAAACCACAUUGAAAAUGAAAAAGAAUCUUGAAAAUUUUGUGCGAGCACACUUCAAAGAAAAUUAAAAAAUUAUUUUGACAUGAAAAAUAUAAAUAACAAAAUACUAAAAACUCACCAGCUAAAAUCACUUCGAUUUUCAAGAAAACAGAAAGUUCCAACUCUCUCUUCUAAAAAAUAGAUCUAAACUUUGAUAGAGAGAAAUAUAAAUGAAUAAAUUCGAGUGUGAGAAAUUGGAACUAAGCGCCAAUAAAGUAAAGAGGCAUGGGUCUAGAGUAAAGAAUAACUAUCGUUGCGUGGAGUAAUGGAGAAAAAACUAACAGAAGACAAUUAAAUGGAUUAAAAUACGCAAUGAUGUGGUGCUUAAUCUUAAGAAAUGGCUUCAAAUAUGCCUUCUUUUGGUCUUAAAAAGAGAAAUUUGGUUAAAAUAUGAUGUCAGCAUUACAUCAUGAUGAUGCCUCAUGAAUAGGAAUGAACUUUGCCCUUUUAUAUAUUGUAGGGAUUUUAACUUGAGAAGAAGAUGGUGAUCCAUUGGAAAAGGAUCUCAAAGAAUUUGAUGAUCUCAUAACAGGACAAAUAGAUUCAGAGAGUGCAGGCCAAGCAAAUCAAGUAUUGAUAAAAACAGAACAUAAAGGCUUAUAACUCGAGUCGAGAGAACAUAGAAGCUACUCCGUGUCACAAAAAGAACAUAUAAACUGCAAAAUAAAUUAGCGUGUCCAACCACAUUAACAAAACUUCAAGAACAUACUUCAAAUAGAAAUGAGCAAAGAACGGAGAUGUGAACAAUGAUACAGUUUUACAUCACACCACACAAAUUCAUGUCGAUCAAAAAUGUUUCACAGCAAACUCUGUUGAUAUAGAUUCAAAGCAACAGAAAUCAGAUAAAAAGAAAUGGAAUGGACAUAAGGGUUUUGGCAUGUUGAAAGGAUCACAUAGCAGUUCGAAUAAAUCAAAUAAACAGAACAAACCCCUAAAUUAAACAAAAGCACUAGAAAAUUUUAUUGGACUUGAAGAAAUAGAAGGCAGUGAAGGUCUUUGGAGAAAUGCCAUGGCUUCAUUGUGACGACGGCGACAAUUAUAGAACUGAUUACAGAAAAUGAGCUCGAAUCUUGCAUCAUCUUGUUCUGUAAUGGUUGCAUCUAAAAUAGUUUCAAAUAAUUAGAAAUUUAUCAACUUUAUACUAAAAAAUUCAAAAUCAUCUCAGAGAUUAAAGAUCGAAACUAUAUGCAUAUAUAUAGAAAAAUAUGGAGUAAAUUUAACCAAUAAUCACUGAACUUUACACUUCAUUACUACUUGCUCACUCAUCUUUCACAAAUUACUGAAUGCUCACUCAUCUUUUCAUAUAAUUUCUCAUUCAUCACUCGUCUUUUCAAAUAAUUGGGUGACUUUUGCGACAACUUUUCGACAACUUCCGACCACAAAGAAUGUCGAAUUUUGAUACCGUUGGAAAGUCCACGAUGUCCUCUUCAAUUACCACCCAAAAUCUCAUUAUAAUUCCAAGGGAUUCGAUCGGAAAAUUGCCUUAAAAGUCGUCCAAAAAUUCUGAAAAUCUGCCCAGAUUUUCAGAUUUUUUGGGCAACUUUUAAGGCAAUUUUUCGACAACUUUCGACCAUCAAAACUAUCGAAUUUUGAUACCAUUGGAAAGCUCACAACGUCCUCUUCAAUUACCAUCCAAAAUUUCCCCAUAACUCCAAAGGAUUCGGUCGGAAUAAACUCACAAAGUCAGCAUCCUGAACUUUGUCCAGAUUUUCGUCUUUUCAAGAUGCUGAUUUUGUGGGUUUAUUCCGACCGAAUCCUUUGGAGUUAUGGGGAAAUUUUGGAUGAUAAUUGAAGAGGACGUUGUGGGCUUUCCAAUGUAUCAAAAUUUGAUAGUUUUGAUGGUCGAAAGUUGCCGAAAAAUUGCCUUAAAAGUCGCCCAAAAAAUUUGGGCAGAUUUUCAGAAUUUUUGGGCAACUUUUAAGGCAAUUUUUCGAUCGAAUUCCUUGGAGUUAUAAUGAGAUUUUGGGUGGUAAUUAAAGAAGAUAUCGUGGGCUUUCCAACGGUAUCAAAAUUCGAUAUUCUUUGUGGUCGGAAGUUGUCGAAAAUUUGCCGUAAAAGUCGCCCAAUUAUUUGAAGAGACGAGUGGUGAAUGAGUAUUAUAUGAAAAGAUGGGUGAGCAUUCAGUAAUCUGUGAAAGAUGAGUGAGCAAGUAGUAAUGAAGUGUAAAGUUCAGUGAUUAUUGGUUAAAUUUACUCGAAAAAUAUGUUACAAGAAAACUAUAUUAAUCAUGGGGAAAAAAAAAAAAAAAAAAAAUAGCAAACACAUGCAAUGUCCUCCAAAUUUCGAUCCUCAUGUAUUGAUCACAAGAAUAUAAUAGAACAAGGGUUAAAAAGAGAGCAAUGACAUAUGCCAAUACAAAUAUUUUAUUCCAUUUAUGAAGAAACGGCCUGCAAGGAUCUAGAAUUUCCUUCCUAGAUCCUACAUUUUGGCCCGAAACCUAUUCAGUGAGAACGAUUCCAAUCCUUCUAUAAAACUUUUAGUUCUUUCAGAAGCAUCUCCAACCCUCUGUGUAAUUUGUCUACAACACAGUUCAACAUUGAUCUAAGUUUGGUUGGUUUCGCUCCAUCUUCGGUAGGAGAUUGCCGCUUGAGCUUUUUACAGAUUCCAAUCCUGAAACCUGAAUUAGAAAAAAAACUAAGAAUCUGAACAUAAAAAUGCAUGAGAAGUAAAGUGAUACGUCAACUGUUGCAGAGGAACAGAACUAAUAAGAACCAAAAUACAUAGAAAAAUUUCCACGACGUAGUUGGAAGGCUAUAAUGCUCCAUUCGAUAAGCAAGGUAUGGUAAAAUUUAGCGUGGGAGCUCAUGCAUAAAGAUGGUUUUUCAAAGCAUUUCUUUAAAAAAGAACCACCUGGAAUAUCCAUAGAAUUACCACAAUUACCCAAUAGUGAUUGACCACUCUCCAAUCUAUCAAGAAACAAUACACGUGUCAAAGACAAGAAAGAAGGUCUAGGUUUUCCAAAACAUUGCAAUUGAUUUCUUCUGCAUAAACCUUGUGAAACUUUGCUACCUCAAAUUGACUCAAGGAAAAGCAAAUGAUAAGGGCCAUCGAGAACUAACCUCCUAAACCUAUUUUGCCGAAAAUUUAUCAUUUUAGCUCACGUGAGAAUCUGUGGAAAGACAUAUCUACUACUAAACUAUUGAAAAAAAGGAAUUCAUGGAAAAUCUUCUUAUGAUUGAGUUGAUCAAGAUAAAGUCCUGGAGGAUAAUCAUUACAACCGACUGAUUAUGUUGUCUUCCAUAAUUGAAUCAUAAAAAAGUAAAUAACCUACGUUUCAGUCAUCUAUUAACCAUGAUAGUGGAAAUUGUACAUUAUCUGAAGCAAGUCAAGUAAAAAAUUACGGCAAAAAAUGGAUAAAAAAGUGUAAGGCAAGUAAAUAACAAAACCAAAGUCCAAAUUAGACAAUUCUCAAAAUGAGAAUAAAAUCGCAAUAAGCCUUUGUUCGUCAACCAUUCUACCACAUUCUACCGUAUUAUUUUUCUACCGUACUCAUUUUCAACCACACAUUCUUCAUUAAAAUAAUAUUACACAUAAAUUAAUAAAAAAUUCAUUCUUUUUUAACCACACAUUUUAAACAUCAAUCACUAUUCCAUAAUACACUUUUUGAAAUUAAAGGGGCACAAAUAGGCCUAAGAAAAUAAUCAAGCAACUCCUCAAAAUGAUAUUAUUGUCAAAUUAAAACCAAACAAACAAAAAUUUCCAAGUUUCAAGUUGUUGAAUAAGACUAUAAAUUGACUUCAAUGAACACAUUUUCUCCAAACCUCACAGAAAGAGUAGCUAAAAAACAAUUGAAAAAUUUCCAUAUUAAUUAAAAACGUGCAAAUCUAACCAUAAAAAUUAUGAUUCUUCCAAAAAGAAAAAAAAAACUCACCAGUCUUUAAAAUAUGAGUAAGAAAAGUUCAUUGUGAGGGGAAAAAAAAAAUGAAACUUGCGUAUAAAAGUGGUGAAAGACUGUGACAAGAAAAAGACCACAUGCUAGAGAGUGAAAAAACAAAGGAUAAAACACUACUCAAAAAUAUGGCUUCAGGCACGGAUUUCCCGUUCUUAAAAUCUUGAUAUCCGUUGCUAUUACUUUUUACCAACGGAAUAUUUGCAAUCACAAAUUUGUUGUUAAUUUGAGGACCACUGAUAAUUACCAAUGGAUUGUGCCGUAGGUAAAGAGUAAACAUUUUACCAACGAAAAUUUCGUUGGUAAUGUGUGAAUUUUUUACCAACGGAAUUUUCGUUGGUAAAAAUCUUAACCAAUACCAAUUGACUUUCCGUUGGUAAAUGUAUACCAUUUCAAUUUGUAAAAAUAAAUGUUGGAAAUAGUCAUAUAGGUGUGAGGCAUGAUAAAAAAAAAAUUAUUUACUUAUUUUUUAUUAUUGUUAUUAUUAUUUAUUUAAUAAUUAUAAUUUUUUUAAAACUUUUAAACAAUUGAAUUGAAAAGCCAAAAUAUUGUUUAACCACUUAUUGGACCACAAAUUUAUAGAGGACAAUUCCAAAGAUUUUGUUGUAAAUUUUCGAUGUGGGAUAAUUGAAUUACUUUUACCAACGGAUAAUCUAUUUUUAAUUACCAACGGAAUAUCCGUAGGUGAAAGAUUCAAAUGUUAAACGGUCAUAUUAGGCACAGAAUAUCCGUUGGUAAAGAGAUAUUAUCAUUAUCAAUGGAAAAUCCGUGGCUGAUUGUCGUAGUUGAAAGUAAAUUACUUUUAUCAAUGGAUAAUCUGUUUCUAAUUACCAAAGGAUUGUUUCCGUUGGUAAUAUUUGGUACGUGACAGAUCCAAAUGUUAAACGGUUACAUUAGGCAUGAAAUAUCUGUUGGUAAAAGAAUACUAACCAACGAAAAAUUCGUUGCUGAUUAUCGUAGUUGAAAGUGAAUUACUUUUACCUACGAAUAAUCCAUUUCUAAUUACCAACGGAUUGCCCGUUAAUAAUUUUCCAUAGGUGAAAAGCUGUUUUUUAGUAGUGAAAUGAUGCAAGGGGAAAAAAUAAUGCAAAAAUUUAUAUACACAUUUAUGACUUUAGGACGAUGAUUUAUGAAUAAUAACCUAUUUUGUUCUUUUAUAUAUUGUAAGGAUUAUACAAUUAGGAAGAAAAAAUGCAGUAACUAAGUUUUAAAUAAAGAUAAAAGUGUCUAUAAGAAUAUAGUGAAUAGUUAUGUACAAAGAUGUCUUUGAAAUUCAUAAGUAAAAAGGAAUCUAUAAAUUCUAUCGAAACAAAAUCUAAAUUUGCCUAGCUUUAAUUUAAGGCUACCUGAAGUGAUUUGCACAAGUGAUCGAAUCCAGAUGUAUUCAGUCAACUCAUGUUCUAACUACGAAAUUCCAACUUGUUGUUUCCAAAAAAUGACAUUUUUACAGAGACCAGAAACUAUAAAGCAUGACACACCAAAUACAUCAUCUAAUUGCCAAGGGAAAAUAACCAAAUACGGUGAAAGAAAAGACUCCCUAAUUUGAACUACUACACCUAAAUCUUAAUCUAAUAAAUCCUAUCACCUAAUUGGACCGUGAUUGCAUUUGAUGCUUUAAGUUUAUUAUUUAAUUGUACAAGAAGUCAGUCACAAGCAUGGAUAAAUGAGGGGGAUUGUGCUAAGUUCAUGGUCAGCACAAAACUUUGUCAACUUUACAUGAAUACUUACAAAUGUGCUGAACUGAGUGGCAAUAGAGUACUAAUGCAACUCACUCUAAAUUUAUUAACCAGCUAAAAUCAUUUCGAUUUUCAAUAAACGAGGAAAUUUUAAUUUCAUUUCUCAAAAACUGAUAAACAAAUUAGAAAGAUCUAAAUAAAAUAACACCAAUAUAAGCAUACAAUAAUGACCAUAAUACUACAUAUAAAUCAAGAAAUUCAGAUAUGGAAAAUUCAGAAAUUCUGCUUAUUGAGUGUGACUUCCAAAAUAUCCCCCCUCUGAUCCAUAUUUUGUUCUUGCACCAUUUCGUUCACAUUAAACAAAACCAACGAUGACACAUUUUUCCUGCAUAAGUUAAAAAAGAAAAUAUUAACACCCAACAAUGUUAAUCGUUUCAAGUUCAUGUAUUGCCUUAUCCACUUAUCUACAUACUAACAUCAAAUCCCCUUCACCAUCAUCAUUGUCAGAGUUCUUGGCGGCACAUAAUAUCUUAAAAGUUAAAAACAAACUGUUAAUUGAUUGAGCUUCAUCCAAAAUCACGAAAUGUACAUAUAAUAAAUAUAAAUGAAAAGCUAAAUAUACAAGUAAAAUCAAGGCAUCGAUUCACAUGGUAAAAUAAAAAAUAAAAAUAAUAACCCAUCCAUGACAUCAUCACUGGUAGAUAAACUGAACCUUAAGCAAUUAACAAUAUUAGUAGGCUAGAAAGGAAUUUGCAACUUAUUUUCAGUUAUUGCUUCAGAAACCAAUUAAUUGGCAUACAGUUACAACUUUGGAACUUGCUUGUAAAAGGAGAAAUUUUUCAUUGCUCUUCCCUUGUGAUAGGAAUUGUUAUUCAAUUAUCAAUCUCUCUUAUGUAAUCGAUAUUUCAAAGUUCCACCAAAGCUAAAAUAAUUCUGUUCGCAGAAGUUUCAAACUCUUUCUGUUAGACCAUUGAACAAUUACCAGCAACUACAACAUCAUUUUAUUUCUUAUGAAGUGUUGUAACCUCCUGAAAAUUUUAGAAUAAAAAAAUAUUUAUGUUAUAUAUAUUAUAUAUUUACAUUUUAAAGUUGAGGACUAAAAUGAAAAAUGUUUUAAAAUUAUAUUUUAUUUGGGUCAAAUAAUUAAAUUAUAAUAGAGUAAGUAUAAAUAUAUCAAUAUUAUACUGGUUGGAUAGAUCCUAAUUAAUUAUGUAUACUAGGCUAGAGAAAAAAUCAAUUCGAAAAAGUUAACUCUAAGAUAUUUCAAUUAGAAGAGGUUGAAAAAAAAAAUUUAUUAAUUUUCGAAUUUAAUUAAAACUCGGAAGUCCAGCCAAGGUGUUUUUUUUUUUUUUGGGGGGGGGGGGGGGGGGUUUUCAUAGGAUAAGUAAUCACUUGACAUGAGUAGGGUAGGUGGUAGAUAAUGUACCUUUAUAUGAUUUAUUGCUUUUGUUUUGGGAAUUGAUAAGAAUUGUCAAGUAGCCUUAUUUUAAUAUUAUUUAUUUACCUUGAUUUUGGGAAUAGAUAGAGAUGUUUUGACACGGUAGAAAUCUUUGCACUUUUCAAUUAGGAUAAAAGGCCAAUUGUAAUGCACUAGAACUCCUAGUUACUUUAUUGUUACCCAAUUAAAUUAGAAUAGUAGAAAUCUCAAAAUUUAUAGUUGAAAUAGUACGAAACAAAUCAUACAUUUUGCUUAUGGGACACGGCCAUUCUAAUCCUUUUGCUGUAAAUGUGAUAAUUACCUUACCUAUUGGUUAGAAAUAAUUAAUUUAAAACAAUUCAAAACCCAAUCAUCUAUCACUAUCUUCCAUUUUCCUAUUUUGUUAAAUGAUUAAGACUUAUCUAAACAGAGUUCUGAUGUAAUUAUACUAAAAGAUUUUGGCUUAUCACAUAUUAUUGAUAAACCUCAACUAGCAUGCACGUAUUUUUGCAAUUUCACUUUCAUAGGGACUCUGCCCUAUUUAAACCCUGCAAAGUCAAGUUGAAAGUACACACUAUUUCAAGUAGAAAGAAAUUUUUUAUCAGAAAGUUUCUUGAAUCAAUUAUUACAGUUAAUCAAUAAUCUUUCACUAGAGUAGAGGAAGGAAUUUUGGAACGUGCAUUCAAAUACUUUUUCUAUAUUUCAACAACGAGGUAAGAUGCAUAUGUGCAAAUUGUUUUCAUUUCUAUAUGCUUUUAUAUGCAAUUAAAUAUGCAUGUAUUGCUAGUGGACCCUUCGGAUUCUAUAUAAAGAGAGAUGAAAUACUACAGGAUAUAAGAGGACCUAAGAUAGAUGUGUCGCUUGGUCAUCGCUAUACUCCAUAAGAGUAGAGUGGUAUGAAAUGUAGAUUUUAUUGUUAUAUAUCUGUAUAUGAAAACUGCACGUAUCCUGCUGGGUGUUUUGAAUACUCACUCUUACAAAUUUUACAGGUUAGUUCGGGUCGAUUGGAACAGUAACGAAAUGGUGAUGCGGACUGCAAAGUGGAUCAAAGGAAAAGAAAAAGAAAUAAGUUUGCUGUCUUUAAAUUUACCAACUAGUUUAAUUUUGUUUCAGAACGUGUUAUUUGAAUUAGUUAGGAGUUUAUGUUAUGUUUAGAUACGAUUUCCAUGAUUUAAAUUUAAAUUUUUAAAUGUUACAGUUAUUUGUUUAAUGAAGAAUUUUAUUUUUUAUAGUUCCGCAUUUAAAAUAAAGAAAAGUGAAUUUUUUUUUGGUAACGUUCCGACGUUUACCGAAAAUUGGGGCGUUACAAGUAGGGGCGAAUCUAGCAUCUAAGUUUAGAUAGGUCGGAGCUUGACCGUUGACCGUCGACAAUCAAAAUCGUAAUAGACUUGUCCUUAUUAAAAUUUGAUUAAAUGAUAUUAAAAAUUAUUCAAAUAUAUGUAAAUGUACGAGUUGUAUACUAGUUUAGUAACUCGAUUAGAUUUUCUCUAUUAAGAGACUUGUUCGAUUCAUCGUGACCACAAAAUGGCAAUCCUUAAAAAAUCAAUUAGAAGUGAUUAAAAUUCAUAAUUCUUAGACUCUCAGCAAUAAGUCCUAAUUUCCCUUAUCCAGUAAACAUCAUCGCAUCAAACAACACUCAAGAGUCUCAACUCAACUCUCAACAGACAAGUGAGACAACAAAUCAACAAUUCAAGCUCUUAAACACAUUUGGAUAUGAUUAUGUUCUCGGGGGAGCAAGAUGCCAUAUUGCGAAUUUGAACACCAAAACAGAGCAAAGGAAUACAUUAAAGAAAGAAUUUGACUCAGGCAACCAAAAAAUAUCCUAAUCCUUUACCCCCAAAAUUUUUUUCCUGUAAUUAAAUUGUAAAUAAAACUUAAACCAACUAGUCCAACAAAAACAAAAUCCCCAAAACAAAAAGAGAUUCUGAUUUCGUACUUCGCAUAAAACAGACAACAAAAACAUGGAAAUGGAUGGGUUUGCAGUUGCACAAUUAAAAAAAAUCAACAAUACAACAGACAACAAAAACAAUUUGACUCUCCAUUGAAUUGCAAGCUGCUUGCUUGGGCCUUGGAGACUCGAAGUCGCACUUUCUGAUUUCGCACUUCGCACAUGGUGACAUGGUCCACGAAUAUACACAUCGCAAAUCGCAGGCGCAGCUACAACUGCUUCAAAUGGAAAUGGAAGGGUUUGAACUUUGCACUUUGUGUCUUUGGCGGUUUCAAAUUAUGACUUCGAUUGGAUUAUUGGAUUUGGAGUUUGGACCAUUUCCAUAUGUUGUUGAUUUGGGUUAGAUACUGGAUUGAUUCAUUGAUUUCCUCAUUGGGCCUAAUCUUUUAAACAAAAUGAGGCCUAUUCUAUCAUCAGCCCAAAGAAAAAGUAAAAUAAAAUUUGGAACUCGUCUUUUUCCCUUCCAAUUCCGUCUCUGGUUCUCUGCAACUGCUGCGCCUGCUCCUGGUGGCAACUGGACAUUCUGGCGGAUCUAGCACACCCAGCUGCGGGUGCUCGCCAAGAGCUGGAUCCACCACUAGUUACAAGUGCCUUUUACCUUGAACGAACUCGUCUCAAAUCAAUGAAACACUACAUUUAGUUCUUAUACAGAGAGAAUAUAAAAUUGAUAUGAGAAAAAUGUAAAUUAAUUUAAGAAAUAAUAAUUUUAUUUAUUUAUUUAUUAUUAUUAUUAUUAUUAUUAUUAUUAUUAUUAUUAUUAUUUUUUGUUGGGUUCUAUUAGUACUUCAUCAUUCUGAGCAGUAAAACAAUGGAUAUAAGCGCUUACUAGGAACAAAUUAUAGUAGUAACAUCCUAUUGUUAAUAUCCAGUUCCACGAGACAAGGGAUCCCAUUCCAAGAAACCAAGAAACCAAAAUUGCCUUGUAUUUUGCCUGAUACAAAAGUUAAUUUUCCUGUAAGAAUUUUAAUGUCUCAAAAAAGAUUAAACAAAAGAAAAUAAUUAGAAGAACCUCAAGCCUGCUUGAACUUGGAACUCCAAUUGAAUCAAGAUUAGUCAGGGUUGCCCAUCUUCUAUUCAUACUGCAUAAUGUACAGAAGAAAAUAAAGCCAUGUUUGGUAGGGAUUUUUUGCCCCAAAAAAUUAAUUUUUUGACCGUUAUUUUACUAUUCAAGCCGUAGUUUUUGACUUCUUAUCUCACAUAUGGACCCCAUUUUUCUUUUAACGGUCAAAAAAUCAAUUCUCAAAAUCCCGACCAAACGGGCCCUAAGUAUAAUGAAUGGGAAAAAUGCCAAAUCUCAAAAACAGCAGGGAAAAUACUCAGAAAUUUACCAAUUCUCUAGAAGAAAAUGAAAACCUAGGUUGAAUGAUCAAGAAGAGCAUGUAAUAUGAACAAAGAAAUGAACCCUUAUCAAGAUUAAGACAUGGACGGACUAUUGUUCUUGGAGGGUUUCGAGUGGAUGUUGACUGCUGAAGUAUGAAAAAGAGAUUCAGGUAUGGGCCUGAUAACGAGGCAUGGGUCUAACAUGGAAAGAAGAAAAAGAAAAAGGAAAACAAAUUAAAAUUAAAAAAAUUUGACAUCAGCAUGAUGCGUCAUGAACAGUUGCCAAAGUUUGCUCUUUUAUAUAUUGCGGUGAUUUACUAAAAUUUUGAUUUUAAUCACUAUCAAACAGAGGCUAAGUACUUGUUCUCGGAUCCAACAAAAUAUCUAAUAAACUAGUAUAGAUCCGUGUUGAAUGGUAAGAAGGUCGUUUUGCUCGUGAUUUGGUAGAUUUUUGCCUUCAUUGACGUCUUCGGAUGAAGAAUUGUGAUUUCCGAAGUGGGAAUAUCAUAAUCACCUUUCUAAACUUGAAUUAAACUACUUUGCCCGAAAUUUUUCGACAUAAUGGUUGAUAUCCUCUCACAUGCACAUGGAUUCCACGUGAAUAAAAAAGUCCAAAAAAUUUUGGGCCCCCUCCCAUUGUGUCAAACAAAUUCGGGGCAGCAUAGCAUGAUUGGCUUGCUGAAAUUUUCUACUUUCACUUUGUUGAUGCAAAAGAUUUAUUAAGGUUCAUCUCAAUGGAAGAUUACGUCAUCUUCAACCGUUGCAGUAAUUCAAUAGGAUGAAAUGAAGUUUACAAGAGAAUUGCACACCUAUCUUCUCUUACCUCUAUUUCUCUCUUUUAUGAGGCCAAAUCCGCACUGGCUACAUAUAGAGACAAUAAUUAAACUCUACAACUACAAACCCAUGUUCAUAUCAAACAAAAAAGGAUAAUAAAAUCGUAUGAUUUGGAGAACAUUAAAUUGCAAAUUAUAAAUAGCAACCCAGAAGAGAUUCUCCACCUAAAACAAGGUUAUUUCCCAUUACAACUGAACCAUUUUCGAACUAAGCUUAUAGUUCAGUUAAUAUGAUUUAUCACUUAUCAGUAUAGUACCAAUACACCAAAAAAUAAUAAUAAACAAAUAAAUAUAUAAAUUCUCCUAACAAAUUCUUAAUAUAUAUUAAAAAAAUUCAAUAAAAAACAUCCAGAUAAAUUGCAGUUGCAGCAAAAAAUAUGGAGCAAAUCAGAAAAAUGUAAAAAUUGACACUUCCAGAAUAGGAACUGUGGUCGUUGGUGCCAGCAGGAGCAGACAAGCACGAGGGAGGUCAAGAGGUUUCCAUCAGGCUGCUAGUUGCUGUGUCUAUGCUGAUUGCUGGAGCCGGUACUGACUCGCCAUGGGGUUGGUAGGUUUUAGGAUAGUUUAAAACCAAGGUUAAGGCCCAACCUCCUUGCUGGACAACACAGUAGUCCAAAUAAAUACACUGAACAGAUAAAAACUCCACAAUAACACUUCAUUUUUAUAACUAACAAAAGAGGAAUUUGAAAGUGAUCUACAUCUAAAAAACUUCAUGAAGUUACUUUAACUUCGAGCCCUUAUUUGGGAAUUUCAUAGGACUCAGAGAGAUUUGUGGAGAUUUCUUAUAUUUACAGAGCCAAUUUCUAAGUCUCCGGAGAAUUUGGAGAAACAGUAGAAAAUAAUAAGAUGAUUCGAUGAGACAGAAAUGAGUCAAAAACUUAGGAGACUUAAAAGAGUCAAAUAUUUCAACACCCACCCCAACAUUGGGUACGGUCACAUGGUACUAACUAAACUUCUUCCCAUUGAUUACUCAACUUUAGGGUGUUGCACUCCAUCACUCAUCAGACAAAUUUCAUUUCUCUUUAAGACUACAUGGAUCACAGAACACCUAUGUGGCGGUUAACACGGUCAAAAAAUUAAAAUCAAAUGCUAGUGCAUGAAAUUGCAAAUCCGAAACACGCGUCAGCCAAAUAAAAUCAUAAUAUGCCUUCUUCAUUCAAAACCCCAAAGCUUUAAACUCCAAAUCCUUCUAAACCCUGACCCCAAAUCGAUUCUGCCCCCACAAUCGAGGCCCCACUCAAAGGACCACAAAGCUUGGAUUUUUGAAGCCGUGCACAUGGAGGUAAUUCCCAAACCUUUUUUUUUUCUUCUUCUUUUCUGAGUUUUUGCUUUCCUGAUGCGUGAUCCACAAGAUCAAAUCAACCGAUGCUUUCAUUUGGUGUAUUGUACUUAUAGCCUCUUCCCCUAGUGAAUUGAAUAAAGGAAGUAUUCAAUGCCAAAGAUGAUACGAUAUGAAUUUUUCAAAAAGAUAAAGGUUGUGGGAUUGCCUGUGUAGCAAUAGAACUUGUUAUUUUUUAUUUCAAAAUAAACCCAGUUUGGAGGAUGAGACAUUCAGGAAUCUACGAUGGAAUGCUUGUAUGUAUAUUUGGUGGUUUAAAAAUAUUUUAGAGUUUUAAUUUUACUUUGCUUCCAUUUAAAGAAGGAUUUUAGGUUCUUCCCGGAUACUUGUGAUUUUUUUGCCAUUCUCUGCUGAUGCUGUUGAGAAAUGAAGUUUGUAAUGUAUCAUUUGUUUGCCUUAUCCACACAAUGCUCAUCAAAGUUGCAACAAGUACCUAUUGACUAAUGUUUUUGGAGAAUAUGAGUUUUGAGUUCGAUUAUUUGUAGUGAGCUAUACUUGGAAGAUACGUAUUAUAAAUGGUGUCAACCCCAUAUGAGAAGUAUUCCAUUUGUUAAAUCUAAUUGAAUUUGUAACAGUCUUAAUGGAACGAAUAAUUGAAGGAGUAAUGCUUUAAAUUUUUGCAAUGGCAUACACUGGAGCUUGAUUGAAUUUAAGGAAAUGAGAGGUGUUUUUGAGGUGGGAAAGCACACGAUUGAUAUGCGCUGCAACAACAUUGAAUAAAUAUUUCCGCCCUCAGAUAAAAAUGGUGCCGGAUAGAGGGAAUGGAGCAUCAUCGAGCCAACCACAUGAAGAAUAACAAAGUUUCCCGUUCAUGGGCUUCCUCGCAUAUGGAUGAGAGUAAUGAUGGAGGACAAUCUUUUGAAGCUCAGGUGGCGACUGAGCAAACUGGGAUCUUUAACGUUUUGUAAAACUGAAAUGGGGGCUUUAGCUUUGGGAUACGACACGUUUGAUUGUGCUUUUGGUUGUUUUAUUUGGUGUUCCUGUUUAACUAGGAAAAAAAAAUCUGUUUUGCUUAUGAACAACAGCUAUGUUUAUUUUGGCUUUAAUCAAAAUGAAGUCUAUUUCAGAAAUAGGUAAGGCGUAAUGCAUUGAAUUUGAAUAUGCUUUAAAAUAGUUGAAUAUUAAUCAAAGUUAAUCUGCUUUCUUUUCAGAUUUUUGAAGAAUGUCCUGCUGUAGUAAGCUUAGCCACUCUCAAAUGCCUGAAUUUUCAUUGAUUCAGUUCAAGAUGUUUUAAAGCCAUAUUCAGUACCAGAGUGAAAUUGUAUAUAAAAUUCAUUAUGGAAAUUACUUUUUCAAAUUUUUACAUGUAAUAUAUCACUGCAACUUAUAGUUUAUCCAACGACCUACAUUAGUGUAUUAGAACUAGAACAUCCACUUGCUUUCUAAUUUUCUCGACUGAGCUGGGUUUGUAGAUUCAUCCAACUCAAUGUUAAAAUAUAUAAUUAUAUGUGUUACUUAAAAGCAGUAAACAUAACUUCUAAGUCCUGAGAUCAAUGCCAUUGCAGAAAGUACCCCAAACAAGGUUCACAGAAUCACACUUAACAAUACUAGUGCAUACAACUUAUCUUGAAACAACAUAACAAACAAAACUUACACUGAAGUAGCAAGUCAAAAUAUAGUGCAUACAUAAUAUGCAAAUAGAAACCAUGAGCCCUUUAACUUAUACUCCAGAGCAAAUUACAUAAACAUGACAAUUGUAAGAUCAGUCUUUUAAGUAAUAGCAUGGAUGGAACAAAUUAAUGGAUCUCUUCCCUUUUGCUUCCCAUUUUCCGUAUUUCAUUUUUCCGUGUGGUUAGUUAUAUUGAGGAAUAUCUUCAUGUCAUGUUGUUCGGAUAUUUGAGCAAAAGUUUUGAAUAUACGCAACAAAUCUUCAAUUGGAUCUUUAGACUUAGAUUUACUCAAACAUACACAUCCUGCUUUAAUUUUGAUGUAAACACCACUAGAAUAACCUUUAAUUUGCAAAUUUUUGAAUUUAAUUUAAUUUUUUAUUUUUAGGUCAGACAAAACAUCACUGCACUUGAAAUACCCACAAUUACUACUACAAGAAAAGAAUAACCACCCUAUAUUUGCAGUAUUCUUUUCCACAUCUAUCCAUUUCACUAAGCCGUCGCCACAGCUUGGGGCAUCAUUGCUUUUUUGGGCAUUCCAACAAAUGGCUGUCUACAUCUAUGUCAAAUCUCCUUGUUCUUUCCUGAUAUUGAAAAGUUUUAUUGCAGCCAUUAAAAUUCAGUACACAUAAGGUGUGAGAAAUUAAGUAAACACACUGUUGGCAAAUUUUGAGCAUUAAUCCAUCACCAACAAAACAUUACUGAAAGUUUAAAUUUACUGAAUAUUUAAACCUAUCGUGCGGAAUUAUACAAUUAAAAGCAACAAAUCACUUUUUAAUUCUCUAUAUGAUUAGGUCAAUCAAGUCAAUUUAUCCUAAAUUUGAAUACUAUAGUUCGUAAAUAGAAAGCAGUAAAUACCACAGAUAUGAUCAAUGGAGAAAAUCAUAAUUUAUCACACAUAACUCUCUCUCCCCCCUACAAUCCACUCUUCUGGAACACCAACACCGACAAAACCAUCUUCAUUAGCUGGUGACCACCGUGCAUAGGAUCUCUGCACGAUGCAGCACCCACCGUUUGGAUCGCACACAAGAUCGCUACAUAGUGUAUUGGCACUGCGUGCAGAUCACCACUGCUCGAAAUAACUUUACAACGACAAUGCCAAAGUAGCAAUGCAACAAUGAUGUUGAUGCAAGCCACUGCACGCAACCGCUCAUAAGCGUUGCAUAAAGCACUACAAAGCAAAUCUUUGAGAUCCAUGCAAAUCAUUAUUAGUCGCCGUGGUGAAAAUGGUGGUUUGUUACUUGUUGUGGUUUGUUGCUGAGAUCGUGGUGGUUUGUUGCUGGCUUCCAUAUUGGUCGUUUUUGAGCCGUGGUGGUUUGUUACAAAUAGGUUUUUGAGUUAGUGGUGGUUAAAAAUGGUGGUGGUGGUGGUGCUGGUGAUGGAGGCAACGGUGCUGUGAGGUGGCGAGAUGAAGUUUGAUGACCUCCUAGGGGAUUUUGGCAAAUUUUGGGGACCAUUUAGGGAUGAAGUGAAGUUCGAUGACCUCCUAGGGGAAAUUGACAAAGUUCGGUGACCAUUGGGGGGAUUUCCUCUUUGGAUAGUGGUGGUUGUGAUGUUUGAUUCUUUGAGAUCCAUGCAAAUCAUUAUUAGUCGCCGUGGUGAAAAUGGUGGUUUGUUACUUGUUGUGGUUUGUUGCUGAGAUCGUGGUGGUUUGUUGCUGGCUUCCAUAUUGGUCGUUUUUGAGCCGUGGUGGUUUGUUACAAAUAGGUUUUUGAGUUAGUGGUGGUUAAAAAUGGUGGUGGUGGUGGUGGUGGUGAUGGAGGCAACGGUGCUGUGAGGUGGCGAGAUGAAGUUUGAUGACCUCCUAGGGGAUUUUGGCAAAUUUUGGGGACCAUUUAGGGAUGAAGUGAAGUUCGAUGACCUCCUAGGGGAAAUUGACAAAGUUCGGUGACCAUUGGGGGGAUUUCCUCUUUGGAUAGUGGUGGUUGUGAUGUUUGAUGCGAUAGAGGUCGUUGGCGGUUGUCGCUUCCAUUGCUGCUCUGAUUUUGGAUCUAUUUUGCUAUAGUUGUCGUCGUCGUUGCAGUCACAAUGGUUGUGAAAUAGUGGUGGUUUUUGGUGGUCAUAGUUUGGUUUGUUUGAGAUGAUGGAGAUGGUGGUAUUGUUGCCAAUUGAAGUGAUGUGGUGGUGGUGACAAUGGUCUUGGCGGCAGUGGUGACAGUAGUGAGAUGUGGUGACAAAUGGUGGUUGUAUUUACAAAUUAUUUGGUUGAUUAUGAUCAAUAAAUUGGUUAAUGUGUGAUCAAUAAUUAAUAUCUAAGCAAUGAAAUAGAUAAUUUGUGACCAAUAAAUAAUGUGUCUUAAAAUUUUGUUAAGUUGUAAAAAUAAUUUGAUAAUUUGUAACUUAGAAAUAAUGUGUGAGAAAAUUUGAUAUUAUAAAAUUCACGAUUUGUAACAUAUUAAUUUGAUAAAUUUGGGAUUAAGAAAUAAGGUGUGACUUAUAAAAUUUUCGGUUUGUGAUUGUGACGUCUAUAAUUGUGAUUAAUACAUGACUAUGAUUAUAAAUUAUAUAAUAUUAUAAUCUUGAUAUAUUUAAUUAAUCAAAUAUGUUUUUAAGUAAUUUUUAAAUCAAUAAAAUUUAAUUAAUAUCUAAUUUUUGAAAAAAUAAAUCUUGUUUCUUAAUUUUGAAAUGGAUCAUACUUUAUCUCUUGGAUAUGAAAAUUUUCCAUGAUUUUAUUACAGAUAUGAAUCUAAGAUAGAUUGACCCAAGCAUGGUUAUAAAUAUGAAGAAAUGAACAAUCAAUAAAAAUAAGAAAACCUAGAAAAUGAAGUGCAGAAAAAAGAAGACGAAAUAUGGGUUUAAAAAAUCCUGAUUGGGAAGAUUCCCUACCAGCUAGCAGCAUUAGUGUCGUAUAGUACUUGUCUUUAGAUAUUUGAUAGAGGUGAACAAAAGCAAGUUGAAAAGCUAGAUCUUGUCUUUAGAUAUUUGAUAGAGGCGAAUAAAAGCAAGUUGAAUAGCUAACUCAAAGAGUUACAAGUGUAUGAAAAUAAUAUUUUUCUAAUUUGAAUACUUUUGAAACCAAAAAUAUGGGUCGCAAUAUGCACAAAUCUGGAGCACCUCUCCUUGUACAUGAUUUUCUUUAUAUAGUAGGAUGAGGAGUCCAAAAGAGAAGGAAGAGGCCCCUGGUUGAGGAUUGAAGAAAGUCAUCUCGAAAAAAAAUUCUUGUUAUGGAGAGCUAAUUCCUUGGUAAAAAAAAUACUUGUGUCAAUAAUAUCACAAAAGAUUAUAGAGAACUUUAUUAACAUAUUUAUGUCUAUAUUUUUUUACCAAAUUUACAAUUACCAUAGAUAGAUGCAGGGAAGAAUCCAGGGUCCAAUGUCAGUUAGGGCGGAUCGCUAGCGUUGAAAGUUUAUUGUUGAUGGCCAACGUCCGUAAUAACGGGGUUAUUUAUUAAUAUUUAAUUAAACAAUAUUCAAAAAAAUCAUGCGGAUUAAAACUAGAAGAACUAGAUACACUACUAGAACUGGGUACAAACUUUCAUUUUGGAUGAAAAAAUCGUUCCACAAUAUGCAAAAUGCCCUAAUUUAUUUUUCAAUUAAAUAGGCACUAUAUAUUAACAAAAUAACAAUAUUCAGUUUACAAUUAAAAUUAAUUAAACAAACGUUAUUAUACUAACAAAAUUGAAAUUAAUUAUAUGCUUAAAUCAAUUUUAUGUGCUUGUAUGAUUCCACUUUCUCGCAAUUGAUUUUUUGUAAAUGAAAAGUGGAACCUUUUAUUAAUUAAAUAAGUUAUGUUGAAAGAUUCGUUAUAACACUAAGGCCAAUUUUCCUACAAAAUUCAUUCACCAUUAAUUGACUAAACUCUCAAAUCAAUUUAUUAGAGGGAAAAAAAAAGAAAAGAAAAUAAAAAGUGACAAAGCUCCGGUUAAAAUGUUUUUAUUUGCAUUAAACCAGUAAAAUUGAACAUUUAUUAUUUUGUUACAUUAUGUGCUAAAAAUCAAUAAGUGCCAUAAUGGUAAAGUGGUUAAUAUGUUUAAGGAAGAUAAAAGGUUUGAAUGACUUUCCUUGCAUUUGUUUUGGUAAAAGUUGUUGAAAUAUAAAAAUUAUAAAAGUAUUGCUCUUGAAAAGUUUCGAACACAAGACCCCUCCAAUUUGAUAAUAGAAGGGCUAACCAAAUAAGUUAACAAAGAUGUUUGUUAUUAAAACGAAUUAUCAAAUAUAAUCUAAACAUUCUAUCUAUUAUUAGUAAAAAAAUUUCUCCCUGACGAAUCCAACUAGGGCUCACCGGCCUCUAAAUCCACCCCUGGAUAGAUGUAUGUAUGUAAUCUUUCUAUAUAAUUCAAGGAGUCCUGAAUGGGAAAAGCAUUCAGCCAAUUCUUGACAUGGUAUUAGAUCCUACCAAUAGAACCUAUAGCUGAAUCUUUGAUUUUUCAGUUUUCCUCUGCCUUUAUCGUGGGUCGGAGGUUGGUGGUUGAAUUCUUGUUCUAGGGCUUUCAGGCUUUCUAUUCAAUUUCUCAUGUUUGGGACUUUGGGUUGAUCAAGUCGGCACCUUCGUUGGCUCAGCGAAGCUUGUCUAGUGGUGAUCCCUCUUGGAACUCUGGGUCGACCGUUCUAUGGUGCACAUCUCUGUUGCUCAUCUUUAGUGCAUUGAUGGUGGUGUUUGAUUGAGACGUGCUGUUUUGACUUUGUCUUCACCGAUGGGUCUUUUGAGUUUAGUAGUCGUCCUCUGUCUAAGAAUCAUCACUUGCAUCUGUGAGGUUAAGCGUCUGUGGAUCUUUGAAGGUUAUUGGGCUUUUUUUUUGCUUGGUCAUUAUUUCAGUUGUUGGGCCUCUUUUUAUUUGCUUGGUCCUUAUUUCACUUUGGGCUAUUUUUUAGUUGAGCUUGUGGGCUGUUAAUUGGGCUUUUCAGUAGUUGGGUCUUUAAAGUUGUAGCAACGGUAGUAUUUAUAUCAUUCGUGGGUGCGGCUAACUCUCCAUGAGGUAAUUGUAUGACUUUCCUUUGUUUGUGUGAGACUAUUUUAUGGACUCUAUGUCAAUUGAAGCCUUUUGUGUUAGAUCACGAGAAAGAAUUAUUCCAUAUGGGAAUUCCAAUUCAAAAUGAACUUAAAGGAAAAGGAACUUUGGGAUCAUAUUGAUGGGUCUUCUAAAGUACCUGAGGAUGGUAAGAAUCUUAGUGAUUGGGAAUUAAAAGAUGCUCGUAUUAUUUCUUUGAUUUUAGGAUCUAUGGUGGCACACCUAAUGAAUAAUUUGCACUCCUUCACUACUGUUAAGGAAAUAUUGAAAUACUUAAAGCAUAACUAUUAUCAAGUCAAUAAUGCAUGCCGAUUUUAGUUAGGAUUAGAGAUUGUCAGUUGCACUCAAGGUAAUCUUAAUAUUGAGCAAUAUUAUUUUGGUUUUCUGAACUUAUAGAGCGAAUGCUCUGGCAUAAUUCAUGCUAAGGUCCUUGCAGCGGCUCUAUUAGCUCUACAAGAGGUUCAAGAGAUUAGUAAGCAUGAUCGGUUUCUUAUGAAAUUUAUGACCUGAAUUUGAAUUGGCUUGGACAAGUUUUUUGAAUCACGAUCCGGUUCCUUCUUUUGAUGUCUGCUUCAGAGAGCUUUUACAUGAGGAGCAAUGGCUUGCUACCCAAACUACUAUUGGCGUUGAUAUGUCAUCUACUGAGGUUCUGCUAUUACAUAUGCCACCCAAAGUCUGGGAAGGGGUAAACUCCAGUGCUUCUACUGUAAAGGAUACGGUCGUAUCAUUUGUAAUUGUCCCAAAAAGUUUGCAAUUAUUGUAAGUAAUCAAGGCAUACCGUCAAAGGCUAUCUCACUCGACCCCAAAACCGAAAAGCUCAAGCGUUGCAAGCUAAUGCUCAGGGGUCUACUCCCGCACUUUUACAAGCUAACACCAGUCAACUAGUUCUUACCCCUGAUUGAGAUUGAGGUGUUUCUUCUCCUUGGUUUGUUGAUAAUUCAUGGACAUCGAAUUAUAUGACAGGUAGUUCUGAUUCCUUGCACCGUGUUCAACUCUACACUAGCACACAACACAUCCAGAUUGCUAAUGGUAGUACCCUUUCAAUUACUGCUGUUGGUGAUAUUGGGUCUUUUUUUUAUAAAGUUUGUCUCUUCGGGCUUAUUUACUAACUUGAAUUCAGUCGGUCAAUCAAUUGAUAAUAACUUUGAUCUGUGUUUUUCUUGUGCUAGUUGUCUUGCUCAUAAUCAGUGACAUGGAAGGUGAUCGCGAAGGAGCCUAAAGUCGAAAGAUUGUUCCUGUUACAGUUUACCAUACCUAUUACUAUGUUGUUAGCUUGUAUUAAUGUUGGAUUUAAACAUGAACUUUGGCAUAAAGGUUGGGUCAUCCCAAUGCUUUAGUUUUAUCUCAUUUGUUGAAAUGUGAUUUUUAGGUAAUAAAGAUAAGACUUGAUUUCUAAUUUAUCUUUCAAUUGUGAUGCUUAUAAACUUGGGAAAAGUAAGAUUCUUCCAUUUUUAGCUCAUGGGAGCCAUGCUAAAAAAUGUUUGAGAUUAUUCAUAGUGAUGUUUGGGUUGUGACACCUGUCACUUCACAUGACCAUUACAUGUAUUUUUUGACAUUUCUUGAUGAUUUCAGUCGUUACACUCGAAUGUAUUUUAUCCGUUUUAAGAGUGAGGUUGGUACCAUUCUUCAGACUUUUGUAGCUUACAUUGAAACACAAUUUCUUCCUGUAUUCGGAUUUUGAGGUCCGACAAUGUUAGUGAAUAUGUCUCAUCAGUGCAAGACCUUACAACAAAAGGUUAUUCUUUCCUAACGUUCUUGCCCAUACACUCCUCAACAGAAUAGAGUAUUUAAAAGAAAAAAUCGUCACUUGUUGGAUGUUGUCGAGGUUUUGCUCUUGAAAUCUUCAUUUCUGCCAAAUUUUGGGUUGAAACAUUCUCCACCACUGUACAUUUGAUUAAUCGACUUCGUGUUCAGCAUUUGAAUAAUUUGGUUGUGUUUGCUUCAUCCAUUUACCUCCUCAUGAACGACAUAAGCUUGCGGCUCGAUCAGUACAAUGUGCUUUUGUGGGUUACAACAUUGCUCAGAAGGGUUUUGUUUGUUAUAAUGAUGUUGCUAAUCGCAUUCGCAUCUCUCGCAAUAUAGUUUUCUUUGAUAAUCAAUAUUACUUCAAACACGUGUCAUCUUUUGAUUUGACUCCGCUCAUUGACUUUGAGGAUUGCCUUCGUCGUGUCGAACGUUUUAAACCAUGUGUGAUAUACCAGAGACGACGGCCUCCAGCUUCUGCCCUUUCCCAUUCUCGAUCUCGAUCCCGAUCCCAUCGCAGAUUUUGUUUCUCUUUGGCGAUCCACUUGCAUUACUCAUCCUCCUAAUUGGUAUGGUUUCUCUGCAACCUUAUAUUCUUUAAAUAUGGAAAAACUAGAUGAAUGACAUGAAGAAUAUGGAUAGUAUUCGAGAUGACAUCAUGGGUGAUCUUAAUUGUUUGACCUCAUAGGAAGACCUUAAAGGAUGACCCACUAACAUCAUGGAUAUUCACAUAGAACUCCUGAACCAGGAGAGUAGGCGGGGGAUUCAACCCGACCAAUAAAGGUUCCCAUCACCGAGAAGUAAAUAUGGCUGCUAGGUUAAGCGGAAGAUAAGAUAGAUUAACCUCACGCUCAACAAGAACAGGACGUAACAAGAACUGAAUCCCAAAGACACCCUGAGCUGUAGAGAAAAUAAACCUAGAUCAACUAUAUGAAGUCGAGCUACUAGCAGGCUGAGUAGUAGACCGUGCCCUCUUAUGAACCAUCUAAGACACAAAAUUAAAACCACGAUGUCAAGACUCGUAGGCCACCGAAAAUGAGAUAUGCAUGGAUGCACAUGAAUCUAGACAAAAUGGAUGAAUAAACGAUGCAAAAUAGUGUAAGGCACACAAAACUAUGUAACAAAGUACAAAAAUACACAAAACGAUGCAAAAUAGUGUAAGGUAGGCAAAAAUAUGCAAAAUAGUGUAAAGCACGCCAAACAAUGGAAAAUAGUAUAAGGCACGCAAAACUGUGCAAAAGAUAUGUAGUAACAUGAACUGAGUGACGUGGCGUCUAGAUGCAGUUCACAUCGUUGUAGGAUGGAACUAACAUGGGUGCAAAGCACAAGUGACGCAAGUCUCAUGGCGUCAAGAUAUGAGCUCCAUGAUGCAAGACACAAGUGAUGCGAUGUCUAGACAGAGGUGGCAUGGUGUCAAGAUGAAAGAUGCACUCACAAGGGACACAAACUCAAUAGUUAGGAAUGACAACCAAGAACCGAAAAAACCCAUAAUGACCAGGACUUAGACUAUGAAGAUGUUGUGUGAAUGUAGUCUAAACAUUGAUCUAAUGUAGUAAAGAGAUCAUUUAUCAAAUACGUGGUGUGCGCGUGUAAAGUAUGAAAAAUUCACACAAUACCUAAUGUCCCAAUAUCCCACAACUUACCAAAAACUACGCACACAUCAUCACAACCAUCCUAUGGUAUAAAGCCACACCAUAGUGAAGAACAAAUUCGAGAUAAAGGUGUCAAAAAAAUGUUCAAAAAAACAACAGGAGAAUGGAAAAAUGUCAACAAAUGCAAACUUGAGCUACAACGAAGCAAUGCUAUCCUCAAGAUGCACAAUGGAACAAUUUAGAUUCAAUAAAUUAUGGUUUAAUGAAGCGAAAUCGACAAAACCCCAAAAGUUAUCAAAAUGGUGAAAUGUAGGGUUUUAACCACAUACAUUGAGCAAAGUUGGAAUGAGGUGAUGUAAUGGAUGCAAUUUGUGGUAAAGACUCGUCCAAAAUAUCAUAUUGCAGGAAGAAUUUAGUGUGGGCAAAAGGUAAUAUGAAAGAAAUUUGGGUAAGAUUUGAAAAAAAGAAUUAGAUUUUGAACAUGUCGCGAAAAUUGAAAUAAGUAGACCGUCGCUCGAGCGAGACCCGAGCGAGAAGCGAGCGACAUUGGUUCUAUUAUUUUCGCUCGAGCGAGGGUCCAGCAAUAAUCGAGCAAAAUGUAAUUGAUAUAAAUAGCACCACUUCUAAAAAUAGCGAAUUUAGCACCACCUUGACAAUUUUCAAUUUUAGCACCAAUAUAUAUAUUUUUGUAAAUGGCACGAACUUCAACAUGUAUGUCCACCCAGAAAUGCAUUUGAUCACAAAUAUGACAUGCUCAGUGAUAAGACAUGUUGCCCCAUACAAAGAGAUCAAGUUCAGCUGGAGUAAAUUGUAUACGUGACCCAUAUGUGAAAAAUGCCACUAAUUCCUUGUAAGCAAAACUCAAAACCUUAAAUUUAUGAGAAGGAACACACUAAAUCAUUGCGGAAUGAGUUUAUCCCUCGAACUAUGAAAGUCAAAUCCAGUGCUACUAGGACUUAUGGAUCCAUGAAUAUGUGUUGUAUAAUUUUCUUUCUCACAUUGUCUAUAAGCACUCCUUUUUUAAAUCUUAUGUGCAAGCUCAUCUCCAUUAAGCUACUAAGAGGACCUUUAUAGUGAGUUUUGGAUCGGUAACUCCCAAACCAGUUGGCUUUAGGGUACCAGAAAAAUCCCUCAAGCUUAAUUACCAGAGUCAACCAGGCUACAAAGACAGGUAUACACAAUAAACAAUAUUUUUUUUAUCUUUUUUUAGGAGGAACCACCGGAAUUUAGGUCACCUAGUCAAAGAUCAAUUCAUGCACAAGGUCACUCAUCAACAGAUGAUAGCCAUCCCAAGCCUCACACAUGCAAUCAAGACUCACUUAUAUGGUUAUAGUGUGUGCUGUGCAUAUAGAAUAUGAAGAGAUAUAUACUAAGUACUCUACACAGACUCAACUUAAGUGAUGAGAGCAUAAAGCUAAUCUUUUAUUGAAUAUAUAUAUAUGGUCACAAGAUGCAAGUUUAAGCGAAACACAUACGAUGCUGAAGUGACUAAAAUUUUAUUUCAUAUGAUAAAAUUAAAAAUGCAUGAAGGGGGGGGGGCAAAUGUAAAUUAAAAUGAAUAUGCAACGAAAUGAAUGCAAAAACAGACAAACAAAAUGAGAUGUACAUGGAUGUCCCUAUGAAGAUGAUCAAGGAGAUACACAGAUACCAACAGCCUUUCUAAAUGACUCGAACCUCAGACCAUCUAAAGGUUUGGUGAACAGAUCGGCAAAAAGAUUUUCUGUAGAAAUGUGUUCUGGGAAUACCACAUUAGACUCGACAAGUUCUCGAUUGAAGUGAUGACGAAUGUCAAUAUGUUUGGUUCUAGAAUGCUGAACAGGGUUCUUAGAGAUGCUAAUAGCACUAGUGUUAUCACAGAACACGGUCAUGGUACCCUGAUUUAUCCUAUAAUCGCUCAACAUUUGCUUUAUCCAAAGCAACUGAGUGCAACAGCUACCGACGCAAUGUAUUCAACCUCGACCGUGGAUAAAGAGACUGAGUUUUUUUCUUACUUAUCAAUGACACAAGAUUAGCACCAAUAUAGAAACAACCACCUGAGGUACUCAUUCUAUCAUCAGUAUUUUCAGCCUAAUCAGCAUCAGAGUAGUUGGCUAGAUCAAGAUUGGAGUCUUUUACAAUACAAGAGUCCAUGAUCUAAUGUUCCACUUACAUACCUAAUGAUACGCCUCACUGCACUCAAGUGGGAUUCCUUAGGAUCAACCUGAAAUAUGCACAUACUCCAACAUUAAAUGCUAUGUCAAGUCUAUUGGCAGUAAGAUAGGGUAAACUACCUAGCAUACUCCUAUACAGUAUCUGAUCAACACUCUUACUUGCAGGAUCAUGACCUAACUUAACACUCAUACUCAUGGGUGUCCAUGUAUGUUUGUUAUUAUCUAGCCCAAAUUUCUUGACAAGAUCUUUUGCAUACUUUGAUUGAGAAAUGAACAGCAUAUCAUCUGUUUGCUUCACUUGAAGUCCAAUAAAGUAGCUCAGCUCUCCAACCAUGCUCAUUUCAAAUUCUUGUUUCAUGCAUUCAAAAAAUUCAUUAGUAAUGGAGUUAAUGGAAGAGCAUAAGACGAUGUCAUCGACAUAUAUCUAUGCUAUAGUUAUGGUUCUUCAAUACCCCUAUUGAAUAAGGUUUUGUUAGCAUCGCCUCUCGACAAUCCACUAUCAACUAGGUUUGCAGUGAGUCUAUCAUAUCAAGCUCUAGGAGCUUGUUUCAGACCAUACAAAGCUUUAUUCAGUUUAUAGACACAAUGAGUAAACUUAGGGUCGAUGAACCCUUUGGGCUGCUCAACAUAUUCUUUUUCUUGAAGUAUUCCAUUCAAAAAGGUGCUCUUGACAUCGAUUUGAUAAAGUUUGAACACUAGGGUACAAGUGACAACAAGGAGGAUGCGAAUAGACUCAAGAUGUGCGACAGGGGCAAAUGUCUCAUCAAAGUCGACACCUUCAACCUGACUAUACCCCUGGGAAACUAGCCUUGCCUUAUUUCUGGUUAUGGUACCUUGAUUAUCGGUCUUAUUCUUGAAUAUCCACUUAGUACCUAUAACAUUACAAUUAUCAGGCCUAGGAACUAAAACCCACACAUUUUCUCUUACAAAUUGAUUUAGCUCCUCAUACAUUGCAUUCAUCCAACAUUCAUAGCUAAAGGCUUCCUAUACCUUCUUGGGCUCAAUUUGGGAUACGUAGCUCGUGUAUGAUAGGUUAUUUAAAACCCUCUUUUAUAAUCUCAUUCCUUCGUCUAGAUCUCCAAUGAUAUUGACCUUAGGAUGAUUUGAUUUGACCUUGGAAGAUGGUUCUCUAGAAGAAUUAGAUUUAUCACUGGUUUGUUGAUUCUUAUCUAGAGAGUCUACACCUUUAGAAGAGCACAAAGAUUUGGGAAUUAGAUGUUCUUUAGGUUCAGUAGUUGCUUCUUGAUCAGUACUUAGAUUUUUUAAAUCAACCAAAUCUUCUACACCCUCCCCAUUAGUGAAAACAUCAUCAAUCACAACGUUUAUGGACUCCAUGACACUUCAUGUACACAAAUUGUAUACCCUAUAGGCUCUACUGUUCUUAGAAUAUCCCCAAAAAAAUCCCUCCAUCACUAUUGGAAUCAAACUUGCCUAAAUUUUCUAUAUCCCGUAGAAUGUAGCACUUGCUGCCAAACAUGCAAAAGUAUUUGACAGUAGGCUUUUUACCAUUCCAAAUCUCAUAUGGAGUCUUAUCGGUCUUUGGUCUGAGGUAUACUCUGUUCACUAUGUGGCAAGCAAUAUUAAUGGCUUCAUCCCAGAAAUGUAAUGUAAUAUCCUUGCCAUGAAGCAUGGCCUUAGCCCUUUCUUGUAGCGCUCUAUUUUUCCUCUCAACUAUCCCAUUUUGUUGUGAAUUGAUUGGUAAGGAGAACUUAUGUUGAAUCCUCUCCUCCAAAUAGAAGUUUUUAAACUCUUUUUCAUGAUCACUUCAAACUCUAGAUAUGGAAAGAUUUUGUUCUGUCCUAAGCCUUUUAUACAAGGAUUUUACAAGAUCAAAUGCUUCAGAUUUCUCUCUUAACAGUUCAAUCCAAGCAUAUCUAGAGAAGUCAUCUACAACAAUGAGAAUAUAUCGCUUACCUCUUAGGUUCCUAGUCCUAAAUAGUCCCAUUAAGUCCAUAUGGAGAAGUUCUAAGGGUCUGUUUUUCAAAAUUUUAGAAGUUUGUUUAUGAUUUAUCGUAAGUUGUUUCCUUUGCUUAUAGGGUUUACAGACAGCAUUUUCAUGCUGUUCAAUUUUAGGCAAACCAUCAACAAUUUCUUGUUUUGCUAAUUUUGACAAACUUUUAUAGUUUACAUGGCCGAGUAUUUGAUGCCAACGCUUGGUCAAAUCAAUUUUAGACUUGCUACACAUAUAGUUGGAUUUAGGAAGAAUUCCAUAACAAUUAUCAGAAGUUCUAACUCGUUCGAGGACAACUCCACCCGAAGAGUCAUCAACGGUACACCUCUUUUGGACAAAACUCACUUCAAAAUCAGCAGCAUAGAUUUGACUAAUGCUAAACAAAUUGGAGACCUUCCACAUAAAGCACAUUAGAUAUAGUAGGUAGUCUAGAUAUAUUGACGAUACCUUUACCAAGGAUAGGUGACAUAGCGCCGUCUCCAAAGGUAACCAUACCACCAUUGCAAUCAUCAAGGGUAGAGAACAAAGCCUUAUUUUCACACAUGUACCUCGAAUAAGCACUAUUAAGAUACCACAUAUAUGCAUUCUGAGCCAUAAUAUAACAUGAGCUACAAAGUAGUUAAGAUUCUCAGCAUGCCUAGUCAAACCAUUUUAGAGGUCAAGGUAAUCCUAGUCAAUUUUGUUAUCAUCUCAGUUAAGUGACAACCUAAUUUAAAAUGAAGCUAACCUGACUAUGGAUAUCUAGACUUCUAUUCCUAUUCCUAAGCUUACGACAUCUAGAUCUAGUGUGUCCUAAAGCUCCACAAUGGUGGCAAGUAGGUAUAAACCUAGGCUUAAAGGACAUGGUUGUUGAUAUUGACUUUUAGGUGCGAAGUACGUGCUCUAACUGUCUUUUGUUCUGGGACACUUUUGCCCUUGGGUUCAAAAUUAGCCAUGUUACUAGAUUUGUUGGAGGCAGGGACGAAUGUGGUUUUGGAUGAACCAUCCAUGUUACUAUCACUCUAGACAAAUCCUAGCCCUUGUCUAUUCCCCAUUGGUUUGUUCAUUGCUAACAGACCAUCUAGUUUCUUAGUCCUACUCAUGAAUGAUUGGAGUUGGGUAUUAGAUUUUUCUAGGUUACUAGUCAAAGUCUUAACCUUGUCUUCCAGCUUCUCAUUGACAUACCUCAACUCACAAAGGCUUUUGGAUGAGUCUUGAAGGUCACUUUUGAGCCUUUCUUUCUCGAUCUUAAGACUCUCCUUAUAUAGAAGUUGGUAAGCCUCAUGAACAUUAGUCUCAUCCUCAGUAUCUUUCCUAGAAUUCUCACAAGGAACAUUUUCUUUAACCUUGUCACUCUCCUUAUCUGACUCGCUCUUAACUGUAGACACAAAAGCUAUAUAACCCCGUUCAUCUUCAUCACUAGAGGAGUCACCUUGGUCACUCGAGUUUGUUUCAUCAUCUGCCAAUGUUAUAGCUAAUGCCUUACUCCUUGCCUUUUUCAAAUUUUUCUUAAAACUAGGGCAUUCCUUCCUAUAGUGUCCAAGCCCCUGACACUCAUGACAUCUAACAGGUUGAGAUUUUUCACUAGAGUUCCUAGCAUUCGGUUUAUCACUCUUAUCAUUCUGGAAUUUACUAGGACCUUCAUUCUUUCUCUCUUGCGGCCUUUUCUUAUUCUUUAGAGCUUUUUGAAAUUUCUUCACAAAGUAGGCUAUCUCCUCAUCCCUAAGGGUCUUCAUGUCAGAUGAUUCAGACCCUUCUUCCUUCACAGUGUUCAACACUAUGGACUUAUUCUUCUUCGGCUAUGAAAUAGCGAGUUCAUAGGUUAAGAGGAAUCCUAAGCUAUGAAAUAGUGAGUUCAUAGGUUUGGAGGGAUCCUACAAGUUCUUCUAUGUUAGUCGUGUCCAGGUCCUUUCUCUCUUCUAUCGUUAUAACCUUCAGUCUAAAUCUUUCAGGAAAAGACCUAAGGACCUUUCUAACAAUUUUGGACUCAGGAAUCCUCUCACCUAUGUUGAAGCUAGAGUUCACAAUAUCAUUCAAUUUUGCAUAAAAUUCAUCAAACAAUUAAUCUUCCUUCAUCCUAAUUUCUUCAAAUUGAGAGGCUAACAUCUGCAAUUUGGAAUUUUUUUACGAUUUUGGUUCCCUCGUGUGUAGUCUCUAGAAUGUCCCAUACUUUUUUAGUAGUAUCGACACUCUCCUAAACUCUUCGAGAGACAGCCAUAAACAAUGCAUGGAGACCUUUGCUAUUCCAGUUACAGUCAGCUAAUUCUUCCUAAGUCCAAAGUGAAAUAUCAAUGGGAGUGACUACACCUGACACAGUAGUGGAUGAGGCUUUCCAACCAUUUUGCAACCCAUACAUGUUUAUUCAGGGACUUGAGAAAUGCACUCUUCCUCACUUCUAGUAGGCAUAAUUACUUUCGUCAAAAUACGAAGGCACAUACAAUGAUGACUCAUCUAGACAACAACUUGGGUCAGGACUCAAUGUUUGGAUAUGAUAUUACUUGAAAUGACAUGGUUUGGCCUAAAUAACACUUGGGGUGUGAAUAGAUGUUUAUGCGGAAUUUUAGACACUCAAUUAAUAAUUGCAACAAGUAAUAGUUAUUAAUUUAGUCCAAAGUCAUUCACAUACAUUACUACCCUAUGUUGAACUGCCACAAAAUAGUAAAUUAAUGAAAAUUAAAGAACACAAUAAUUUGAUGACGAAGAAAACCCCUUGUGCAAUUAAAAACUCCAGGCCCAAGCCAAUAUGAAUCUACUAUAAAUGAAAAAUCAACUUACAACCCACUAGACUCAACCAAUUCAAGUUUUUCCUGAGCUCUUAACUGUAAUUCUCCAAAGCCCUCCUGGAAUGCAUGCUCUUGUACCAACUUUCGGCUCUUGAUUUCGACUAUCUCCAAUGGAUUCCUGAUAACUCCCCAUUCUCCAACUAUCAAAACUUCGAUCUCCUUCCUUUUUCUUUAACUCUUGAUAGAUGCUCUGGAAUGAUAGGUUUCGGUGUUUGAUGGAUGUGGAUUUGAUGUUUUAAAUGAGUGUACCAGCACAAUAGUGGGAUUGAAUCAAUGUCGUAAAGUGCAUGAAGUGUUUUUUUCUUUAGUCCUCUGAAAAUGAAAGAACACGGUGCACUAGAAUAUAUAUGACAAGUUUUGGGUAGUUUGGGCCGGGUCAAAAACUCGAAAAUCAAAAAAUAGCGUUUUUCCAGAUGACGCUAUCACUCGAGCAAAAAGCUAGCAACACUGUUUUGCUUAAGCAAGGUAGUGAUGAUGAGCUAGCGACGAGAUCUCUAUUUUUUACGUUCGAGCAAUCUCUUGGUGAGCAGUUAGCAAAACAUCGAUGACACUUCUUUCCUUUUUCCCAACUCAAACCCUAACAUACUUUUACAAAAUUACAUAAAGUCCCUAACUUUUAAAAAUGUACAAAUUGACCCCUGAACUUUAAACAUAGACAAUUUGACCUUUUAUUUUGACCAUUUACAAUUUGAUCCUUUUGUUCACAGAAUUAUCAACUCAAAACCUAACAUAAUUCAAGGAGUCCCAAAUGGGAAAAGCUUUCAGCCAAUUCUUGUCAUCUUGGACUAUAAUAUAAUUCACAUAUUAAGUGUUAUUGUUUAAGAUUCUAGGACUACAUUCCCUAUUAGAUUUCAAUAAAAUAGUUUGAGACAUUUAUGUUAAAUUUUCUUAUGGUUUGAUUUUGUUGAGCUAUAGAAUUUUGAAUAUAUGAUUGAGAAAUAAGUUUUUCAUGCUAUAGAUGUGAUCUUUUAUACUCAUUCACUUUUGAACAAAGAGUCGUCUUUAGAACUAGUAUAUAUGGAUGAAAAAUGUGGAUUUAAGGGGGAAUAGAUCCUAGAAUAACUUUUUGAGAAUUUGGAUGAUCGUAUUGUCAUAUUUUCCAAUUGGGGAAUUUGGUGUCAUAAUCCUUAACCAUGUUGGAUUCGGUUGAUAGAAGCCCAUUUUGAUCUUUGUUUUAAUUUCAUUUUAAUUAUGUGUGCUUAAGAUAGAUUUAAGACUAAACCUUUUUUUUUUUUAUCUCACCAUUUGAUUUUUUCCUUUAAGCCCCUGUUUGAUAACUUAUUUUAAUUUAUUUUUAAUACUCAAUUUCAGCCAUACAUUCAUACAAUAAAAUAUUCUACAUAUAAACUCAAAAACGUUUUUUUUUUGCUUUUUUACCACACAUUCUUCAAAAAAUACUAUUCAAAAUUAUUAUUAUUAUUAUUUUAAUUUUAAGGCCACCAAACAGUGGCUAAGUUUGCGCUCUUAAUGUGUUUUCUUUCGACUUCCUGUGGGAUUGACACCCUAAAUUAUACUAUAACACUACAUAAUAGUUUGGGUGUAAUUAGGAUUCAUCAAAAUCAUCACAAAUAAGCAAUAUCAUGGGUUAUUGGAACAUUAAUAAUGCACGAGUUUCAAAAUACAGACAUGCAUAUAUCAUUCCUGGCAUGGAGAGAACGAAUCUAGCUACUUCUUGAUAGCUAUUCGACUUUGCAUUCGAGGAUUUAUCUCUUCAAUGUGAGGAAUAACUAGCAUAAAUUGAACAUGUAUGAAAGGAAAAUCUAUGAAAGGUACGAUGGUUGUUGAUACACAUCAAGAUGCAAACAUUCAAAUUUAUCCACUUAUAUUAGACAUAGUCAAUUUCGAGAACGACUCAUUGAAUCGUUUUUUUCACAAUAUUGAAGGAAUUAUUGCAAAAUAUUGAGAACCUUAUUGCAGAUAGUAUAAUGAAGGGUGUUAAAGACAUUUAUCCUUGAUGCACAUCGUGGCAACUAAAUUUACCAUAUACUAAGCAACAUAAAGACUGAUUCACGGAUUCCUAGAUAAUUGUUUCUCAACUUCUCCUUUGAAGUUCAAUGGAUUCCUUCAUGAGGAUGGAAAAAGUAUCAUGGAUUCCUAUUUGAAUUUCUUUCUUUCCUUUAACUAAUAUUUUUGUGGGAACAAGAAAUGGAAUAUAAGCAUCUUUAAUUGAUAUAGUACCACUCUGCCUUAAAGAACAAAACAAAUUCAUUUGAAAUGUAAUAAUUUUAACCUAUUAUACCACUUGUCUUUUGAUUUCAUUAAUAUUAUUUUAAUAAUUGCCUUAAUAUGGAUGGUCAUCAUUUUCUAUACCAAUAAAUAAUUUUAAUGUGGAUUAUCAUCAUCUUCAACCGACUUGCCCUUCAAAUAAAAUGAAUUUGUUGUCCAUGGUUACAAUUUUAGCGUACCGCAUUUGUGAAUACGUUCACACUCUUAAGUCACCAGUUGAGAAAUGCCUCCACUGAACUAGGUUCAUGGCUCCACCUACCAUCGACCAGAAUUAAUGUAAAGUAUCAUGGGUAGGGUGAAAAUAUUUCAUAAAUUUCUUUCUUUCUUUAAGUGAGAAUUCCUGUGGGAACUAGAAAUGGAAUACAAGCAUCUUUGAUUGAUAUAUUCCCUACUUGACGUUUAAGAGCAAAACUAGAUAAUUGAAUAUGUGAUAAUACUAACCUACAGCACCACUUGUCUUUUGAUUUCAUUUAUAUUAUUUGAAUAAUUGACAUCAUUUUCUAUAAGAAUAAAUAAUCUUAAUAUGGAUGAUCAUCAUUUUCUUUAAAAAUGCCAACUCGAUUAGGUAAAUGUCUAGCUUCAACCAACUUGCCUUAAAAUAAAAUGAAUUAGUUGUCCAUGAUUACAAUUUUAAUUUCAGCAUAUACCGCAUUUGUGAAUACGUUCGCUAAUCUCAUUCGUCACCAGUUAAAAAUGCAUCCACUAAACUAGAUUUGUGGCUCCACCAAUACCGUCAACCAGAAUUAAUGUAAAGUAUCAUGGGCAGGGUGAAAAAAGUUUUAUGAAUUUUCUUUCUUCCCUUCAAUUGAGAUUUCUUGUGGGAACUAGAAAUGGAAUACAAGCAUCGUUGAUUGAUAUAUUCCCUACUUGGCCUUUGAGAAUAAAACAAAAUAAUUGGAUAUGUAAUAAUACUAACCUACUGCACCACUUGUCUUAAUAUGGACCGUGAUCAUUUCCUUUGAACGUGCCAACUUGAUUAGUUAAAGGUCUAUUUUCAACCAACUUUCCCUUAAAAUAAAAUAAAUUGAGAAACCAAAUGUAAUUAGAGAUGUACAAUUUCUGUGAAUAUACCCAACCCAAUAAUACUUGAUCGAACAUUUUGAUUUGAUUUCCCUCUUACACGAAAUGAAAAUACAAAAGUAUGAUCUACAAAACAAAGUAUCUAGCUUCAUUUUAAAAACAUGAAAAUAAAUCUAGGUCAUAUAUUAUAAGUAAUGUCUAUUGCACCUAAAUUGUUUAUUUUUAUCAUUAAAAUAACAUUUUAACCUUUAAUACUUGCCCACUAAUAAAUUAUAUCAAGUUAUAGAGCACAAAGACCUCAAAUGCAUGGUUAUUAAACGCAAUCAGAUUCCGUUGGUUAACUCGGGGACCAAUUAAUUGGCCGGUAAAUCAGGAUGGUUCUCUAAAUGGGCCAAAAAAAAAAAAUUGAUCCGUGAUCAACCAUAUCUUGAAUGACGAUUCAAGAUUAGCAAUUGAAUUUAUUCAUUAAUAAUUUUAAUUUUGAAUUAUGUAUCUCUUGCUUAAUAUUGCUGACAUAUCUAAAAAUAUAUUUUUCCAACAAUCUGUUUCGUAUUUAACUCCAUGUUCUCAGUUGUUCUUCAUCGUAAUUCCACCUCUUUUUCUUUAGCUCUUUCAUGUUUGUUUUCUCUAAAAGUUUAUUAUUUUGAGUAAUAAAAUAGCGUUUCAUUCAAACUUGAUAUUUUGUGAAUUUUUUGGUAUAAAAGUCUAUGAUGUUUGCUAUUUUACAUGUAAUAGUUAUUAUUUCAUGUAUAUUCGAAAAUAGUUAAGAAAAUAUAAGAAUUGAUCUGCUGGCCUACGGUUGAACCAUUGACCGGACAACCCAUUUCCCAUGCCCAAGGAAAAAAAAACAAAUAGGGGUUGGGGACUUUUCAUUUUAAGGAUUCUCAAAUUAUCUAGAAGGCAAGCUUCUCAGCUGGAAAAUUCAUUUACAUAGCAUUUUUGUAACUAGUUUUAGAUAUAAAUUAUUUUCUUCCUUUAAAUUACAUUUCUAAAUCCUUUAUUGAGUAUUAUUUUCAUAUUUAAGUUUUAUCAUUAGCAAUAUGAACACAGUAGAGAAUUACAAAUUCUAAUUUUAUUUCACCAAGAACAAUCAAUUAGAAGAAAGAAAUAAAGUCAUGUAAGAUUUAUAGAAGUUCAUCUCAAUGGAAGAUUACAUUAUCUUCAACCAUCGCAGUAAUUCAAUAUGAUGAAAUGAAGUUUACAUGAGAAUCGCACACCUAUCUUCUCUUACCUCUAUUUCUCUCUUUUAUGAGGUCAAUCCGCAUACUGGCCACAUAUAGAGACAAUAAUUAAAUUCCACAACUACAAACCCGUGUUCAUAAAAAACAAGGAAGCACAAUAAAAUCGUAUGAUUUGGAGAACAUUAAAUUGCAAAUUAUUAAUAGCAAUCCAGAAGUGAUUCUGGUGGUCAAAACAUAUUUUAGAGUUUUGAUUUGAUGUAGAAGGUUCUUAGUCAAGUGACGUCGAGCUAUCAGAUAGCACGUUAAUGGCGCUAAGAUAUCAUGAGUUGGCAGAUCGGCCCAAAGAUGUUAAGUGAUCUUGAUCUUUUCUUAAUUGGGGCAUGUAUGAAGGAUUUCGUGUAUUAAAAUACAGAAAUCGCUACAAAUUGUAUUUAACAAAAUACAAGUGAUGUUUACUUUCUUGUACUUGCAAAAUUAUAAAAAUCCUUUGAUUAAUGAUCUGAAUAUUUGAAGACGAGGAGUCACAUAGCUUGAAUCCUGAUCCUUGAGAAUUUGUUGAAAAUUUGAUUUGUUGAGACUUGACUUGUUCGGUACUUAAACUUUCGGGCUUGAAUUUGAAUUUGAUUUGAUUUAAAGAAGACUUUGAUCUUCUUAGAUUUGGCGUGGAUAUGUUUGAUUUGAAGAAAAUUUUGAUCUUCUUGGGAUUUACUGAGUUUAGAUUUCAGAGGAUUUCUUCCCUUCUUCGGGUGUGGAAAUUUAUUCUACAAUUCGUGGUUGCCUUCUCUGCUUUCACUUCUUGCUUUUCUUCUACUUCCUCCUUUCUCCUUGUGGACCCUUGGUCCAAUUUACAGGAGAGAGUUCGUGCUAAUUUUGGUAAUUACUCAAUAAUUGAGUAAUUAUGAUUUUAUUUAUUUAAAAAGUGAGAUGGGUAUUUGUGUUUAUGGGCUUUAGUAGACUUCAAUUUAUUUUUUCUAGUGAUUUAAAUCGAUCCAGUCAAUUUUCUUUAUUUUUUAUUUUUUUAUAUCAACAAAUGCCCCCUUAAAAUUUAUUUAUUUAUUUUGAAAUAAAUAAAUUAAUAAAUCUUGAUUUUCGAUUUUUUUUUAAUUUUUAAUUUUUGAUUUGUUCAAUUUUUUUAUUUUUUUUUAUAUUUGAUUUGAUCUCAAACAUCCAUUAAUAAAUUAAUGCAGAUCGAACAUUUGAGAAUAAAACGUGAAUUUGAUAAAAUAAAGUUUAUCCUUCAAAUUCAAGAAUAAGAAUUUUUUUUGUUAUUUGAUUAUUUAUUUAUUUUAUGCAAUCUAUAACAAAUUUGAAUUUAAACAGGCUUUUUAUGUUUUAUGUUAAGUUGGGCUUGACUGAAGUCUACUACCUAUUUAUAUGAAUGAAUUAUGAGAUUUGGAAACAAAUUGGUUAAAAUCUUCUCUCUCUCUCUCUCUCUCUAUUGGUUGGCAGAAACCAAAAACAAGAAAUUUGUUUUAAUUGUCUUCCACCACACCGACGGAUUCCAACGAACCAAUUUGCUUUGGUUUAUGCCAACGUUGGCAGGAGCCAAUUUUAUUUCAUUUAUUUUUAUUUUUAUAGAUUUUUAUUUUUGCCAACCAUUAUCCAAUAUAUAUUUUAUUUCAUUUUAUUUUUAUUUUUAUAGGUUUUGAUUUCUGCCAACCAUUGUCCAAUAUAUAUAUUAAUUUUCUUGGGCGACAGAAACCACCGUCAAUUGGAUCUUUGAAUAGGAGAAACCCCUUUUUUUUUUUUAAAUUACACGUAACUUUUCAUCUUUCCAUUUCUUUUAAGUUACACAUAACUUUUCACCCCACCCCCGCGGCCGCCACCACCUUCCUUUUUGAUUUGUUUUGUUUUGUGUUUUCUUUUUGACGUGACUUAUUAUUAUUAUUAUUAUUUUAUUAUUAUUAUUAUUAUUAUUUUAUUUUUUUCAAAUCUGGUUCUUAUUCCCCCUUUUUUCUUGGGUUUAUUAUUAUUAUUAUUAUUAUUAUUAUUAUUAUUUUGAAGUAUGGUUGUUUUAGCAAAAUUGAAACUAACAUUCUUUGUUUUUUUUUCUAGGGAUUCAACAUUUUGGAGCGAACCAAGGAUUUUGAGGUUUGAGAUUUUCUUCGUGUAGGGGUUAAAUUUUGUGCCGCAAUUAUUUUAGAAGUUGAAAAUAUAUACUUAUGAACAAACUCAAAAUUGCAAACCUUAGUACAUAUGGAGGACCAAAGACCGCCACUUAUCACCAUCCCAGGCACUUUUUAUUAGAGAUCAAGGACCUGCUCCUUCGACUGUCCAAGGCAUUCUAUGUUGAGGAUCAAGGAAUUGCUCCUUCAAUUGUCCAAGACACUUUGUAUUGAGGACCAAGGAUCGACCGUCCAAGGUACAUUGUUUUGAGGACCAAGGACCUGCUCCGUCCAAAGUACUUUGUGUUGAGGACCAAGAACCUGCUCCGUUCAAGGCACUUUGUGUUGAUGAAUAAGGAUCCGUUCCUUCGACUGUCCAAGCUAUUUUGUGUUAAAAACCAAAGCUGGAUUCUUUGACCGUCCAAGGCAUUUUGUUUUAAAGACCAAAGACCUAUUCCUUUGACUGUCCAAGACACUUUUUUUGUAGAGGCCAUUACAUAUUUGGGAGACUCGUCAUUUUAGACGAUAAACCAAUUUAAGAGAUUUACUGCCCCUUUUUUACGGGCAUGGCGAGAACAAGUUCUAAAGAUAAAGUAUACUCUGCCAUACAUGAAAUUGUUAAGCUUAAAAAUCAAGGUAAAAGUUAUCUAUGUUUCAAAGAUACUGAUGUGAGGUACCAUGCCCAAACUGACCUACGAGGUGUACUUAAAUUUAGCAUUCAUAAGCCAAUGACUAAUUCUUCUCCUGACCUAUUGGAGUCAUUGUUGGAGUUGCAUAUGCCCACCACUAGUGAAUGUCACGAGAGUUUGGAUACUGUUAAGUCCAACCGUUCUAGCAGUCAUCUUCCCUUUCUAUGUCUUUCGCCUCAUCAUUCCUAGAGCAUAGAGUGCAUCUCAAAUGCUGUAAUUUGUGAGAGGAUUGACAAUAAAGAAAUACGAUAGGGAAGCGCACUGGCCAUUCGAGGCGAUAUUUCUUUUCUUCCAAAAUUUUGGGAGUGGUCUUUAUGGGUCCAAAAACUUCUACUCAGCAGGAAUCUUCGGGAGUUAGUUUUUGCUGUCGGUUCUACUACAAAAAAAUUACCAUAGCCCAAACUCUAUUUAUAGAGCUUUUUGUGAGGUUUGAUAUCCAGAGACUAACACCUUUUUGACUGCCAAUAAUGAAAUUGACAUUUCUCUUUGGGACAUCCGCGAGAUAAAUGGGCUUUUGAUCAUAGAUCAUUACUAUGAGGAAGUAGUCCCAAGCCUUUCAGAGUUUGCGGAUCAUCUUCCCAAGUCUUAUUUGUACCUCUUUAAUGUUUUUACAUUGAUCGUCAAUGGGAAUGAAUCUAAUUAGGUUAUUCACGAAAAUUGGAUUGAUUUUUGGUUUCACGAGAAUGGUUGUGUCCAGAAUCCUCGACAACAUAGUAAUUAUAAGAAUGAUAUGAAUUUAAAUGCAUCCAAGAAGCGUCAUCAAAGAACAUCAAAGGAAAUACGGAGGCCCAUAGUUGUAGACAAGUCCAGAGAUAUUUCUCGUAGGGAUUGGCGUCAUUGGAGUGAUUUACUAGUAUCUCUGUUUAUGCAAGAAGAAGAGGAAUUAGAUAUAGCAGCUUAUCUCUUCCUGUGUCUUUGUCGAUUCAUUCUUCCAUCUGGGGACGAAUGUAUAAGAGUUGGGACUUUGAAAGCAUCUUCUAGGAUGGCAGGCGGGUACAUUUAUAGCCUGAUUCCACCCAUAUUAGCGAGCAUUUAUAGAGGACUUAUAUGAAUAUCUAAAUAUCAGACAAACCCAAACAUUGGCUCAAUUUCACAUUCAUUUCCUGGACAUUUUAUUUAUACUUGUGCAGCAACGUAUUUGUCCGAGGUGUUUAUGCUCAUAUUGACCAGAGUUAUUCUCGCACUAUAAUUCAAAGAUAUGUCAGCCCUCUGAAUGCUUUCUAGUCUUGGGAGAAAAAUGUUGUUGAUUGUCGGGAUCUUAUCCGUGGAAUGAUAGACACCAAUGACUUUUGCUGGAAUCCCUUACUCUCAUCGUCUUAUCCUGAUGUAUGUGUAGAUGACCAACCAAGGUCUGCAAAUACUUUGAAAUUCAUGAUGAGUAUUCGAUUUGGAUUUGUUUCUUAUCACUGAGAAAUUUCACCUUUCAUUCUUGAGAUGUAUAAUCCUCACAGGUUUGCGAGACAAUUUGGCUUUAGAACGAAAUUUCUUGGUUCACCAAGAAAGUUGGACAUUGUACCCAAUGUAGGUGACAUGUAUCGCGCUUGGUUGCCUUUCACUCAAAUGAAAAGUGGGUCUAUGAUCAUAUUCCAGAGUAUAUGAGGGAUACACAUCAAAAUGUUGAUGUCGAGUACUAGGCUUGGUGGAAUAGCCAAGUGUUGCCACUCUUGACCAGGGUCCAAGUGCAUGUCUUAUUUUUUCGUAAGAGGCGUGACUUUGUUCUUGGCCCGAUUCCGAAUAGGGUUAUAGUUAGGGGGUUAAACCAUCCAAAUGUUGCUCCUGAAAAGGCUUCUCAAAAGAGGGAUCCAAACCAUCAAAAUGAAAGAGGUAUUAAGAGAAUUAAAAUUAUAGUUCCCUCGGCAAAGAUUACUGCCACCUCUGAGCCUGCUGAUAAGGUGCUAGAAGCGAUUUUGAUUCCAAAUCACAGUAGUCCUAGAGAUCGAGCAUCCUAAGCACCAGGAAAAGCUUUAACUCUAGAAGACGAAAGUUCUAUAGAUCAGGUAUAAUUCUUUUUUUCUUUUUUCUUUUUUAACAAACUGCUUGUAUUUGAUUUCCUAUCACAAUCUUCAAUUUCAGACAGUUCUUUCUCAACUACACAAAAUCAAAUGAUCGGUAGAACUAAGAUUGUUUUAAGCUAUUCUAAGUCCUUCCAAAUGUGAAGUUGGAGCUUUUCACAUUAACAUCAGCCUUCCGAACACACCAUCAGAUGGUGAAUUUUUAGACAUAUCGCCUAGGACACAAAAUGCAAGUAUGUUUCUUAUUUUCAUUUGCUACACUCUUCUUUUUUAACUUUUUUUUUUUUGAAAUCAUACUUCAUUUUUUGUAGGUUUUUUUAGCAUCCUUGAAGGAUUAAAUUUCUCCUAAAUCCAAUUUUUUUGCAAGAUUAGACUGGCAAGUAUGAUGGUCGAAUCAAUGCACUUCAAAGAAUAGAUAAUAUUCAUGAUUCGCAUAACCCUCAUUGCAAAUAUCCGAGAACCAUCAAUGGAGGUAUUUCGGCAUUUAUAAUGGAUAAUUGUGAUACUGAAGAUGAAGUGAAUUUAGGGACUGUGAGAGCUAAUAUUUCAGAGAUCAAUCAAGGAGUCCGUGUCGUUUCGUCUUCGUUGGCUUUUAGUCAGUAUCCCGCCUUUACCAACAAAUAAUCAUCGGGCUGCACCAAUCUAUUCUUUCAUGUCUGGUCCUCUGCCUGAAAUUACCCAAGAGUCUCCUUACCUGAAAGCUGCUCUGCAAGAAGCCCUGACUAAUUACCUUCAAAAGUAUUUUAAGGACGUAUUGAAGUAUGGAUUCUACAACAUUCGAUCUUGAUAGGAUGAAAAUAAUUUAAUUCUUCAAAAUGUGAUUACCAGCUCAUUCCAUGCAGACUUAACGCAUUUGAUGAAGUGCAUGGAUGUAUUUUUGAAAGAAGUUGACUCUUACUUAUCUGAAAGAAAGCAACACUUGGAUUGUCCAAUCUUUGAAGAAAAAACUGAGCAGUUGAAACUUUUGAACAUUCAGCUGGAAGUAAAGGAUUCCACGUGUCCUUCGCUGAAAGGCAAAAUUAGUCAGCUAACAUUUAAGCUGGAUAGACUCCGUGAUGAACUUCAAGCUGAUUAGGAACAGAAGAGUAUGCUUGGAACUACAAAGGCAGCAAUGGAAGAAUCAUAGACAAGAGAUGUCACAGCAUAGCAUCCAUUGAUCAGAAAAGGAUGACCCUUGAAGAUAGUUUCCUACAAGUGAUCAAUGGCGAGUGAUCUUGAUGGAGUCAAGAAUUUCUGAUUUUUUUUCUUAUGACCAUAUUGUAUGAAUUUUACCUUGCUAUUUUUGUUUUGGAUAAACUUUUUUUUUUUUUUUUUUAAAAAGUGGUAAACAAAUUAAGGGAAUUUAUUAGUUGUGGCUGAACUUGAAUUUAUAAUUUAUUCAAACUGUCUGCGUACCCAAACAAGAUCAAGUCGAACGUAAUUCAUCACAAGAACACAUUUUUUUUACAAUGAAGAAUUCAAAAAAAAUAAAAAUAAAGAACUUCAGGCUUAAAAAAGCUUUAAAAAUUUUCCAUUGAAAGGCCAGAUUUGCAGUCCAUUUUUGUCGACGAUCCUGUACGCUCCAUUAGCAAAUGCAUGAGUAAUAAGAAAUGGACCGUCCCAUUUAGGUUGGAACUUACCCCCUAUUUUUCUUGUGACUAUGAUCGGCCUGCAUACGAAAAGUUCCAAAUCUCCAACUUGAAAUGAUCUUGGUUGUACAUUUUUGUUGAAGGACUUCACUAUUCGAGCUUGAUAGCACUCUAGGUAUAUUCGUGCCUCUAAUAUCUUCUCAUCUAAAGCUUCUAGUUCUUCCAAUCGAAGACGGGCAUUUUCUUCAGUUGUCAAACCUUCUUGGAUGGCAAUUCAAAGUUACAGGAUUUGACACUCCAACAGCUUCCACCCCAUGUACUAAGGCAUAAAGAGUCCGAUAAGUGGUUCGAUAAGCCCGUAAGACUUUACCAAUUUUCUCGUGUCAAUCUAUUUUUGAUUUGGAGACAACCUUUUUUAGCAAACUACACAGUAUUUUGUUGAACGCCUCUACCAUUCCACUAGCUAUUGCAUUUUACAUAGACGAGUUUGUACUGUUUGAACCCAAACUUUGCACAAAUUAUUUAUGUGGCUAUUGCAGAAUGGUUUGCCGUUAUCAGUUAUGAUGUGUCGCGGCACACCAUAUCAAUAAAUGAUUUGGACAUGAAUGAAAUCUAUUCUUUCUUUACAUCAUUCAAUGGUACGGCUUCGACUCACUUAGAGAAGUAGUGGGUCCCGACAAGGAUGUAUGCAUGCCCUGCUGAAGACUUUGGAGUUAUAGGUCCAAUUACAUCAAAACCCCAUGCAUUGAACGGCCAUGAAGCUACUAUAUGAUGUAAAAAUUUCGAAGGUUGAUGGAUGAAAUUCGUAUGGACUUGGCAAGCUUCACAUUUUCUUGCAUAAUUCAUGGAGUCUUGUACUAUAGUUGGCCAGUAAUACCCCAUCCUCUUUAUUCGAAAUUGGAGUUUGGGUCCAAACUGAUGGACACCACAAUUCCAGAGUGGGCUUCUUCCACGACCUGUGUUGCUUCAUCAUUACUUAGGCAUCAAAGGAAAACUCCAUCAAAUGAUCGUCAAUAAAGUAUUCCCUUAUAAAAGAUAAAGCGAGAGGCACGCCUCUUGAUUUCAGUUUUUCAUCGUGGAUUAUCUGAUAGUUUUUGAUGUUGAAGAAAAUUGAUUAUUGUCUGUCUCCAAUCUUCUCUUUCCCCAUCUUGGACUACUUUGACGCAAUUGUUUUCUUUCAAAUUACUAGGUAGCAACGACAAAAGCACCCAUCUUUGAGCAAUUGAUAUGGAGUGAAAGAAAUCUUCAUCUGACCUAGCGAAAAUAGUGGCCAAAUUAGCUAAGGCAUCAACUUCUCUGUUUUCACUUCUUGGGACGAAUUUGAUUUUUAUCGAAUCAAAUCAUCUCAUAAGUAUUGAUAAAUAUUCAUGAUAUGGCUUCAAGUCUGAAUUACGGACUUUAUACUCAACUAAAAGUUGGUUGAUUAUCAAUUUAGAACCUCCAAAGACUUCUAGCUAGUGGAUAUCCGUAUCUAACGCUGUCUCUAAGCCAAGUAUAAGGGCUUGAUAAUCCAUCACAUUAUUUGAACAUUUCUAUGUUAAGGUAAAAGAGUAGGACAUGACGAGAUCAUGGGGAUUGAUAAAGACUACUCUUGCUUUGGCACCAUAACUUCUGGCUCUCCCGUCGAAGUAUAGUCUCCAUAAUAGUGCGACUUCGACGAAUAGAACUUCUUCAUCGGGAAGAUCUUCCCAAAAUUCCCAUUCCACUAGAAUUGGGUGGUCAGCAAGAAAAUCUACCAAAGCUUGUCCUUUAAUGGCCUUUUGUGGAAUGAAUUUGAUAUUGUACUCAGACAAUAGCAGUGCCCAUUUUCCAAUCCUUCCAAAGAGAAUUGGCCUGGACAUUAUGUACGUUAAUGGAUCAAUCUUCGAAACAAGAUUGAUUGUAUGUGAUAGCAUAUAAUGUCUCAAUUUUUUAGCUGCGGAGAUUAACGCAAGGCAUAUUUUUCAAUAGUUGAAUUUUUCAUUUCAAUGCCUACUAGUGCCCAGCUUAAGUAAUAGAGCGCAUUCUCUUUUUCAUUCAUCAUUGAUUUGGAUAAGAAAUGCUCCUAAAGAAUAUUCUUGCACUUCAAUAUAAAGAGUCAAUCGCUUUUUUGGGACUAGAGCUGUGAGUACCCGUGGACGAGAUAAAUAUUAUUUAAUACUUUGAAAACCAUUUCAACAAGCUUCGUCCCACUCAAAUGGUACAUCUUUCUUCACCAAUUUGUUGAAUGGAUGACAGCGUUCGACAAGGUUAGAGAUAAAUCUUUGAAUGUAUGCAAGUUUUCCUUAAAGACUUUUUAACUCACGCACAUUUCUUGGCUCCGACAUGUUGAUUAUGGUGUCAAUUUUUUAUUGAUCUAUUUCAAUGCCCCAGUAUCGAACAACAAAGUCGAGAAAUUUUCUAGAGGUGACAUCAAAUGUACAUUUCAACGGAUUCAUCUUCAGUUGAUGUCUUCGAAAUCUUUUGAAAACAUCCCGUAAAUCUUGUAAAUGAUCGUCACGUCCUUUUUUUUAACAACAAGAUUAUUUACAUAGCAUUCCACGUUCUUAUACAGCAUGCCAUCAAAAAUCUUUUGAUUGCCCGCUGGUAGGCUGUCCUCGCAUCUUUAAUCCAAAAGGCAUAACUUUGUAACAAUAUAUACCUUUAGGGGUACGAAAUGAUGAAGCUCUUUGUCUUUCGGGUUCAUUCGUAUCUGGUUAUAUCCAAAAAAAUCUGUCCAUGAAAGAUAAGACUUCAUACCCGGUAGUUGCAUCUACCAUCAACUCUAUUAUAGGAAGUGGAAAAUUAUCUUUUGGAUAUGCUUGAUUCAGAUCCCAAAAGUCAAUGCAAAUUUGUAAUUUCCCAUUCUUCUUUUUUAAUGGGAACGAUAUUCGCAAUCCACGUUGGGUAUUUCACUUCGCGUAUGAAUCCAGCUUCAAUAAGUUUGUUGACUUCCACUUCAACUUGAGGGAUCAGUUCUGGUCAAAAUCUUCUUUGAGGUUGCUUGAUCGGUCGUACUCCAUAUCUUACUGCAAGAUAAUGCACUACAACCUUAGGAUCUAACCCUGGGAUUUCUUUGUAAGACCAUACAAACGCAUCUUUGUAUUCUUGAAGUAAAGUAAUGUACUCAAAUUCCUCUUUUUGACUAAGGAGUGCACUUACAAAUACUAGUCUUGGGUCUUCUUGGGUCCCAAAGUUCAAUCGUUUCAAGUCAUCCAUAGUAGCUUGUCUCCCUUCUUCAAAGGUAGGUAGGGUUGGUUCAGGUUCAUCAAUUAUGACAGAACUUUCAAACUCGGGGUCUAAGUCGGGAGCUUUAUCAAAGGCUAUGUGAUUGACAGAGGCUUCUUCCUUAUCUUCAUUACCCUUCAAGGAUGGACGAGCUUUUUGAUGUCUUCGUCUUCUUCUUGUUUGUUGUGCUUUUGGCCCUUAAUCAAAAUUCUUAAUUCCAAGUUGAGAAAAAGCAAAUUGUCUAUGGGAUGAAAUAUGUGGAGAUCUUGCAUUCCUAUCAAUUUGAGUAGAAGAAGAAGGAUUUUCACUUAACCGUUGGAAGACAGAGGCUUUACCUUUUAUGUCAACUGAUAAAUGUAUUUUUACACACUUGUUAGGCAAUUUAAUGGGCUAUUUAUUGAUGAAAUUGAAUGAAUUCCUAUUCAUAAUUGUGUAAUUGUUGUGUUUGUAGGAUAAAAUCCCAAAUUGGAGGAGAAAUGGCUGAAGGAAGGAAAAGAAGACCAAAAGUGCACAAAAAAUGAAUUUGGGCACUAAAGUGUACAAGUACCGAAAGUUUAAGGAUCGAAUAUUGCAAAAUUUGGAUGACUUGAUUGAAAGAAAUUCAAAUACUGAGGACUAAAAUGUACAAGUUCAAAGUUGAGGGAUCUGGUGUGUAAAUACGGUGAGGACCCGCGUUGCAAAUAAGGAAAAAUGGGGUUUGGUACUAUAGCGGCACUGCUGCGCCAUUGUAGUAGCAUCGCGGUGCACGCCUCUAUCCACUGUGGCACUGCAAAGCCAUUUUCAGAGUGUUGUGGUGCCACGUUUGCAGCUAAAGACCUGAUUGGCUAUAUUUUUGUAGUUAUAGAUCAUUUUACAAUUACAAAAAAUGGUUUUAGAGCCAUUUAAAAGGCGAAAUUGAACCAUUUUCUUCCAUUCUUCAUUCAUUUUAAAACCCUAGCUUAGAGAGAAAGGGGACAAGAAAGAAAGAGAGGAAAUACUACACAAAAGGAGGAAAACCUUGAAGAAAUCAAGACCAACACUAAGCAAGCUUCAAGGAUUCGACCAAGGGAUGGGUUUAUUGUAUUUUGUCUUGUAUUUCUUAUUAUCUUUUCUUAAAUUUGCAAUGUAUUUCUUUAACCUUUCCAUUUUGUGUCUUUAAAACACAACGGGCUAAACAAUUUGGUGUUUGGAUGAAUGAGCAAGCUUGGCUAGACUAUAUAAAUUUCUUUAUUCAUUAUUUAGUGCUUAUGUUCUUGUGUUUUUACCAUUGUUUUGAGUGCUUUAUCAUUAUUGUGGCUACUAGGUGAUAAAGUCAAGUGAUUUGUGUUAUUAUUGAAAAAUUCUUGCACACUUUAGACUAAGGUGGUAAAAAUCCUAGGUUCUUGUGGAGAUAGAGAUAUACUCUUAGUCCUAGGUAAUCCUUUGAGUUAUUUUCAUUGAUAUGUAAUGCUUUCGAUUGUGUUUAAUCAACAUAGAGAUAUAGUAUGAUAAAUCAAUUAAUUAGAAUUAGUUUCACUUGAGAAAGGUAAUUAACUAUAAUAGGAAAAUCGGGUUUGACAAGAAAAGUGAGCAACAUUCUAUUAAAUUGUUAUGAGGAAUUAAUUUAGUGACGACCAAGUGAAAUCUUGAAUCCCAACCCGACUAAAAUCUAACUCCUAUCAUAAUUGCAAUUGGGUAUUUCACUUGAAUGCUUAGAAUCAUUUUCUUUUAAUAUUCAAAUUCAAUGAUAUUAAUUGUGUGUGUCUUGACCGCUUUUCGAAUCAACUCCUAUGUAAUUGGAGUAAACACUUUUCGAGGGAUCGACUCGGACUCAAAAAGUCCAAUCAAUAACUUGUGUGCGACCCGUGCACUUAAGGUGUAGAAUUUUAGCGAACAAUGACCUAUAAAAUUUUUAAUCUGUGCCCUAGAGAAAAUCUGUGACUAACUAAUUUGAUAAUAUAUGACCAAUAAAUAAGUUGUGAGCUAUAAUUAUGUAUAUGUGAUCAUUAAUUGUAUAAUUGUGACCUUAUUAUAUUAAUUAAUCAAUAUUCUUAAAUAAUUAGUUAAUACCUGAUUUUUGCAUUCUUUUUUAAAACUUAAAACCUAAUUUUUGAAUUGUCCAUACUUAAUACAUGACUUAUGAAUUUUUCUCAAACAACAAAAUGGGACUUAAUAAGAGGCUCAAAAUAUUUGGACACAACUUACAUUCUUGGUUUAAUGAAUAAAAUGGACCUACUAUUUAACUAUUACCUAGUUCUGUCUCUUCUUUUUACAUUCUUGGUUUAAUGAAUAAAAUGGACCUACUAUUUAAAUUAAAAGGGACACGCCCUCCUAAAAAGACAGCAUCAAGAUCGCCUAAUUCAUAAGUCUCUCCUUUUCCAAACCCAGCAUUUUCAAACAACUUUUUAACUUGAGGAUGAUAACAUCCUUUAAAAGUUUGUUUUGAUUCAGCAGCUCCUUCAGUACCCGACACUUCUCGUUUGGACGACCUAGAAAUACAUAGCUUUGAUAUGUUUGGAAUGGAUGUCGAAGUUUUCAAUGUAGAUUUUUGUUCUUCCAGGACUGCCAUAAGUUGGUAGGGCAGAAGUAAUUUUGGAAUACUAGGCAUUGGAAGAGUUAAUUCUUUUCUCAACACCUCAACAUCGGUUGAUUUUAUUUGAGGUUUUUUGCCUUUAGAGAAUCCUUCGGAUGUAAAUUUUGGCUUUUGAUAAGUUGAUGAGAUUGGGCAGUAGUAGACGUAUUAUGAUCGUCUAUAUCUUCUGUGAUUUUAAAUCCAGACAUGGUCAACCUGCAGAAUUGCACUCUUCAUCUUCCAUGUAAAUUUUGGCAUUAGCGAAAUGAGAUUCUUCUUCAAGGAAUGGUUUAGACUCAGCUACCACACAUUUAAUUUCUCCAUCUCGACUAUAAUUAAAGCAUUGGUGCCAAGUUGAAGGUACUAUCCAGUUUCAUGUAGCCAAACAUGUUCAAGGAGUAACUCAUAUGAUGUUUUAACAUCAAUAACAUGGAAGAGAGCUGAGGAAAUUAACUCUCCUUUUUGUAGCUUCAAAGACGGAUAAUGCCAAUGGCUUGUUGACCUUUCUAAUUGAAUCCUUGAAUCACGAUUUUGCUUCUAGACAGAUCACCAAUAUUAAUUCCAGUUUUCUUCAUUGUUUUGACCAGCAUAAUAUUCACAGCAGAUUCACAAUCGAUCUUUAUGCGAUGUAUCCUGCAUUCUCGAAUAUAACCACUAACAUACGGUGGUCUAUUAUGUAAAUGAGAACCCAAUUGUAAAUCUUCAUCAUCGAAUGUUAUGGCAACCAUAUAAUUUUGUCAGGUUCUAGAUCCAAUAUAUUCUAAGAGUUUGCCUUCGUAUUCUUCCAGAUUGAUCAAUGUCGUAACCAAAGUCAUUUGGUCAUCGAAAGGAAAACUAAGAAACUCUGGUAAAAUCAUAUUGGCAGACACAUUAAUGAGUCAUGAGGUAGUUUUCUUUUACUCCAAAGUCUGCAUUGAUACGUCGUUCGUUUCAUUUUUCUCCUCUACACUGAUUACAUUGGAGGUAAGACAUUCUUUAUCAAAGAAACUCUAUAAAAAUAAUCAACCAGGGUUGGUAGUCCAGGAAGAAUGCGUGAAGCUGCUUCUCCUCCAAUUGAUUUAGUAGAUACUCUUGACUUGGCUUAGGCCUUCUUACUUGGUUGUUCUCUGGUCUUGAUUUCUUGUCAUAAAAAUUAGAACUUGGGAGCUAUGAAACCUUCCGAUAACAUUUUUUCACAACGGUCCAUGCCCCCUGAUCUUUUUCUAGUGUUUUCUUUUUAUUGGGUUGAAUUUUCGCACCCAAUUCCUCCACCUUUGGUCCUGCAAGAGGCUUAGAAUGUGACAAUUUUACCUAUUUUGUUUGGCACUCUGUAUUUUUCUUUCUUGCUUAUGAAGCUAGACUAGUCGUCACCGAUCUCAUCUUCAAAUUUUGAGUCAGAAUCCUAAACAUCCAAGUCACCUGUCAUAAUUUCAUAAAAGGUUGGACGAUUAGGUUUGUUGGGUCCAUCCAUCCCUAGAUAGACAUAACUGAUGGUAAUUUCUGCGUCUACCUCAAACUCUACUGGGACGGCUCCUUCUGGAAACUAAGGUCCAAACUACUCAACCGAUAAUUUAUAGGCAUCGUGUACAUUGGAAAAUGUUUAUUUCUUCCUUGCAAUGAGAAUUGGAUUAAAUGAUCCAAAUGAAACCAUCGAGUAGACGGCUGUUAAAUUCUCUCCAGUUUCAAGUUUGAUCUUAUUUUCUUCGUCGAGGCGAACAAUAAGAUCUUCCAAGACAAAGCAUUUUUUCACUGGGUGACUAAUGAUUCUUUGAAAUUUAUAGUAUUUAGGAUGAUCGAUCUCACCAGCUUCCUCGGGUCUUUUUGGUACUUGAAUUUCAAGCUGAUCUAGAAUUCCAAAAACUUCAAAAUCUAAGGAUGGUUACUCAUUUCCUUCAAGUUCUUUCAGAAUCACAUGACCUCUGCUUUGGACUUGUCCUUUAUUAGGUCUGAACUUUGGCUUCGAUUUUGGGUUCGAGCUCAACCCCUGGAAGGCUAUCUUUAUAGGAAUAGUAGAAAUUGCCAUAGCUUCUUUAGAUUUACUUGCCUUAACGUCCUUCUUUAUUUCUUUCCUAGAAUCCUUUUUGUCACAUAGAUCACUUGAUAAAUAACUCCCAUGCCCAGCAAUUUAGAGUUCCAGGUCAUAAGCACGUGUCACCCAUUCUUCAAAUGAGUGAGGUAUAUUUGCCUGAAGAUUUUAGAGUAAUCCCCAAUGCAUGCCUCGUACACACAUGUCGAUGGAAGAUGCUUCACUUAUUCGUUCUUUGCAGUUAAGCCCGAGGCUCUUCCAGCAUUCAAUGUACUCCACAAUAGGCUCUUCCUUGCUCUGUUUUGUUCGAGCAAGUUCCGGAAAACUGAUAGUUUGUCGGGUAUUAUAGAAGUGUGUUAGGAACUCUCGUUCAAGUUGAUCUCUACUAUCAAUUGACCUUGCAGGUAAGUCUGUGUACUAUUCAAACGUGGUACCUUUGAGUGAGCAUAUGAACUGCUUCACCAUAGUGUCAUUUUAAGUAUCUGCAUUAUUACAAUUUUCAAUAAAAUGAGCAACAUAUUGCUUUGGGUUUCCCUUUCCAUCAAAACACUGAAAUUUUGGAGGUUGGUAAUCGAGCUGCUUCUUCAUUUUGUCAAUUCGACGACUAUAGAACUUGGCAUACACCAGUGAAGAUUGCAAUGAACUACCAUAUUGGGCAUGAAUAGUGUUCGCAAUCAUAUGUUGAAGUUGUUGGACGGACGGAGAGCCAACAAAGAGUUGAGUGGUGUCACGCAACACGUUUUGAACAACUAUCUGAUCAUUCAUAUCUUGUUUCUAUUGGUGCUCUUGGACUUCUAGCUCUUUGGCUUUGGAAGAUCCUAAUUUUUCUUGAUCUUCUUUAACCGGUGGAUUUUAUGACUCUAGCCUGUGCAUGAGUGUAGCGAUCUAUACAUCUUUAUCUUCUAAUGACUUUGUUAAUUUUUCAAUGGCUAAAGCCAUUUGUUUGAUUCGAUCAUUUGAGCCCGAUGCCACUUCUGUGACCAUCACUGGCUCAAGUGAUUCUUCAGAUGAAGUAUCAUCUUCCCACCUUUGCUAAGAAGUGGCAUGAGGAGAUCCAGACAAAGAUCUACCACUGGAGAUGGAGCUCGAACGAGAGCUAUUCAUCGAACUCAUGGUCCUUUUUGUCGAAUGAGAGUUUAGCUCUUUGGAGGCAAUUUCAUUUUGCCUUUGUUGGAGAAUUUCUUCAGUGGUGGGACCAAUUGAGUUUUCCCAAUUUUUGUUUGGUCUAUGGUCGCGUGGAAGAGUUCAGCAAGUGUCUCUUCAAGAUGAAUCAUAGUUUGUUUCGCUUUUCACCUGCCAUUGCUGAUGUAGUGGUUGAAACUUAAAGAUUCUAAGAUCAAAAGAUGAGAGGACAAGAAGGUCUCACCGGGCAUGCCAAAAAAUUUGUACGACGGAUUUUGAGUAUUAAAAUACAAAAAUCGUUACAAGUUGUAUUUUUAUAUAUAAAAAAAAACAAGUGAUGUCGACCUUCUUGUAAUUGCAAAGUUGUAAAAAUCCUCUAAUUAAUUAUCUGAAUAUUUGAAGACAAGGAACCACUAGCUUGAAUCCUGAUUUUCGAGAAUUUGUUGAAAAUUUGAUUUGUUGAGACUUAAAUUGUUUGGUACUUGAACUUCGGGGCUUGAACUUGAACUUGAAUUUUAUUUGAUUUGAAUAAGACUUUGAUCUUCCUAGACUUCGCGUGAACCUUUUAAUUUGAAGAAGAUUUUGAUCUUCUUGGGAUUCUCUGAGUUUAGGUUUCCCUUCCUCCGGCUUAGGAAUUUCUUCAGCACUUCAUGGUUGCCUUCUCUACUUUCGCUUCUUCUUGCUUUUCUUCUACUUCCUCCUUUCUCCUUAUGAGCCCUUGGUCCUAUUUAUAAGGGAGAAUUUGUGUUAAUUUUGGUAAUUACUCAAUAAUUGAGUAAUUAAUUAUUUAUUUAUUUAAAAAGUUAGGUGGGCAUUUGCUUUUUAUAGGCUUUAGUAGGCUUCAAUUUAUUUGGGCUAGUGAUUUAAAUCGAUCCAAUCAAUUUUCUAUAUUUUUUGUCUACAGGGCAAUUUUGAACUCAUUUUGGUAAUUUAGCCAUAACUUUGAGUACAGUUAUCAGAAUAGCAAUAAUGACCCCGAUUCGGAAAACUCUUUUCAGUAUGUACGACAUGAUCACCUAUCUAUGCUUAGUGGGCAUCAAUUUUGGGGCCAAAAUCCAUUGUUUUCCUCCCGAAUUUCCAUUUUUAGUAAUUUUUUUCCAAUUAUGGUAAUAUUUUGGUUGUCAUUUUCGAGGUGAUUAUGAACCAGAUUUUUGGCGACAUACUUCAUUUAUUACGUAUUUUAUUUUGGUAUGAUUAUUAGGAUUUUGCUAUUUUUUGUAAAAUUUCGAUAAUUUCGAAUUUUCUCAGCCAUAUAACUCAGUUUGUAGGUUAUUUUUCGUUAUUCGACAAUUUUAAUAAAAUUGAAUUAAGUUUUAGAGAAUUCUCUCUAUCUUUGGACAUUUUUCUUCGCAUUCCUUCUUGUAAAAUAUCAUUGCAGUUAGCCUGCAGGAUAAUCUCUCUCCUGCCCAGUGUGUUAGUUGAUAUCAGAGCAACCAGCAUCUUUCUCGGUGAGUUUCCGUUAGUUUAAAUGGUUAGUGGACCUGGUCAUGGUCAUCGCGGGCAAGGUUCGAUUGAGGAAGUCCCACACCAUGAUCAUAAUAUUCAGGAUGUGACGAUUGAGUAUUUACAGCGGUAAGUUGCUAAGUAAACUCAACGCCUAGUGGAAUAGGAAUUCGGAACCAUAAAGUGCAGAAUCACGAUUUUGAUACUAGUUUUGAAAACUCGUAUCAUAAUCAUGGUCGGGUCUGGGAGCACCGUGGAUGGGAAGAUCGCCAUGUACACCUCGGCUUUAAAGUAGAUCUGCCCGAGUUUUCUGGUACUUUAUAGGCCGAAGGAUUUGUUGAUUGGCUGAAUAAAAUGGAGUGUAUUUUUUAGUAUGAGGAGGUUUCAAACUGUGUCAAGGUAAAACUGGUUGCCAUCAAACUCAAGGAUAGAGCAUCAUCAUGGUGGGAAUAUUUGAGGCGUUCACGAGAGCGACAUGACAAACCCAAGAUAACUGAUUGGAGAAGAUGAAGAAGAUGAUGAAAAUCUACUUCCUUCUUUUCGGCUAUACUCAAACCUUGUUUCAAUAGCUCCAUUUACUAAGGUAAGGCACGAGAUCGGUUGAUGAUUAUACGGAGGAGUUUUACCAAUUGGUAGCCUGGAAUGAUUUAUUUGAAAUGGAAAAGUAGAUGGUGGCACGGUAUUUCGGGACAUUAAAGCAACCCCUAUAGGAUAUCCUCAGCCUUUACUCGUUGUGGAUCCUUUCUGAAGCAUACCAACUUGCACUUGCUAUAGAGAACCAGUAGAAUAGGAAGCCAAUGAUCGGGGAUGAAAGUUGUCAGCUAGUUCGCCCUCAAGAAUCCCGUAAUGCCCAUCAGCCAUUAUGGGACAAUUCUAACUCAAGGAUUGAAUGUUUCAGAUGUGGUGAACAGAGACAUAGGGCGACUGACUACAAAAAGCCAGCUGGUUAGAAGAGUAGAAAUCUCCUAAUUGAGGAGGACAUGGUUUGAGAAUUCGAUGAGGUUGGAGAACCUGUAUAUGAUACCCUCAAGAAUCCCGUAAUGCCCAUCAGCCACUAUGAGACAAUUCUAACUCAAGUAUUGAAUGUUUCAGAUGUGGUGAACAGAGACAUAGGGCGACUGACUACAAGAAGCCAGCUAGUUAGAAAAGUAGAAAUAUCCUAAUUGAGGAGGACAUCGUUUGAGAAUUCGAUGAGGUUGGAGAACCUAUAUAUGAUGAUGCUGAAGAUGAAGACGUGCUGUAUGGAGAUGGUUAGAAGACUCUAGUCGUUCGUAAGAGUCUACUAACUCCCAAAGGUGAUUUAGGAGAUGACUAGUUGAGGACCAAUUUUUUUCACACGACCUGUACAGUUGCAAAUAAAAUCUACAAAAUGAUCAUUGAUAGUGGCAAAUUGUGAGAAUGUAGUAUUCGAAGAGGCUAUCCAGAAGCUACAAUUAAAGACAGAUUGUCAUCCUAAAUUGUAUAAAUUAUCAUGGCUGAAUGAAGGCAACGAGGUAACAGUAGAAAGCGAUGUCUAGUGUCUUUUUUGAUCGGUAAGAAAUAUUUUGAUAAUCGUAUCUAUGAAUGCUCUUCAUGGUUUGUUGGGCUAAACUUGACAAUAUGAUCACAGUGUCAUUCAUGAUGGAUGAAAGAAUACAUAUUCCCUUAGCAUCAAAGGAAAGAAGAUUGUGUUGUCGCCUCGUUGGGAAAAAAUUAUCUGUACCCAUUAGUUAAUAAUACCAACCUACUUUUUAUGUCCAGGUUUUUCGUUGAGAUUGGGCAUGAAGACGUGGUCUAUGCUUUGCUACCAUAUGAAAAUAGUACAGUAAAUGAUGAUCCAGAUUUACCAGCAGAAGUGCAGCAGCUAUUAACGAAGCUUCCUGACCUAAUGCCAAAGGAUCUCUCUCUAGGGUUACCGCCUAUGAGGGAUAUUCAACAAUAGAUUGACAUUAUUCUAGGGUCGAGCUUGCCUAACCGACCAGCAUACCUCCUCAACCUUAAGGAAGCUAAAGAGUUACAGUAGCAGGUAGUAGAAUUAAUGGAGAGAGGCUAUAUCCAUGAGAUUAUGAGUCCAUGUAUAGUUCAUGCUCUACUAUAGCCGAAGAAAUAUGAUUCUGGGCAUAUGUUUGUUGAUAGCAGAGCAAUCAACAGGAUUACAGUAAAGUACAGGUUCCCAAUUCCCCGCCUUAUGAUAUGUUAGAUCAGCUAUUCGGCUCUAAGGUCUUCUAAAAAAUUGACCUUAAAAGUGAAUACCACCAAAUCAGAAUAAGGCUUGAAGAUGAAUAGAAGACAGCUUUUAAGAUACCGCAUAGAUUGUAUGAGUGGAUAGUCAUACUCUUUGGACUAUCUAAUGCGCCAAGCAACUUUAUGAGAUUUUUGCAUCAGGUUUCAUGGGCAUUACAUUUUGAUCAGCUCCUUGCUACUUUUGUAUGCUAAGGAUGGAUCGCCUACUGAUGGUGUUUAUGCAGAUCAAUCAAAAAUAGAGGCAAUCUUGAAUUGGCUCAAGCCAAAGACCUUACACUAUGUCAGAAGUUUCCAUAGAUUAGCGUUCUCCUACCAUCAAUUCAUCAAGAAUUUCAUCACUCUGAUUGUCCCUAUCACAGAGUAUUUUAAGGGUGAUUUUCAAUGGACUGUGAAGGUAGAAGCCAGCUUUCAAUUGGUCGAGCAAAAGAUAACAGAGGCUCUAGUGUUGGCACUUUUCGACUUUAAAAAAGCGUUUGAAGUAAAUUGUGAUGCAUCUGAGAUUGGCAUUGGUGGUGUUCUAAGUUAAAAGGGGCACCUAGUAGCCUUUUUCAGUAAGGAUUUAUCAGGAAUGAAGAAGAAUUAUUCCACGUAUGAUCUGGAGUUUUAUGCCAUCGUUCAGUCCCUAAAGCAUUGGCGUCAUUACUUGGUACAGAGGCCCUGAAAUACAUCAAUGGUCAACACAAGCUGAGUAGAUGACAUGUAAAGUGGGUUGGGGUACUUGCAAGAGUUCACAUUUACACUUAGGCACCAAGCUGGUAGCCUGAACUAUGUUAUAAAUGUAUUGAGCUGUCGCACACUGCUCCAUACCACCAUGAGCACCAGGGUUGUAGGAUUUGAGGCAUUUCCUAAUAUGUAUGUUGUAUACCCUUCCUUCAAGAAGAUAAUUCAAGAGUUAACUGAUAAUAAACGACGUGAUUUUAUUUUGCAUAAUGGCUAUCUCUUUCAUGGAUUACAGUUGUGCAUUCCAGAAUGUUCACUGACGCAACAUAUUAUUAACAAACUUCAUAACGAGGGACUCUUUGGGUGUGAUAAGACAUUGUCCUUGGUUUCUUUUGACUAUUAUUAGCCCAAAUUGAACAGUGACAUGGCGCAUUUACGUGUGUCAGGGUCUAGAGGAAUUCUCACUAAUGCGAGACUGUAGAUGUCUUUACUUACACCUGAAGCCCAUGGAAUGAUGUGAGAAUGGAUUUUGUACUGGGCUUAUCCUGUACUCAACAGGUGAUGGAUUCUAUUUUUGUUCUGGUUGAUAGGUUUUCCAAGAUAGCACAUUAAUGGUGUUAAGAUAUUGUGAGUUGGCAGUUCGGCACAAAGAUGGCAAGCGAUCGUGAUCUUUUCUUAAUUGGUGCGGUUCUGAACGCAUUUGACCAUAACUUUGGCUCUGGUUAUCAGAAUUGCAACUAUGACCCCAAUUCAAAAAGUUCUUUUUAGCGUGCACGACGUAGUCACCCAGUUAUGCUUGGUGGGCAUCAAUUUUGGGGCCAAAAACCAUUUUUUCCCUCUCAAAUUCCCUUUUUAGUUUUUUUUCCAUUUAUGGUAAUAUUUCGAUUGCCGUUUUCGAAGAUAUUAUGAACCCGAUUUGAACUAGAUUUUGACAACUUACUUCUUUUAUUACGCAUUUUAUUUUGGUAUGAUUAUUAGGAUUUUGCUAUUUUUGGUAAAAUUUCGAUAAUUUCGAAUUUUCUUAGCUAUAUAACCCGGUUUGUGGGUUAUUUUUCACCAUUCAGCAGUUCUAAUAAAAUUGGAUUAAAUUUUAGAGAAUUCUCUGUCUUUGGGCAUGUUUCUUCCCUCUCCUUCCUGUGAAAUAUCUGUUGCAGCUAGCGUGCAGGAUAAUCGUUAUCAUGUCCGGUGUCAUUAUUUUACUUUGCUUCCAUAAAAGGAGGAUUUUAGGUUCUUCCCUGACACUUGUGAUUUUUUUGCCAUUCUCUUGCUGAUGCUGUUGAGAAAUGAUGUUUUGACGUAUCAUUUGUUUGCCUUAUCCACACAAAGCUCAUCAAAGUUUGCAACAAAUACCUAUUGAGUUCAUCACAGUAACUUCUUCGUCCUAUUUCACAGUUUUUAGUUGAAGAGAUUGAAGCCCAUAUAUUGCAACCAUAGAAACAGAAGUCACAAUAUUAAAUUUCUCUUCAGCACAUAAAUUGAUCCAAGAAAACAAAAAGGAUGUCAUGAAAAAGAAUGAAGUGCAGUAUUUUAUGUCAUCCAGCUCUUCUUUCUCUUCAACUUUCUCUUCCUUCUUUGUUUCAGUAACAGCUGGGUCAACAGCACCUCCUACUGCAGCAGGUGCAGCUAUAGCAACUAUACCACCGUCGACGGGAACUGAAGCCAAAUUCUCUCUUCUGAGUGCAAUCACUCUACGACAAAAUUUCGUGUAUUAAAAUACAGAAAUCGUUACAAAUUGUAUUUUGAUAAAAUACAAAUGAUAUUGACCUUCUUGUAAUUGAAAAAUUGCAAAAAUGCUCUGAUUAAUUAUUUGAAUAUUUGAAGACGAGGGGCCGCGUAACUUGAAUCCUAGUCUUCGAGAAUUUUUUGAAAAUUUGAUUUGUCGAGACUUGACUUGUUCGGAACUUGAAUCUUGAGGCUUGGAUUUGGACUUUGACUUGGACUUGAAUUUGAUUUGAUUUGAAGAAAACUUUGAUCUUCUUAGACUUGGCAUGAACCUGUUUGAUUCAAAGAAGAUUUUAAUUUUCAUGGGGUUCACCGAGUUUAGGUUUAAGAGAAUUUCUUCCCUUCUUCCGACCUUAGAAUUUCUUCAGCACUUUGUGGCGUUCUCUAAUUUCUUUCUUGCUUCGCUUUUACCUUCCCUUAUCUUAUGGACCAUUAGUCCUAUUUAUAGGGGAGAAUUCAUACUAAUUUUGAUAAUUAUUCAAUUUAAUUAAAAUGAGUAAUUGAGUAAUUAUGAUUUUAUUUAUUUGUUUGUUUAUUUAUUUUUUUAAAAUACGGUAUGGGCCUUUGGGUUUAUGGUUUAUGGACCUUAGUAGACUUUAAUUUAAUUGGUCUAAUAAUUUAAAUCAACCAAAUCAUUUUUUUUUAUGUCUAAAAAGUCCCCUCAUAAUGAAAAAUUUGAGAAUAAGAAUUAUUUUAUUUUAUUUUAUUCUUUGAUCGAAUUUUGAUUAUUUAUUUGUUUAUUUUAUACGAUCCAUAAUAAAUUUGAUUUGAACAGGUUUCUUAUGUAUUAUGGUAAAUUGGAUUUAUGUGAAGUCCGUUACUCGCCUAUUUAUAAUAAGGAAUUAUAAGACUUGGAACAACUCUGUUAAAUCUUGCAAACAAAGGUAAAGUAUAUAUUUUAUUUUAAUUUUCUCUCUCUCUCUCUCUCUCGUUUCCUCUCGCUCUCUCUUUUUUUAAUAUAAUAUUAUUUUAUUUUUCUUGGUUUUGGCAGAAACCAAGAAACCAAUUGAGAUUGGUUUCUGCUAAAAGCAUAAACCAUUUUUAUUUUGUUAUUUAUUUUAUUUUAUUUUAUUUUAUUUUUUUGGGUUUCACACAAUUCUUUUUUUUUCCUUAUUUUUGAACCCAAUUCCAAUUGUUGGAAUUGGUUUUGCCGAAAAUGGCAGAAAUUACCUUUUCAACAAUUUUUAUUUUUUAUUUUAUAUUAACUCUUGAUAUGAUUUUUUUAACCAAUUGUUGGAAUCGAUUUCUCUCGAAACCUCAUUUUCAAUAUAUAUAUAUAUAUAUAUAUAUAAGUCUGGGGUGUAUAAAUAUCUUUACAGAAUUUAUAAUCUGUCUUUUUUAAUUGAUUUUGAAUUUGUAAUUCUAUACAUUUUUUUUCUAAACAUUGCAUUAUAAAUUGUGUUCUUACUCCUAUACUCCAUAAUUGAUCUGGUUUUUCUAAAACGGUUUUAUUUUCAUUCCACUUUUUUGUUAUUUCUAAUCCUAAAGGACUGGUACCAAAUAAGGGGGGGUCCCUGAAAAAGAGGUUAUUUCAAGGAUUUUAAGGUUGUUAUAGGGAGUUUGUUAAAACAAUUAUGAAAAAUCCUACUCAGUACUCUUCUUAAUUGAGAUUUCUUUUUCUUUUGGUAAAAUAAUAUCCCUUUUUUUUUUCUUUUUUUUUUUUUAAAACAUGUCAUCUGAGAUAUAUGAACUUGGGCCUAACUCCAUUCUAGUAAGGACACCACUGGCACUCCCUUAACAAGAAUUCUUAAAACAGUGAUCCCUUUCCCUCUUAUAUGCGUCUCUUAGCCUCUUCACUGGGCCUUUACGCUUUGAGAGGUCACUCAGGGCUUAUUUUAAAAACAGUUUUUAAGCUUUUAACUUGGAGUUAAGACAUGCUCUUAUCAUAUACUCAGCAUGAAGCAUAAAAAUCUUUACAAGAAUCAUAAAAAUUUUAUAAACAGAAACUGUUCUUAAAAGAUCUGGGACUAAUAUUAACUAUUAGCACCAUAUCUUAAAACUAUAAACAUACCUACAGGAAUGAUCCAUCUGUAGUUUAAAACAAAAUAUUAAAAUAUUUUUGUGGGAUAUUAUUCUAUCUAAGAAUAAGAACAAUUAAGAAUUUCCCUUUCGGGAAGAAAAGAAAAUUAGAACAUCUUUGAGAAAACUCAAGGCUUUGUAUUGUAUAAAUUUUCUUGUGUGUAUACAAAUGAAAGAAUGAUCUCCUUUUAUAGGAGAGAAAAGAGAGAGGAAGCGUUUUUCAAAAGCAAGGAAUCUUUGCUUUUUUCAAAACGUCAAAAAGAAAANNNNNNNNNNNNNNNNNNNNNNNNNNNNNNNNNNNNNNNNNNNNNNNNNNNNNNNNNNNNNNNNNNNNNNNNNNNNNNNNNNNNNNNNNNNNNNNNNNNNNNNNNNNNNNNNNNNNNNNNNNNNNNNNNNNNNNNNNNNNNNNNNNNNNNNNNNNNNNNNNNNNNNNNNNNNNNNNNNNNNNNNNNNNNNNNNNNNNNNNNNNNNNNNNNNNNNNNNNNNNNNNNNNNNNNNNNNNNNNNNNNNNNNNNNNNNNNNNNNNNNNNNNNNNNNNNNNNNNNNNNNNNNNNNNNNNNNNNNNNNNNNNNNNNNNNNNNNNNNNNNNNNNNNNNNNNNNNNNNNNNNNNNNNNNNNNNNNNNNNNNNNNNNNNNNNNNNNNNNNNNNNNNNNNNNNNNNNNNNNNNNNNNNNNNNNNNNNNNNNNNNNNNNNNNNNNNNNNNNNNNNNNNNNNNNNNNNNNNNNNNNNNNNNNNNNNNNNNNNNNNNNNNNNNNNNNNNNNNNNNNNNNNNNNNNNNNNNNNNNNNNNNNNNNNNNNNNNNNNNNNNNNNNNNNNNNNNNNNNNNNNNNNNNNNNNNNNNNNNNNNNNNNNNNNNNNNNNNNNNNNNNNNNNNNNNNNNNNNNNNNNNNNNNNNNNNNNNNNNNNNNNNNNNNNNNNNNNNNNNNNNNNNNNNNNNNNNNNNNNNNNNNNNNNNNNNNNNNNNNNNNNNNNNNNNNNNNNNNNNNNNNNNNNNNNNNNNNNNNNNNNNNNNNNNNNNNNNNNNNNNNNNNNNNNNNNNNNNNNNNNNNNNNNNNNNNNNNNNNNNNNNNNNNNNNNNNNNNNNNNNNNNNNNNNNNNNNNNNNNNNNNNNNNNNNNNNNNNNNNNNNNNNNNNNNNNNNNNNNNNNNNNNNNNNNNNNNNNNNNNNNNNNNNNNNNNNNNNNNNNNNNNNNNNNNNNNNNNNNNNNNNNNNNNNNNNNNNNNNNNNNNNNNNNNNNNNNNNNNNNNNNNNNNNNNNNNNNNNNNNNNNNNNNNNNNNNNNNNNNNNNNNNNNNNNNNNNNNNNNNNNNNNNNNNNNNNNNNNNNNNNNNNNNNNNNNNNNNNNNNNNNNNNNNNNNNNNNNNNNNNNNNNNNNNNNNNNNNNNNNNNNNNNNNNNNNNNNNNNNNNNNNNNNNNNNNNNNNNNNNNNNNNNNNNNNNNNNNNNNNNNNNNNNNNNNNNNNNNNNNNNNNNNNNNNNNNNNNNNNNNNNNNNNNNNNNNNNNNNNNNNNNNNNNNNNNNNNNNNNNNNNNNNNNNNNNNNNNNNNNNNNNNNNNNNNNNNNNNNNNNNNNNNNNNNNNNNNNNNNNNNNNNNNNNNNNNNNNNNNNNNNNNNNNNNNNNNNNNNNNNNNNNNNNNNNNNNNNNNNNNNNNNNNNNNNNNNNNNNNNNNNNNNNNNNNNNNNNNNNNNNNNNNNNNNNNNNNNNNNNNNNNNNNNNNNNNNNNNNNNNNNNNNNNNNNNNNNNNNNNNNNNNNNNNNNNNNNNNNNNNNNNNNNNNNNNNNNNNNNNNNNNNNNNNNNNNNNNNNNNNNNNNNNNNNNNNNNNNNNNNNNNNNNNNNNNNNNNNNNNNNNNNNNNNNNNNNNNNNNNNNNNNNNNNNNNNNNNNNNNNNNNNNNNNNNNNNNNNNNNNNNNNNNNNNNNNNNNNNNNNNNNNNNNNNNNNNNNNNNNNNNNNNNNNNNNNNNNNNNNNNNNNNNNNNNNNNNNNNNNNNNNNNNNNNNNNNNNNNNNNNNNNNNNNNNNNNNNNNNNNNNNNNNNNNNNNNNNNNNNNNNNNNNNNNNNNNNNNNNNNNNNNNNNNNNNNNNNNNNNNNNNNNNNNNNNNNNNNNNNNNNNNNNNNNNNNNNNNNNNNNNNNNNNNNNNNNNNNNNNNNNNNNNNNNNNNNNNNNNNNNNNNNNNNNNNNNNNNNNNNNNNNNNNNNNNNNNNNNNNNNNNNNNNNNNNNNNNNNNNNNNNNNNNNNNNNNNNNNNNNNNNNNNNNNNNNNNNNNNNNNNNNNNNNNNNNNNNNNNNNNNNNNNNNNNNNNNNNNNNNNNNNNNNNNNNNNNNNNNNNNNNNNNNNNNNNNNNNNNNNNNNNNNNNNNNNNAUGACCGUGCACUCACAUGGAUGCGUAAGUUCCGUGUGAAUAAAAUAAUGUCCAACCCCCUAUGUAUGCGGUCGUCCCGAUGUUCAUGUAGCAUGGUCACGCAAACACAAAUCACACGUGCGGUGCACGAGGAUACAGUGUUUUGAUACACUUUAUUAAUAUCGGUUGAACUGCAACCAAAGGCGUGCAGUGGAGGUGUUCAUAGAAGUAGCGGAAGAAAUUAAAAUUAAUCGGUUUGUAUAGUAUUAUCUCAGCGUAUUGUUUUCAAGAUUGCAUCUUCCUACGUUGUUCCGAAAUGAUUCUGAUUAGCAAUAAUUUGUGGAUUCCCAAGAUUUUUCCCAAAUUAGAUAUGCUGGGCCUUGAUUUUGUACGUCUUGUCAUGUUCAUUCGCUAGAUUGAAUCAACGUUAGAUAUCCUCUUUAAUUCUGUUACUAAUUAGAUGUGCUUAUCUACAAUGCUGUUGUUAUAUGAUUGUCUACGUAAUUGAUUAUUGUUGGGGUUAUUUGCAGAAUAUUGGAUUUAGGGGAUGAAAUGCAGAAGGUUUGCACCCGGAUGUAUUCAGUGAGUGAUUGGACUUAUUAUUGCUCUUAUUGAUUGGUUUGCUAUCAUUGAUACUGAUUGAAUUUUCAGAAUAAUAUAUAAGUUUAGAUAAUGGAAUGUUUAAAAAAAAAAAAAAAAAAAAAGGAUAUUAUUUUACCAAAAGAAAAAGAAAUCUCAAUUAAGAAGAGUACUGAGUAGGAUUUUUCAUAUAUAUAUAUAUAUAUAUAUAUAUAAGUUCUUGGUUUCUGAACCAAUAUUGAAUUGGAAUUUUUCAACAUAUUUUUUUUAUACCAUCUUUUUUUUGGGGGAGUUGAUUAUUGUUACUAUUAUUGUCAUUAUUUUAUUAUUAUUAUUAUUUUAACAAAGUCGAAACUAACAUUCUUCAUUUUUUUUUUUUGCAAGGUUUCAAUUUUUUGAAGUAAAUCAAGGAUUUCAAGAUUCAAGAUUUUCUUCGAGUAGAGGUUAAAUUUUUUUUAUGUUGCAAUUAUUUUAUGAGUUCAAGAAAUAAAUGCUUAUGAACAAACUCAAAAUUGCAAACCUUCAUACACAUUGAGGACCAAGGACCGCCACUUUUUGUCAUCUAAUGCAAUUUUUGUUGGAGAUCAAGGACCUGCUCCUUCGACCGUCCAAGGCAUUUUAUGUUGAGGACCAAGGACUGGUUCCUUCGACUGUCCAAAGCACUUCAUGUUUGGGACCAAGGACUAGCUCCUUCUAUCGUCAAAGGCACUUCAUGUUUGGGAACAAGGACCUGUUCCUUCGACUGUCCAAGACACUUUAUGUUGAGGACUAAGGAUUAUUUCCUUCGACCGUACUUUGGACCAAGGAUUGGCUUCUUUUAUCUCCAAGGCACUUAUGUUUGGGACCAUUUGGGACCAAGGACCUGUUCCUUUGACUGUCUAAGACACUUUGUGUUGAGGACUAAGGACCAUUCCCUUCGAUCGUACAAAGCACUUCAUGUUUGGGACCAAGGACUAGCUCCUUCUAUCGUCCAAGGCACUUCGUGUUUUGGACCAAGGACUUGUUCCUUCGACUGUCCAAGGCACUUCGUGUUUGGGACCAAGGACCUGUUCUUUCGACUGUCCGAGACACUUUUUGUUAAGGACCAAGGACUGGUUCCUUCGAUCGUCUAAGGUACUUUGUGUUAAGGACCAAGGACAUGCUCCUUCAAUUGUCCAAGACACUUUGUGUUUGGGACCAAGGACUUGUUCCUUCGACCGUCAAUGGUACUUUGUGUUAAGGACCAAGGAUAUGUUCCUUCAACUAUCCAAGACACUUUGUAUUGAGGCUGCUUACAUAUUUGGGAGACUCGUGAUUUUAGAUGAUAAACUAAUUUAAGAGAUUUACUGUCCCUCCUUUUUCGGCUGAUUUAAUUUAUUUAUUUAAUUUUUUUUUUUGGUGUGUUCAAGCAUGGCUAGAAUAAGUUCUGAUGAUAAACCAUACUUUGACAUACAUGAAAUUGUUAAGCUUAAAAAUCAAGGCAAAAGUUAUCUUUGUUUCAAAGAUACUGAUGUGAAGUACCAUACCCAGACUGGCAUACAAGAUGAACUUAAAUUUAGUGUCCAUAAGCCAACGACAUAUCCUUCUCCUGAUCUUCUGGAGCCAUUGUCGGAGUUGCAUAUGCCCACCAUUAGUGAAUGUCAUGAGAGUUUGAAUGCUAGCAAGUCCAACCACUCUAGCAGUCACAUUCUCUUUUUGUGUCUUCCGCCUCAUCAUUCCCAGAGCAUGGAGUGCAUCCCAAUGGUUGUAAUUUGUGAGAAGAUUCAUAAUAAAGAAAUAGGAUGGGGAAGCGUACUAGUUAGUUGACGAGAGAUUUCUUUUCUUCCAAAAUUUUGGGAGUGGUCUUUAUGGGUCUAAAAACUUCUACUCAAGAGAAAUCUUCAUAAGUUAGCUUUUGCAGUUGGUUCUGCUACAAAAGAUUACUAUCGUCCAAACUCUAUUUAUAAAGCUCUUUGUGAGGUUUGGUGUCUAGAUACCAACACCUUUGUGACUGCCAAUGGUGAAAUUGGCAUUUCUCCUUAGGACAUCCUCGAGAUAAGUGUACUUUCGAUCAUAGGUCAUUACUAUGAGGAAGUAGUCCCAAGCUUUUCAGAGUUGAUAGAUCAUCUUCCUAAGUCUUGUUUGUACCUCUUUAACGUUUUCGUAUUGAUUGUCCAUGCGAAUGAAUCUGACAGGGUUACUCACGAAAAAUAGAUUAAUUUUUGGUUUCAUGAGAAUGGUUGUGUCUAGAAUCAUAGACAACACAAAAAUGAUAAGAAUGCUAUAAAUUUAAAUCCAUUCAAGAGAUGUCAUCGAAAAGCAUCGAAGGAAAUACGGAGGCCCGUGGUGGCAAACAAACCGAGAGACAUUACUCGUAGGUAUCGACAUCAUUAGAGCAAACGGCCAGUAUCUCUGUCUAUGAAAGAAGAAGAGGAAUUGGAGAUAAUAGCUUGUGGCUUUGUUGUUUCGUUCUUCCAUCUGGGAACGAAUGUAUAAGAGUUGGAACCUUUAAAGUAUCUUCAAGGAUGGCAAGCGGGUAUACUUAUAGCCUAGUUCCUCCCAUAUUAGUGACCAUUUAUAGGUGACUUACACGAACAUCUGACUGUCAAACAAACUCGGACCUUGGCUCGAUCUCACAUUCAUUUCUUGGUCAUUUUCUUUAUGCUUGGGCGGCAACUUAUUUUGUUCGAGGUGUUUAUGCUCACAUUAAUAAGAGUUAUUAUCACCCUAUAAUUCGAAGAUAUAUGGCACUCUGAAUGAUUUACAGUCUUGGGAGAAAAAUGUUGUUGAUUGUCGGGAACUUAUCCAUGGAAUGAUGGACACCAAUGACUUUUGCUGGAAUCCAUUACUCUCAUCAUCUCAUCUUGAUGUACGUGUGGAUGACCAAUCGAGGUCUGCAAAUACUUCAGAAUUCAUGAUGAGUAUUCGAUUUGGAUUUGUUUCUUAUCGUCGAAGAAAUUCACCUUUCAUUCUUGAGGCGUAUAAUCUUCACGGGUUUGCUAGACAAUUUAGCUUUAGAUAGAAACUUCCCGGUUCACCAAGAAAGUUGAAUAUUGCCCCUAGUGUAGGCGACAUGUAUCAGGUUUGGUUUUCUUUGACUCGGACAAAAGGUAGGUCUGUAUUUCAUAUUCCAGAUUAUGUGAGGGAUAUACAUCAAAACAUUGAUGUUGAACACCAAGAUUAGUGGAAUAACGAAGUAUUACCACUCUUGACCAGGGUUAAGGUGCAUGUCUUAUUUUCUAGGGAGAGUCGUGGUUGUGUUCUUGGCCUGACUCCGAACAGGGUUAUAGCUAGAGGGUUAAACCCUCCAAAUGUUGCUCCUGAAGAGGCUUCUUGAAAGAGGGAUCCGAACCAGGAAAAUGAAAGGGGUAUUAAGAAAAUUAAAAUUAUAAUUCCCUCAGCAAAGAUUGUUGCCACCUCUGAGCCUGCUGAUAAGGUUCACGAAACAAUUUUGAUUCCGGAUCAUAUAGUCCUGGAGAUUGAGCAUCACAAGCACCAGGAAAAACUUUAACUCUAGAAGAUGAAAGUUCUAGAGAUUAGGUAUACUUCUUUUUUUUAACGUACUGCUUGUAUUUAAUUUCCUGCCACAAUCUUCAAUUUUAGGCUCCUCUUUCUCGAAUAUACAAAAUCAAAAGAUCGAUAGAACUGAGGCCGCUUCAAGCUAUUAGAGUCCUUCAAAAGAUAAAGUUGGAACUUCUCACAUUAACAUCAGCCUCCCGAACACACCAUUAGACGGUGGAUUUUUAGACAUGUCACCUAGGACACGAAAUGGAGGUAUGUUCCCUAUUUUCGUUUGCUGCACUCUUUUUUAACCCUUUUUUAAUCAUAAUUCAUUUUCGUAGAUUUUCCAAGCAUCCCUGAAGAACUAACUUUCUCCAUGAAUCCAGACUUUUUACAAGAUCAGACUGGCGAGAAUGACAGGCGAAUCGAUGCACUUCAAGGAAUAGAUGGUAUUCAUGAUUCUCAUGACCCUCCUUGCAAAUAUCCGAACACCAUCAAUGGAGAUAGUUCGGUGUCUAUCAUGGAUAAUUUUAAUACAGAAGAUGAAGUAAAUUCAGGGACUGUGAGAGCUAACAUUUCAGAGAUCAAUCAAGGAGUCUCUGCCGUUCCAUAUUCUCUGGCUUUAGUCAGUAUUCUGCCUUCACAAACAAAUAAUCAUCGGGUUGUACCAAUCUAUUCUUUCAUGUAUGAUCCUCCACCUGGAAUUACAUAAGAGUCUCAUUAUCUGAAGGCUAUUCUGCAAGAAGCCAUGACUAAUUACCUUCAAAAGUAUUUUAAGGAUGUCUUGAAGUAUGGAUUCUCCAACAUUCGAUCCUGGUGGGAUAAAAAUAAUUUAAUUCUUCAAAACGUGAUUACCAACUCAUUCCAAGCAGACCCAGCACCUUCAAUGUGUUUUUGAAAGAAGUUAACUCUCACUUAUUUGAAAGAAAGCAACAUUUGGAUUGUCCAAUCGUUGAAGAAAGGGCUGAGAGUUGAAACUUUUGAACAUUCAGCUGGAAGAAAAGGAUUCCACAUUUUCUUUACUAAAAGGCAAAAUUAGUCAGCUAACCUUUGAGUUAGAUAGACUCUGUGAUGAACUUCAAGCACAGGAGGAACAGAAGAGUAUGAUUGGAAAUAAGAAGGCAGCAUUGGAAGAAUCAUAGACAAGAGAUGUCACCUGCACAGCAUUACCAAAAAAGGAAGACACUUAAGAGAUAGUUUUUUGCGAGUGAUCCUGAUGAAGUUGAAAUUUUUUUUUUUUAUCUUUUUCUUUUUAAAGACCAUAUUGUAUGAAUUUUAACAUGCUGUUUUUAUUUGAAUGAAAUUUUCUUUUUCAUGUUUCUUGUGUUUUUUUCUACAGCAAGUGGUAAACAAAUUGAAUGAAUUUAUUAGCUGUGACUGAAUUUGAAUUUAUAAUUUAUUCAAGCUACCUACGAACUCAAAUAGGAUCAAGUCGAACGUAGUUCACUACGAGAACAUAAUUUUUUUUCCUUAUAAUGAAAAAUUUAAAAGAAAGAACUUCAGGCGUAAAAAUGCUUUAAAAAUUUUUCAUUAAUAGGUCCUAUUUUGCAAUCCAUCUUUGUCGACGAUCUUGUACGCUCCAUUAGUUAGUGCAUGAGUAACAAGAAAUGGACCAUCCCAUUUAGGCUGAAACUUGCCCCCUAUUUUUCUUGUGAUUAUGAUAGGCCUGCGUACAGAAAGUACCAGAUCUCCAAUUUGGAAUGAUCUUGGUUGCACCUUCUUAUUGAAGGACUUCGCCAUUCGAGUUUGAUAGCACUUCAGACAUAUUUGUGCUGCUAACCUCUUCUUAUCCAAAACUUCUAGCUCUUCCAAUCGAAGAUGGGCAUUUUCUUCGGUUGUCAAACCUUCAUGGAUGGCAAAUCGAAGUGACGAGAUUUAACAUUCCAGAGGAAGUACAGUUUCCACCCCAUAUACUAAGGCGUAAGGAGUGGCUUGUGUUAGAAUCCGAUAAAAAGUUCGAUAAGCCCAUAAGACUUCACCAAUUUUUUUCAUGCCAAUCUCUUUUUUAUUUGGAGACAUCCUUUUUUAGGCAACUGCAUAGUGUUUUGUUGAAUGUCUCUGCUAAUUCGUUAGUUGCCACAUUGUACAUGGAUGAGUUGUACUGUAUGAACCCAAACUUCGUAUAUAAAUUGUUUAUGUGGCUAUUGCAAAAUGGUUUGCCAUUAUCAGUUAUGAUAUACCACGGGACACCGUAUCGAUAAAUGAUUUGGAUACGACUAUGACAUUUUAUUUCUUUACUUUCUUCAAUGGUACGGCUUCAGCCCACUUAGAGAAGUAGUCGGUCUCGAUGAAGAUGUAGGCAUGCCCUGCUUAAGACUUUGGAGUUAUAGGUCCAAUUACAUCAAGACCCCAUGCAUCAAACGGCCAUGAAGCUAUUAUCGAAUGUUAUGGUUCUGGAGGUUGAUGGAUGAAAUUCGCAUGGACUUGGCAAGCUUCACAUUUUCUUGCAUAAUUCAUGGAGUCUUGUACUAUAGUUGGCCAGUAAUACCCCAUCCUCUUUAUUCGAAAUUGGAAUUUGGGUCCAAACUGAUGGGCACUAAAAAUUCCAAAGUGAGCUUCUUCCACAACCUGUGUUGCUUCAUCAUUACUUAGGCAUCAAAGGAAAACUCCAUCAAAUGAUCGUCAAUAAAGUGUUCCCUUAUAAAAGAUAAAGCGAGAGACACGUCUCUUGAUUUCAGUAUUUUGCCAUGGAUUACCUGGUAGCUUUUGAUGUUGAAGGAAAUCAAUUAUCGACUGUCUCCAAUCUUCUAUUUCCUCAUCUUCGACUACUUUGACACUAUUAUUUUCUUCCAAAUUACUGGGUAGCAACGACAAAAGCACCCAUCUUUGAGCAAUUGAUAUGGAGUGAGAGAAGUUUCCAUCUGACCUAGCUAAAACAGAGGCCAAAUUAGCUAAAGCGUCAACCUCCCUAUUUUCACUUCUCGGGACGAAUUUGAUUUUUACCAAAUCAAAUCGUUUCAUAAGCAUUGAUAUAUAUUCAUGAUAUGGCUUUAGAUCUGAUUUACAGACUUCAUACUCAACUAAAAGUUGGCUGAUUAUCAAUUUAGAAUCUCCAAAGACUUCCAGCUAGUGGAUAUCCAUAUCUAACGCUGCUUCUAAGCCAAGGAUAAGGGCUUGAUAUUUUGCCACAUUGUUUGAAUGUUUCUCUGUUAAGGGAAAAGAGUAGGGUAUGACGAGAUCAUGGAGAGUGACAAAAACUACUCCUCCAAGAUGGUAGGACUUCAGUGAAAGAACUUCUUUAUCGAGAAGGCCUUCUUGAAGUUCUCAUUCCGCUGGAAUUGGGUGGUCAGUCAGGAAAUCUACCAAAACUUAUCCUUUAAUGGCCUUUUGUGGAAUGAAUUUGAUAUCGAACUCAGACAACAGCAGUGCCCAUUUUCCAUUCCUUCAAAAAAGAAUUGGCCUAGACAUUAUGUACUUCAAUGGGUCAAUCUUUGAAACAAUAUUGAUUGUGUGUAAUAGCAUAUAAUGUCUCAACUUUUUAGCUGCGAAGAUUAACGCAAGUCAUAUUUUUUCGAUAGGUGAAUCUUCAUUUUAGCGCCUACCAGUGUCCUACUCAAGUAAUAGAGUGCAUUCUCUUUUUCCUCCAUUAUUGACUUGGAGAAAAAGUGUUCCUAGAGAAUAUUCUUGUGCUGCAACAUAAAGAGUCAGUGGCUUCCCUAGGACUGGAGCUGUGAGAACUGGUGGACAAGACAAAUAUUGCUUAAUUCAUUGGAAAGCAUUUUGACAAGCGUCGUCCCACUCAAAUUGUACAUCUUUCUUCACCAAUUUGUUGAAUGGAUGGCAUCGUCCAAGAAGGUUAUCUUCAAAUGUAUGCAAGUUUUCUUUGAAGACUUUUCAACUCACAUAUAUUUCUUGGCUUUGUCAUGUUGAUUAUGGCAUCAAUUUUUGAUUGAUCUAUUUCAAUGCCCUAGUGCCAAAUGACGAAGCCAAGAAAUUUUCCAGAGGUGACGCUAAAUACACAUUUCAACGGAUUCAUCUUCAGUUGAUGUCUUCGAAGUCUUUUGAAAACAUCCUGUAAAUCUUGUAAAUGAUCAUCACGUCUUUUUGUUUUGACAACAAGAUUAUCCACAUAGCAUUCCACGUUCUUAUGCGGCAUGUCAUCAAAAAUCUUCUACAUUGCCCGCUGGUUGGUUGCCUCCGCAUUUUUUAAUCUAAAAAGCUAAUUUUGUAACAAUAUAUGCCUUUAAGGGUACUAAAUGAUGUGAGCUCCUCAUCUUUGGGACUCAUCCAUAUCUGGUUGUAUCCAGAAAACCUGUCCAUGAAAGAUAAGACUUCAUACCCGGUAGUUGCAUCCACCAUCAACUCUAUUAUUGGAAGUAGAAAAUCAUCUUUAGGACAUGCUUGAUUUAGAUCUCGAAAGUCAACGCAAAUUCGUAAUUGCCCAUUUUUCUUUUUUACAAGAACAAUGUUCGCAAUCCAUGUUGGGCAUUUUACUUCGCAUGUGAAUCCAGCUUUAAUAUGUUUACUGACUUCUACUUCAAUUUGAGGGAUUAAUUCUGGUCGAAAUCUUCUUUGAGGUUGUUUGACUGGUCGAACUCCAUGUCUUAUUGCAAGGUGAUGUAUUGCAACCUUAGGAUCUAACCCGGACAUUUCCUUGUAAGAGCAUGCAAACACAUCUUUAUAUUUGUGAAGCAAACUAAUGUACUUAGAUUCUCCUUUUUGACUGAGAAUGGCAUUUACAAAUACUGGUCUCAAGUCCUCUUCGGUCCCCAAGUUCAAUUGUUUCAAAUCAUCUACAGUAGCUUGUCCCCCUUCUUCAAAGGUAGUCGAAGCUGGUUCAGGUUCAUUAGUUGUGACAGAACUUUCAGACUUAGAGUUUGAGUUGAGAGCUACUUCAAAGGCUAUGUGAUUGAUAGAGACUUUUUCCUUAUCUUCAUUAUCCUUCAAGGACAGACAAACUUUGGAAGACAGAAACUUUACCUUUUACAUUGACCACUGGGAGGGUUCUCCUUUUAACCUCUUAAACACCGAAACUCUGGCAUUCUCAUUUUCAAUUCGAUCGAACACUGAAGGUCUCGACUGUUCUGAUUUCUCUUCUGCAACUUCAUAAAUUUAAACCAUGUGGGGUUUGAGAAAACCUUCUUGACCAUAAUCUUCCUCGGUGGAUUACGAUCAUAUCCCAAACCAUACCUGGGUCGGGGCACUAAGGCUUCAUUAGAAUUAGAAGGGACACGCUCUUCUAAAAGGACAGUAUCAAGAUCACCUAAUUUACAAGGCUCUCCUUUUCCAAACCCAGCAUUUUCGAACUACUUUUUGACUUUAGGAUUGUAACAUCCUUUGAAAGUCUGUUUUGAUUCAGCAGUUUCUUCUUGUAUGGAUGAGCUGGAAAUAUAAAGCUUUGAUAUGUUUGAAAUGGAUGCCGAAGCCUCUGAUGUAGGUUUAUAUUCCUCUCGGACCGCCAUGAGUUGAUGGGGUAGAAACAAUUUCGGAAUAUUAGGUAUUGGAAGAGUUAAAUCCUUUCUCAAUACCUCAAUAUCGGUUAAUUCUAUUUGAGAUUUUUUACCUUUAGAGAUUCCUUCGGAUGUAAAUUUUGACUUGCCUUUGAUAAGUUGAUGAUAUUGAGUAGCACUAGUUGUAUCAUGGUCGUUUGCAUCUUCUUUGAUUUUGGAUCCAGACAUGGUCAACCCUGCAGAAUUGCACUCUUCAUCUUCCAUGUAAAAUUUGGCGUCAGCAAAAUGGGAUUCUUCUUCAAGGAAUGGUUUAGACUCAGCUACCACACAUUUAACUUCUCCAUGUCAGCUAUAUUUGAAACAUUGGUGCCAAGUGUAAGGCACCACUCCAAUUUCAUGUGGCCAAACACGUCUUAAGGAGUAACUCCUAUAACAAUUUAGCAUCAAUGACAUGGAAGAGAGUUGAGAAGACUAACUCUCAUAUUCGUAGCUUGAAGCGAAUCACGCUAAUGGCUCGCUGGCCUUUUUGAUUGAAUCCUUGAAUCAUGAUUUUGCUUCUGGAUAGAUUACCAACAUUAAUUCCAGUUUUCUUCAUUAUUUUGACUGGCAUAAUGUUCACAGCGGAUCCAAAUUGAUCAUUCUGCAAUUUAUCUUGCAUUCUUGAAUAUAACCACUGACAUACAGUGGUCUAUUAUGUGGACGCGAACCCAGCUGUAAAUCUCCAUCGUCGAAUGUUAUAGCGGCCAUACAGUCUUUAGGAGUUGUGGAUCCAAUAUGUUCUAAAACUUUGCCUUCGUUUUCUUCCAGAUUGAUUAACGCUGCGACUAAAGCUAUCCGAUCAUCGAAAGGAAGACUAAGAGACUCUGCUAGACUCAUAUUGGUAGGAAUAUUAUUGAGCCGUGAGAUAGUUUUCUUUUGUUUUGAAGUCUAUCUAGAUGCAUUUUUCAUCUCAUUUUUCUUCUCCACAUUGAUAACAUUGGAGGUAAAGAUUCCUUAUCAAAAAAACCCUUGGGAAAAUAAUCACCCAAGGUUGGCAAUCUGGGAAAAACGCAUAAAGCAGCUUCUACUCCCAUCGAUUCAGUGAAUCCUCUUGGUUUAUCUUUAGACCUUUUUCUUUGGUUGUUCCUUGAUCUUGAUUUCUUAUCAUAAAUACUAGAACUUGGGAGUUGUGGAGCCUUUCGUUGACAUCUUUUCACAAGGGUCCAUGCCCCCUGAUCUUCUUCUAAUGUUUUCUCUUUAUUGGGUUGAAUUUUUGUACCCAAUUCCUCCAUUAUGUUCCUAUAAGAGGCGUAGAAGGUAAUAUUUUACCUAUUUUGUUUGGCAUUCGAUAUUUUUCUUUCUUCUAUAUAAAGGUGGACCAGCCGUCAUCGAUCUCGUCUUUAGAUUCUAAGUCAGAAUCCCAAACAUCCAAGUCACCUGUCAUAAUUUCAUAAAAGGUUGGACGAUUGGGUGCAUUUGGUCUGUCCAUCCUUGGAUAGACGUAAGUGAUAGUGAUUUCUUCGUCUACAUCAAACUCCACUAGGAUGGCUCCUUCCGAAAGUUGAGGUCCAAACUCCUUAAUUGAGGAUUUACAGGCUUCGUGUACAUCAGAAAAUGUUUGUUUCUUUCCUGCAAUGGAAAUUUGAUCAAAUGAUCCAAAUGAAACCAUCGAGCAGGGGCUAUUAGAUUUUCUCCAGAAAAUGAUCCACAUGAAACCAUCAAACAAUAAGAUCUUUCAAGACAAAGUGUUUUUCCACUGGAUGGCUAUUGAUCCUGUGAAAUUUACAAUAUUUAGGAUGAUCAAUCUUACCGAUUUCAUCGGGUCUUUUUGGUACAGGGAGUUCGAUUAUCUUCAGUUCAAGAAGUUGAUCUAGAAUUCCAGAAACUUCAGAAUCUGAGAAUAGGUACUCCUUUACUUCAAAUUAUUUUAGAGUCACAUGACCUCUGCUUUGGACUUGUCCUUUGUUAGGUCUAAAUUCUGGCUUCGGUUUUGGGUUCGAGCUUGACCCCUGGAAGGUUAUCUUUGCAAGAACAAUAGAAAUCGCCAUAGCCUAUUUGGAUUUACUUGCCUUAACAUCGUUCUUUAUUUCCUUAGGAUUUUUCUUGUCACGUGGAUCACUUGAGAUUAUAGAGUAAUCCCCAGUGCAUACCUUGUAAACACAUAUCGAUGGAAGAUGUUUCAUUUAUUUGUUCUUUACAAUUAAGCACGAGGUUUGUCCAACAUUCAAUGUACUCCACAACAGGCUCUUCCUUACUAUACUUUGUUCGAGCAAGUUCUAGAAAACUGACAGUUCGUCGGGUGCUGUAGAAACGUGUUAGGAACUCUCGCUCGAGCUGAUCCCAACUAUCAAUUGACCCUACCGGUAAAUCUGUGUACAAUUCAAAUGCAGAACCUUUGAGGGAGCAUACGAACUACUUCACUAUAGUGUCAUUAUAAGUACUUGUAUUGUUACACAUCUCAAUAAAAUGAGCAACAUGUUGCUUUGGAUUGCCCUUUCCAUCAAAACACUGAAAUUUCGAAGGUUGAUAACCAAGUGACAUCUUUAUUUCGUCGAUUCGACGACUAUAGGGCUUGGCAUAUACCAGUGAAGAUUGCAAUGAACCACCAUACUGGGCACGAAUGGUAUCUACAAUCAUAUGUUGAAGUUGUUGGACGGAUAGAGAGUUAACUGAGAGUUGGGUGGUGUCAUACAACACGUUUUGAACAACUGUCCGAUCGUGCAUAUCUUGCUUUUGUUGGCGCUCUUGGACUUCAAACUCUUUGGCCUUGGAAGAUCUUGGAUUUUCCUGAUUUUCUUUAGUAGGUGGAUUUUGUGACUCUAGACUAUGUAUGAGUGCAACAAUAUGUGCAUCUUUGUCUUCCAACGACUUUGUUAAUUUUUCAAUGGCUAAAGCCAUUUGUUGAAUUCGGUCAUCUGAGCCUAAUGCCGCUUCUAUGACCAUCACUGGCUCUAGUGAUUCUUCAAAUGAGGCAUCAUCUUUCCACUUUUGCUAAGAAGUGGCAUGAGGGGAUCCAAACAAGGAUCUACCACUAGAGAUGGAGCCCGAACGAGAACUUUUCGCUAAACUCAUGGUCUUUUCUAUCAAAUGAGAGUUUAGCUUCUUGAAGGCAAUUUUCAUUUUGCCUUUGUUGGAGAACUUCUUUAGUGGCAUGAUCAAUUGAGUUUUUUCAGUUUUUGUUUGGGCCAUGGUCGCGUGGAAGAGUUCGGCAAGUGUCUCUUCAAGAUGAGCCAUAGUUUGUUUCACCAUUUCACCUGCCAUUGCUGAUGUAGUAGUUGAAACUUGAAGAUUUUGUGAUCAAAAGAUGAGAAGAAGGUCCCACCCAACGUGCCAAGAAAUUUGUACAACGAAAUUUCGUGUAUUAAAAUACAGAAAUCGUUACAAAUCGUAUUUUGAUAAAAUACAGGUGAUGUUGACCUUCUUGUAAUUGCAAAAUUGUAAAAAUCCUCUGAUUUAUGAUCUGAAUAUUUGAAGAUGAUGGGCCACGUGGCUUGAAUCCUAGUCUUCGAGAAUUUGUUGAAAAUUUGAUUUGUCGAGACUUGACUUGUUCGGAUCUUGAAUCUUGAACUUGGACUUGAAUUUGAUUUGAUUUGAAGAAGACUUUGAUCUUAUCGGACUUAGUGUGAACUUGUUUUAUUCAAAGAAGAUUUUAAUCUUCUUGGGGUUCACUGAGUUUAGGUUUGAGGAAAUUUCUUCCCUUCUUCCGGCCUUAGAAUUUCUUCAGAACUUCGUAGCGUUCUCUCCUUUCUUUCUUGCUUCACUUUCACCUCCCCUUAUCUUAUGGACCAUUGGUCCUAUUUAUGGGGAAAGAAUUCGUGCUAAGUUUGGUAAUUACUCAAUUUAAUUAAAAUGAAUAAUUGAGUAAUUAUGAUUUUAUUUAUUUGCUUAUUUAUUUGUUUGUUUAUUUAUUUAUUUAAAAUGUAGUAUGGGCCUUUGGGCUUAUGGUUUAUGGACCUUAGUAGACUUUAAUUUAAUUGGGCUAAUGAUUUAAAUCGACCCAAUCCAUUUUUAUUUUUUUAUUUUUUUUACGUCUACAAUCACCUCAGUGAUAUCUUUGUCCUUUAAUUGAGACAAGAGCAACAAAUAAUAGAAAUGGAAAAAUCCAAACUACAAUAUAUGAUUGACGAAAAUAACGGAAUUGCUGCAUUUACCCAUUAGAAUUUGUGGGUGAAGAUUGAGCCAUUUUAGAGGACGAUUACUUUGGCUAGUGAAGCAUACAAAGAGCUAGGAAGAGGAGGAAUUUAAGAAAUAUAGGUUGAAGAAAGAAAAUUUGAAGGUGAUUUUAUGAAAAAUGGAGAUGGGGAUGUAGUGGUUGAAGUUCUGGUAUGAUUGGAGUGGGAUUUGUAGAUGUGGUGAUAUGGAAGAAGGAGAUGAAAGUAAUAAAUACAGUGUGAGAAUGUUUUAAUUUUUUACGGUAUAAAUCUAAUUUGUUAUUUUUUUAGAGCAAUGGGCCUAAUUUUCUCUUUAAACAAUAGGCCCAAUUCUCACCAUAUGUUUUGGAACACCAGUCACCAGUGGGCAUCUUCUUCCCAACCGAUUGAAUUUCACCACUUCAAACCGACUUCAAAUUGGACCUCCCCAAUGUCAAAACUCAAGAUUUAAGACAUGCUAAGGCUAUAAAAUCAAUUUUAUGGAUAAAUUUGAAUUAAUUUUCAGAGAAAAAAAUCAACCGAAGAAGAUGGAGUUUUGCAAAUUCAUGGUGAAACACUGAGGCAAAGGUAACCACAUGAAGAACAACAAAGUUUCCAGUUCAUGCCCACCCGUGAUGUGGGGCUGCAAUCUAAAAUAGUUGCUAUAAGUAGUGGGCCAGCAGCUUCCGUGCCUAUGGAUGAGAGAAUUACGGAGGACAACCAUUCGAAGCACAGGUGGCGACUAAGCAAACUGGGAUCUUUAACGUUUUAUAAAACUGAAUUAGGGCUUUAACUUUGGGAUAUGACGUGUUCGAUUGUGGUUUUGGUUUUGUUUGGUGUUCCUGUUUAACUAGGAAAAAAAUUUCGUUUUGCUUAUGAACAACAACAAUGUUUAUUUUGGCUUUAAUCAAAAUGAAGUGUGUUUCAGAAAUAGAUAAGAUGUGAUGUAGCGAAUCGAAGGUGCCUUAAAAUAGUUAGAAUGUUAAUCAAAGUUAAAUCUGCUUUCUUCUCAGAUUUUUGAAGAAUUUCCUUCUAUAGUAUGUGAAAGUCUGACCUAGAACGCUUAGAUAUGCUAGAAAGUUCAGCUAACGCGAUACAGUGUCAAGUUCAAAUUUUAUGCAUUACCAAGUUUAUGUUCUAGAUUUCACUUUAACCAAUUUGACCUUACGUACGGAAUUAAUCUAACUAAAGCAACAAAUCAGUUUAAUUAGUUGUAUAGGUGAUUAAUCAUACAAGUCAAUUAACCUAUGUUGGAAUGCCGCAGUUUGUAUAUUAUGGAAAGCAGUAAAUAAUAAACAAUAUGAUGACGGAGAAACCCCAAUGUGUGUAAAACUCCGGGACCAAGCCAGUUAACUCCACUAUACCAAUUCAGUAAGUACAAGUUAUACCAAACUCCAUACCCAAUCAGACCCGUUGUUCCAGUCUCACGAUCUACUGCUGUCAAUACUUCUAGCCUUCUGUUAGACUUCCCGAUCUAUCUCCUACAGCACAAUCUACUGUCCACUACAACCUCCUAGUCCUUAGCUGAUUGUAUCACCAAGUGGAACACCAAGAACCGCUCAUUCUUGUGCCUGUAACUACGCCUCAAUUCACCUCUCUCAAUCCUCCAAUGAGAGAGUCCCUUCCUCAAUAGAUUAAGGAAGUAAGGUGUUUUGGGUUAUGUAGAUUCGAUGUUUUUCCCUAAAACAAUGAUUGCCAAAUCACAAGAUUGAUGUAGAUGGAAUCUCCAAUUAAUUAUACCUUGGAUCUUUUCAAAGAUGUUAUGAAUAUGUUUCGCAAUGAAAGAAUAAUGUAGCAACCUCUACAAUUUUGUCCUAGGGCUUGAGUAUUUAUAUUUGAAAGUGUCUAAGUGGUAUGGGCCAAGUAAAACACUUCAAAAACAUGAAAUAGGAUUUUUGCCACAUAUGAAUGUCGCUUUGAGCGAGAUGCCAGUGAGAAUCCAAGUGACUCAUGUGUGUAAAGUGUCAUUAUUCCAAUGCACGCAGGACUCCAAAACUUAAUUUUGUGAGAAAGGACAUGUCAAUCACUGCCAGUAAAUAUAUUCUCCUACUAAUGAAAGUCAAAUCAUGUAAUGUGUAGUAGGACAUAUACUUAUUAUUUUUACUUAUCUCCCCCUUACUAUGAACUUUUAUAUUUUUCAGAUUUUCAUAUUAUUCCAGCUCUUCAUAUUUUUCACAUCUUUCUCAUUUUUUCAGCUCAUUAAUUUUUCAUCUUAAGUACAGCUUCUUCUCCAUUAGGCGACUAAGAUGACCCCUGUAGCGAGCUUUAGGCCGGUUAACCUAAGUCAGUUGAUCAUAGACACCAGGUUUUAAGAGACUCCACGGGCUUAAUUACUCGAGUCAAAUAGGCCCCGAAAAAGAACAUUAAGAUAUUGAGCUUUAGUAUGGGGGAUAAUUUUCGGGUUUAGGUCUACUAAAUAUUGGUCAAUUCAUAUUCAAAUUCACCCCAUCAACAUGCGACAACCAUCCCAAAUCUCACACACGCGGUAAAGUCCCACUAACAGAUUCAUAGUGUGUGCAGUGCAGAUGGUGCAUGAUGGCACCUAUACUGAGUAAUCCAAAAAGAACUAAACAAAUAAUGAAAAUUAUUCUACAGCUUAUCAAUUUUAGCUCAUACAUGAUCACAACCAAUAAGUUCAAGAAAUAUAUGUCAUGCUGUAACAAUUUUCAUAACCAAUUAUUUUUGUCUUUUUCAAUUUUUCAAAUUUUUUUUUUUUUUGUGUUUUUCAUUUUACUAAAAUGAAUGCUCCACACACAAAAGAAAAUAAAGUCAAGCAAACAAAAAUAAAAUUAAAUAUACAUGCACCAAAGCAAACAAAUAAAAAUGCACAUGCAAAAAUAAAUAAAUAAAUAAAUAAAAUAAAAGCAAACACAAUACACAUGAUGCAUGGAACAAUCAUAUGUCAAACAAGAGUCAGGCAUGCAUUAAAAAAAAGAAAAAAAAUCCUAUUCAAGUAGGUAUAUAAGUGCUCUUUCCUUUAAGAGCACCACGAUUUACUAUCAAAUUAGGGAGAUCGCUCUUCUUCACCCAAACCUGUAUAGAACGGGAAUUGUUUCCAGGCAAUUGUGUCAACAAUUGGGUCAAAUGAUUCACUUGAUCAACUAGGAAUCCAAUCUGACCAACAUACACCUGAUUUUUGUUAUUUUUCAUGUUCAAGUCUUUCCUCUUGUUGUUCAAGUACUGAUGACAUCUAGGGCGGAUGUGAACUAACUUACCACAGUGAUAGCAUAUAGGGAUAAACAUAGGACAUGUGUUAUGUGAACGUUGACGUUUGUUCCUAGGUCGACCGGUCUUACGCUAUCUGUAGACCUCUGUCGACCGGUCUUACGCUAUCUGUAGACCUCUGUCCUACAGAUCCUUUAUUCUUCGGUUCGGGGUUAGGUACAUGUUUGGGCUGAUCUGUAACAUGAACAAAUGUGGUCUUGGAAGUACUAGCAACAUCAUCACUUUUACCCUUAUAUCCUAGACCUCCCCUAUUUCCAGCCUACUUGCCUAUUCCUAAAAGAUUAUCUAGCUUUAACGAACCACUAGUUAAGGCAAGAAGUUGAGACUUUGAAUAUUCUAAAUUCCAUCACAAGGUUCACUACCUGAAUUUGCAAAGUCUCAUUCAUGGUGGUCAACUCGCCAACUUUCCUAGAGGACCUGUAAAGCUCAUCGGUGAGAUUCUUAACUUGAGACUCUAAGGAUUCAUUAAUAGAUUUAAUCUCACUCAAGACAGUGGAAGAUUCCUUAACGUGUACCUCUGACUUAUCUUUCUCUAAUUGAAGAUCCUGAAUGGUCGUACUAAGGGCCUUGUUUUUAUUGAGAAUUUUCAAACUCUCCUGAUACAUUUUCUCAUAGGCCUCUUCGAUAUCUUCAUCACUCACAGAUUCAUCUCCAGAAUCCUCACCACUAUCUAAGUCCUCAUCCCUUUCACUCCCCUGUUCGGAUCCAUUAUCAACCCUAGCAACGAAAGCCACAUAUUUUCCACUCUCCUCGCAUGUGGAUUUCUCACUCUGAUUGUCCGAGCUAGGCUCGUCAUCAGUGAGAGUAGUAUUCAUUGCCUUCUCUUCAAAUUUCCUAUCACUAGGGCACUCACUCCUUACGUGACAGAAACCUCGACAGUUAUGGCAUCUCACGUAUUUAAAUUUUCUCCUAGAUUCACUCGGGCCACCUUUUUGUCUCUCUUGAGGCUUCUUCUUAUUCGUGAACAUUUUUCGAAAUUUCUUAGCUAGGUAGGCUAUCUCCUCAUCAUUGGAUGAAUCUGAAUCAGAGGAUUCCAUCAGGUUAUUCCUAGCAAAUUUCAAGGUUAUGGAACUUUUCCUUAACAGGAUUAUCUAAGGUCAACUCGUAAGUCUGAAGGGAUUCAACUAACUCCUUUACCUUUAUAAUGUCUAUGUCCUUACUUUCCACAAUAGCUGUAACUUUCGGCCUGAAACGCUUGGGAAAUGAUCUAAGAAUUUUUCUAACUAUCUUAAGCUCGAGAAUUUUCUCACCUAGUUUGAAGGAGGAAUUCACUAUGUCAUUUAAGCUCGCAUAAAAGACAUCAAAUGUCUCAUCAUCUCUCAUUUUGAUUUCUUUGAACCUACUAGUCAGCAUCUGUAACUUAGAAUUUUUAAGAGCCUGGGUUCCCUCACGUGUGGUUUGUAAAAUUUCCCAAACAUCCUUAGCUACUUCACAUAUAGAUACUCUCCUAAAUUUCUCGGAGAACACAGCCAUAAACAAUGCAUGUAUGGCCUUGCCAUUAAAGUUACAGCUAUCCAAUUGUGCUCUCGACCAGUUUUCUAUCGGGUAGGAGUGACUACACCAUCUACUGUAAUACUAGGGACAGACCAACCAUUCACUACGCUCUGCCAAACACUCUCAUCCAUGGAUUUAAAAAAUAUCCUUAUUCUGACCUUCCAAUAUGCAUAGUUACUACCAUCAAAGAGGGGCGACACAUUCAACGAGAUACUCAUCUAGACUAUUUAAGGCCAAGACACGAUUUUAGGCUCUGAUACCACUUGAAAAGUCCGACCUAGAACGCUUAGAUAUGCUAGAAAGCUCGGUUAACGUGAUACAGUGUCAAGUUCAAAUUUUAUGCGUUACCAAGUCUACAUUCUAGAUUUUACUUUAACCAAUUUAACUUCACAUGCGAAAUUAAUCUAACUAAAGAAAUAAGUCACUUUAAUUAGUUGUUUAGGUGAUUAAUCAUACAAGUUAAUUAAACUAUGCUGAAAUGCCGCAAUUUGUAUAUUAAGAAAGCAGUACAUAACAAACAAUAUGAUGAUGGAGAAAUCCCAACGUGGGUAAAACUCCAAGACCAAGCCAAUUAUCUCCACUAUACCAAUUCAGCAAAUACAUGUUAUACCAAACUCCAUACCCAAUCAGACCCACUGUUCCAGUCUCACAAUCUACUGCUAUAGAUAUUUCUAGCCUCCUACUAGACUUCCCAAUCUACCUCCUACAGCCCAAUCUGCUGUCCACUACAACUUCCUAGUCCUUAGCUGAUUUUAUCACCAAGUGGACCACCAAGAACUGCUCGUUCUUGUGCCUGUAACUGCGCCUCAGUCCACCUUUCUCAAUCCUCCAAUGAGAGAGUCCUUUCCUCAAUAGAUUAAGGAAGUAAGGUGUUUUGGGUUAUGUUGAUUCGAUGUUCUUCCCCAAAACAAUGGUUGCCGAACCACAAGAUUGGUGUAGAUGGAAUCUCCAAUUAAUUACACCUUAGAUCUCUUCAAAGAUGUUAUGAAUAUGUUUAACAAUGAAAGAAUAAUGUAGCAACCUCUGCAAUUUUGUCCGAGGGCUUGAGUAUUUAUAUUUGAAGGUGUUUAGGUGGUAUAGGCCAAGUAAAAUACUUCAAAAAUGCGAAAUAGGGUUUUCUCCGCGUAGGAAUGUCGCUCGAGGGAGAUGCCAGUGAGAAUCGAGUGAGAGGUAUUCUAUUUUUUUUGCUCGAGCGAAAUGGCACGAGAAUCUAGCGACAGUGAGCAGUUGUCAGCAUUUUCAUCAUAACUUUUUAUCCCGAUCCCGAUCCCGAUCCCGAUCCCGAUGUCCGAUUGAGGUGAUUCAACUUGUGUUGGAAAGCUCACUUAAGGGACUACAAUUUUUCUAGAUAGCCUUGUCCAAAUUCCAACAUUUUCUAUAAGAAAAAUGCAUUGCAAGUUACAAUUAAAAAUCUAGAACAUAAUUUGUGUGGCUCUUCGAUAUCAUUUAAACUUCCAAUUGCAUUCUAAUGAUCUUAUGUAAUCUUCUUGGACAUCUUGGACUCCUUCAAUGACUCGAACAAUAAUUUAACUCAUCUAUACAAAAUUGCACCCUUAUCCAUUGACUUUUACGAGAAUGUUCAAUUAAGUUCCUGACUUUUACAAUCAUACAAUUACGCCCAUUUUGUCUACAGAAUUGCCAAUCACAAUUUCAGACCUAACAGUAAGCUUAGCUACUCUCAAAUGCUUGAAUUUUCAUUGAUUUAGUUCAAGAUAUUUUAAAGCCAUAUUCAGCACCAGAAUGAAAUUGCAUAUGAAAUUCAUUGUGGAAAUUACUUACUCAAAUUUUUAUACGUAAUGUAGCACUACAACUUGUAAAUUUAUCUAACGACCUACAUUUGUGUAUUAGAACUAGAACAUCCUCCCUCUCUCUAAUUUUCUCAACUAAGAUGGAGUUUGUAGAUUCGUCCAACUCAAUGUAAAAAUUUAUAUGUUACUUAAAAACUCUAAGUAUAAUUUCUACGAGUCCUGAGAUCAAGGCGAUUGCAGAAAGUAUCCCAAACAAGGCUCAUGGAAUCACACUAAACGAUACUAGUGCAUACAACUUAUCUUGAAACAACAUACACCAAGCAAAACUUACACCGAAGAAGCAAGUCAAAAUCUGGUGCAAAGGCAAUUGACAAAUAGAAACCAUGAGCACUUAACUCCAAAGAAAAUUACAUAAGCAUGAAAUUAUGAGAUCAGUCGUUUAAUCAAUUGCAUAGAUGGAACAAAUUCACAGAUCUUUUCCCUUUCGUUUCCCAUUAUCUUCUGUAUCUCAUUUUUCAUUGUGGAUAGUUAUAUUGAGGAAUAUCUUCAAGUCCUCUUGUUCGAAUAUUUGAGCAAAACUUUUGAAUAUACAUGACAAAUCUUCAAUUUGAUCUUUAGAGUUAGAUUUACUCAAAUAAACACAUCUUGAUUUAAUUUCGUUGUAAACACCACUAGAACGACCUUCAAUUUGCAAGGAAUUUUUUUUUUUUUUUUUUUUGGCCAGAUGAAACAUCCAUGCAUUUGAAAUACCCACAAUCAUCACUACAACAAAAGAAUAACUAUCCUAUAUUUGCUGUCUUCUUUUACUCGUCUAUCCAUCUCACAAAGUCCUUGCCACCACUUGGGCGUUGCUGCUUUAUUGGGCAUUGACUGUCUACAUCUAUGUCAAAUCUCCUUGUGGAAUAUCAUUGAAAAAAUCUAUUGCGGCCAUGAAAAUUCAGUACACAUAAGGUGUGAGAAAUUUAGUAAACAUACUGUUGGCAAAUUGUUAGCGUUAAUCCAUCACCGACAAAAUAUUACAAUGCUAGCUAUUGCCAAACCUUGAAAAGAUGAAUAUGAAAAUAAAAUGCACAUUUAUAAAUCAGGCAGCCCGCUUUUUCAAACAGAAAAAUGAACAACGAUUAUGAGUGCUAGCACCCAGAAGUCAAUUUUCUACACUUUAAGGAAUUACUAAAAAAAUUGGCGGCAACGAAACAUUCGUCCAAGGUUGCCUUCAAUCCAAGAGGUCGUCAUUGCCAAAAUAAUUUACCACAGUGGCACAACCUUCAAUCCUCAAAGUGCUCGGAUUGGAUGGCAUUUCGAAAGCAAAAAUACUGAAAAGAAGAAAAAAAGUUUAGGUAUUAUCUCAACGUAGUCUCUCUAUGUGCACUGCUUUAACAAUCCAAGUUUUGUGGCCAGUUGCUGUGGACCUUUUGAUUGUGGGGCAGAAUCAGUUUGGGGGUUGGGGUUUAGAAGGAUUUGGGGUUUAGAAUGAUGAUGGCACGUUUUGAUUUCAAUUGGCAAAGGCCUAAUUGGGAUUUGCAAUUUAAUGCACUGGAAUUUGAUAUUAAAUUUUGGUUAGAGUCAACUGCCAAAAAGAAAUUCCAUCAUCCAUGUAUUGUAGGCUGAGAGAAAAAGGGAAUAUGUCCGAUGAGUGAUGGAGUGCAAUAUCCUAAAGUUGAGUGAUCCAAAGAUCAGUAACCAUUGGCCAUAUCCAAAGCUGGGGGUAUUAAAACAUUGAACUCGAGACUUUAAAAUCUCAAUAACUACCUCAAUUUUUAAGUAAGAAAAAAAUGAAUAAAUAAAAGGAAAAAAAUUUGAAGACCAGAAUAUGUGUUGACACGUGGCAAUAUGAAUAGUAUCGAUACAAAUUAAGCUUCUUUUAGUCCUUGAUUUUAAUUUAUGAGAAACACUCUACUUCCACAUUUAUUUUGAACUACAUAUUUCUUUAAAAAAAAUUAUUUUUCACAUUUCCUGAUUGUGUUUUCUUAAUUUAUAACCAUUUUACAUUCACAAAAAUAAUAAUAAUAAUAAUAAUUCAGUUCUUAUCAAACAAGUUCUUAAUAUUGGUAAAAUUCAAAAGAUAAAAUUGAUGCAAACUACGAGAAAAAUUCAAGAAACGAAACAACUUUAUUACAAGAACACGCCUUCCUUGUAUGUGUGUCCAUGUGAAGAAUGUUCUCUCCUUAUUUUUUUGUUACUCUACUUCAUUAUUAUUAUUAUUAUUAUUAUUUGACUCUUCAUCGAAUAAAAAACGUGAGACAUGUUGCAAUCAGACAAAAAAAUGAUCUCUAAAUAGUAGAUACGCAACAUGAGCAAUAGCAUAAGGAACAAAACAGCGUAGAUUUAGAACUAAUGUGACUUUGAGUACGUUUUGAUUUAAACUCCAAACUCAUAUUCACAUAUUUUGAAGAUGAGAGUGGUUAUUCUUUAUGAAAUUGAUUUCGGUGAGGAAUUUGUACACGAGAAUUUAUUUAUAUAUUUCCUUUUUAAUAAUACUAUCACUAUAUCUUCAUAUUGGUGCAGGUUAAAUAAAAUUAGAUACAAUACUUGAAAGAUUAAAGUCGACAAAAUUUAAUUUCUUCUUUUUAAGAUUUUUCAGUAAUGUUUUUAUUCGUAUUGUCAAAUCAAGCACAAUCAGCGAUGGGCGCACACAUUUCAAGUUAGGGGUACAAUCAAAUUUACCAAAAAAAAAAAAUUGUAAAAAACAUAAAGCAUUCAAUAUUUUAUUACAAUUGUUCCUACGCAUUUUAAUUCUUAACAUCCUAAGUAGUAGUUUCAACUAGAAUAUCUCCAAGAUUAAUUUAAUCAACUUCAUUAGUUUCAUCCUCAACAUCCAUUCCAUGAUCAAUCUAUCAUCAAUUUCAUCUCCAACAUCAUUCAUAUCUUGAACCUUACUUUCAUUAAUAUUUUGCUCAUAAAAAAAAUACAUAUUUACGGUUUAAAAAUUUUGUCCGUAACUAAUACAAACAAUCAAUUUAAAUAAUUCAAAUAAAGAAUUCAAUAAUCGAAAGGAAAAACGUUCCACCAAUAUUUAAUACUAGAUUAUUAAUAAUCAAUUCAAAUAAAUACAAUUCAAUAAAUGUAAGUCAAAUUGAACAUAAUCAUUCCAGACCCAUUCUAUAUACACAAUUUAAAAAUUAUUCCAUAUAACAUAAAUCAUUCCAAACCUAUUCCAAAUCAAUUUGACACAAUUUAAUAUACAAAAUAUAAAAAUAAUUCCUCGACAUAAAUCAAAUAGAAUGAAAAUAAACUAUAAUUUUUCUCUAUCGCUUUGAAUUGUUUUAAAAAACUUAAAAUUUGAAACUAUAAGUUACUAUUUGUCUGCCUAGUGAUUGCCUUUCGAUUUUCAAAUGCAAAAUAACUUAAGUUGACUCUGUCUAGAGGUUUGGCGAGUGAAGAUGGAUUCGAAAUUAUAGUGGCAAAUGAGGUCGACAAUGUUGUAAUGACAAUCAUUUUGCAUUAGUGUCAAAACCAAUGUUGUCAAAAUUGGCCUAGUCCGAUCAGUUCUACUGGUAAAAUUGAGAACGAGGCCCAAAAUUGGGCCAAUAAUGCUCGGUUAAUUGAUUAUAACUAAACUACUUAAAAAUCCAUUGAAUCGGCCGAUUUAACCGUAAACCAAUGAACAUGUCACAAUUUUGUGGUUUUUCGAAUUUAUUUAUUUUUUAGUUUAAAAAAUUUUAACAUCAUGAAUGGGCCUCAAAAAAUAUAUAAUUCAAAGGCCCAUAGAAAAAUGUUAAAUGACAUACUUCUUUUAUAGAUGCAUCUCUCUCAAAUGGUUUCAUAAACUUUCAAUAUGAGAUAGUGCAUUUUAUGGAUGCACUUCUCUCCAAUAGUUUUAUAAUCUUUCAAUAUGGGAUAAUGGCAAAACAAAAAAUGUUAAAAUGACCAUCAAAAUCAUUUUUCAAAUGUAUGUCUAAUUAACUAAUUUGAUUUUGAAUCCCAACUAACUAAAUUGCAAUAUCCACCUUUAUCUUUUCAUUUAUUUAAUUUUCAAAUUUAACUUAAAUUGCACUUGGUUAUUAAUAUAUUAAUGUUAGAUAUCAUUUUCUAUAAGUCUAAACUAUUUUAAUUUAACGAAGCAAACUAUUUCAACAUAUUGAUUUUUAAUUUUUGAAUCAUCGAGUGUAUGAUAAUGAAUCUAAUUAACAAAUUAUUAAUAUGAGAAUUAAAAAAAUAUAUGGUUUUCAUAGUAUUUUAUUAUUUUUGUAUGUAUUUAUUUCAUCCGGUUCGACCCUAAUUGAACCUUUUGACCCUUGACCCUUCACCUUUUUCGAGUUGAUGACUUGGUCGAUUUUCAAAACAUUGGUUAAAGCAAAUUGGUAGGAAAAAAAGAGAAGCAAACUUAGGUUCUAAUAGUUGAAAAUCUGAUUGGGAAGCGGAGAUUUAUAGUAGAUGUUUUACAGAGAAAUUAUAGAUAAUUUUUAAAGAAUUAGUAAAGUUAGAGUUUUGGUAAUAUGGGGUAAGGGAGAGAGUCGCCAGAGAGUGAGAGAAAAUGUUAAAUCUGUUAUAAUUUUGUUGAAAUACAAAAACAAAAUUUCCCAGAAGUUGGGGAUCAAGUGACCCCAUCCCUCCACCUGUGAACACAAUAAGCCCAUGUUUGUCUACCAUUCUUCAAUUUUUUUUGUAAUACUCAUUUUCAACCACAUAUUCUUCUAAAAAAAAUUCCAAAAAUUAUUUUCUCAAAAAAAAGAAAAAAAAAGAAAAGAAAGAAAAGCCUCUUUUUAGUGGGCUACAAACGAAGUCAAGUGUACAAGGAAAAUGCAACCAUAAAUGAUAUUUAGUUCCCAUCUAACCCAUUUUCUAAAUUGUAUUUUUUCUCAAACUAAUUUUUAAUCAUACAUUUCAUGAAAUCUACAAUUUUUUAUUAACUUUUCAACCAAAUAUUUCAUUUGCAUAAAAUUUAUUAAAAAUUUGAUUUUUAGCUAAAACAAACAUAGGCUUAGUGACUUGCAAAUCAAUUAAGCCUUCAUUUGGCAAUUAAUUUCUCAAUCAUUUAUAAAUUCAGUCAAAUAUUAAUUAGUUUCAUUCACGCAUUCAUAACUAUCUCAUUUGUUAUUGACAAUUCGUUGGAUCCACUACUAUUCAUCUUUAUGAACUAUAUAUAGAUUUGCCAAACAGAGGCUGAAUUAAUCCCUAUAAUUAUGUAUCAUAACAAAUUUUGUUGUUAAUCAUAUUUUUCAAUAAAAUUGGAAGUACUAAUGACUUAUCUAGUACUCAUUUUUAUCGUUUAUAUAUUUUUGCCAAAUGGAAAUCUUCAACUCAUGUUGACGAUGAUGUGCGAAUAAGCAUCCCAUAGGAUAAUUCCCUCAAAACACCCAAUAGUUUGCUAUAAAUUUGGAAAACAUGGCACAUAAGUGCACGAAAGAACUUAAAUUUUGGACAUAAAACAAAGAAGUUAUGAGGUUUUGAAGUUUUUGAGUUUUUACAUUCUAAUUGGUAAAAUCUGAAACCUCAUUACAUGAUAACUUCUUUAUAUCAUGUUUCUCAUUUGGUAUGGUCUUCUCGAGAUCUUUCUAAUUGUAUAAAGGUCAUUAAUUUUGACAUUGAAAUGAAGAAGUUAUGCCAUCUCGAAAUUUAGAUGAAAGUCUAUUUUAUUUUUUUUGUAUGAAAAUUGGUAAAAUUCAAAAUUUCAUCACAUGAUAACUUCUUCUACACUACAUUUCACGAUUCUCAUUUUGUAUGGUUGGAUAGAUCUCGAGACAUUUUCAAAGGUAUAAAUAUCAUUAAUUUUGGCCUUGACUUAAAAAAGUUAUGACCUUUUGAAGUUUGAUAAAAAAAUCUGAAAAUUUUACAAAUUGGUCUUUGAAUUAUUCUUGAUUUUUUUAUAUAAUUAAAUUAAGGGAAAAUUGUAGCAGCCGUACCUAAUCUUUUCAUUUUUUGUAGACUUUAACCAAACAUUCAAUUUGUGUCAGUGGAGGUCCCUAACCUUUCAGAAAUAUUCAUCUGGAUUCCAAAUGAAUAGAUUCGUCCGUUUGACCAUUAGUUGACCAAGGAAGCCAAAAUUAAAUAAUUUUUGACCAAAUUAGAAAGGGUAAAAUGAUAAGUUUGCAUUUUUCUUACGUUUAAAUAAAUUAAAAAUAAAAUAGAAUAAUCAAAAAUAAAAUAAAAAUAAAAAAUCAUUAUCUUCUAACCUUACCAUAUCCCAAACCCCACUCCUACUCUUACACCUAUUCCUAGCCCUUUGCCAAAACGAAAACCCUGCAACACUUUGCCACCCACAGCAAGUCGUCGUCGCCAUCAAAUCCACAUCCACCACCAUUAACUCAAUCAAAGCCAAAAACUCAUCCAACAACUAGCGGUACCAUCGACCUAAACUGUCACCAAAACCAAAACCGAUACCAAAACAAACAGAGCCACCCGCUAUCGCCACUGCCACAUUGGAACAGAGCCAUCUGCAAUGUUUGGGGUUUGUGCAUCUAAAAAUCUUGCAUUUUCACAUCAUCAACUCAACAACUCACGGUCUGGUUCAAAAAAUCCUUUUUUUUGUAACCCAAAAUAUUAACAGGUAGAUUAAGGGAAAACAAUACAGACUAGGUCCCAACCAUUCUUCAAAAUUUAUCAAGUUUUCACAACUCAUUUGGUAACGAUAAAAACACUUCGAAAACCACAAAUUAUUUUCUUCAAAUUAGCAGUAAAUUCUCCGGUUUUAGGUCCCUCUUCCCCACAUCUCCAGUUGAAUCGCCAAAAUAUUAUGCUGAUUUUGGAAUUAAGACUCCAAAUCUCCGAUUUCAAGUCCAAAUUCAGAAAUAAAUGGAACUUUGGCCGGCGUUAAUGGAGUGGGAUGGGAGAGCUUUGGUCCGCGGUGCCACUGCCUUUUGUGUUUGAUUUUGGAAUAGGGGGUUUUGGGGUUCUGGGUUUGGUUUUUUGAUUUUUUUACUAUUAAAUGAUUUAAUUUAUUUUAAUGUAAGAAAAAUGCAAACUUACCAUUUUAUCCUUUUUAAUUUUGUCAAAAAUCAUUUAAUCUUGACUUCCUUGGUCACCAAACGGUCAAAUAGACGGAAUUCAUCCAUUUGGGCUCCAGAUGCAUAUUUUUGAAAGGUUAAGGACUUCCGCUAGUACAAAUUAAAGGUUAAGGUAAAGUCUGCAAAAAAUUAAAAUGUUAGGAACCGUUGUUGCAAUUUUCUCUUUAAUUAAUUUUUGGAUAGUUAAAAAUAAUUUAUUAUUAUUUUUUUUUGUAUUUACUGCUUACAAUUAAUUUGUAAAAAAUUUAAAACUAGAUUAAAUUGUAAUUUUUUUUUAUAAAAUCAAGAAUAUUUAUUAAGUGGUAUUUGACUAGUGAAAGUUAUUUUUUGAAGUGCUCCCAUUUUUUGGAAAUUGAAAAAUAUUUGAGAAUAUUUAAAUAUCACGUUUUAUAUAUGUUUAUGAGUUGUGUGGGUCUUUGAUUGGGUUAUGUGAUCUAUUAUAAAUUUUUCAAAUUUUUGUAUCAGAUAUGAUUGGAUCUGUGCACACUUAAAGCAUCUAUAAAGGGAAUGCUAGAAAAGCAAAAGCUAUGGAACAUGUUGAAAAGCUACAUGCUUAUUAAAAUUAAUAAAUGGAUUUAGAACUUAAUCUAAUUGGACAUGUAAUAUUUUGGGGAUAUUUUUUAUGAUAAUGAAAAUAUAAGAAUUUUGAUGUCACUUCUCAUUUGUCGAUAUUGUAUUGCAGCAAAUAUUAAAGUGGGUUUGAGUAUCUAUUUAAUAAAACUCAAAUACAUUAUCCAUUAUGGUUUGUGAAAUAUUGAUUGUCCAAUAUGUUUAGCAACAACUCAACACUGAUAACGAACUUCACUACAAUUUUCUUCUAAAUAGAUCUAUGUGCUAAGUGUAGUAAAAUUAGUGCAAGGAGGAGUAACAUAUUGGAAUUAUUUGUUGUUUGGCCAACAAGUUCAUGUUUGUCAAAGAUUUCACAUAAUGACAAUUAAGGUGAGUAGUUCCUAUUCCUUUUUACCAUGCCAUCUUGUUUGGCAAUAUUUACAAAUUACUUUACAUUCUUGGACUCCGUCGACUACUCGGCCCGUUGAAUCAAUUUGAAGUGUUCCCAACACUUUGCAAUUUUUAAGACUUUCGCUUACCUCUUACAUUUAGUAUUUUGAGUUUCGGCUCCGCUGCUACGUAUCAUCCAAAUUAAUUGGAUGACUACUCUUGUGAACAUCGUCAACGUCUAAAUCGUCAGGAAUUGGGAUGUUAUUGAGACUGAAAAAUUCAUUAUGUAAUUGAGAUUGUGGCAUCAAAAGUGCAUUGCCAUUGAACAAGCCCGAACAUAAGAAUUGUGAUCCAUUUGUAUGAAAUAAAAUUGGAGUGUACAAAGAUGAAAUCGAAUUAUAUUAGUAUUAGAUAAUGGAAUAUAAUUGGAUGAAUUGUAAAAUUGAGUUAAAUUGAGAAAAUAGAAGAACAAGAAAUGUAAUAGAUGAAUUAAAUAGGUUGAUAAUUGAAUGAUGUAACAACUAAUGAGGAAUUGAAUUGAGAUUUGAGACUGAAUAAUUAGAUUGUGAAAUGUAGAAGAUAGAUAUUGAGAAUUGGUGAUAAAAUUGGAUUGAAAUGAGGAGUACUUAUUGAGUUUUAAAAAAAUUGUAAUCAUUGCAAAACGGUUUCAAAACUUUAUGAAAGUUGGUUACUGUUUUUGGGAGAGCCCACUAGCGGCUCUGCCCAUCAUUUCAAAUGAAUGCUCGGCUCAAGUCCAGGCUUGUCAUCAAACGAGACCAAGCUGUCUAUGGGCCUAGUUGCUUGGGUCAUUUGCCACCCUUAAAAGAGGCAUAACACUAACUAACAUAAUGACAUUUCAAGUAUUCCUGGAUAAUUGUUUUUGGACUUCUCCUUCAACAAUUGAAAUGAGGGUGGAAAAAGUUGCAUGGAAUCCUAUCUCAAUUUCAUUCUUUCCUUCAAUUGAGAUUUCUUGUGGGAACUAGAAAUGAAAUAUAUGCACCUUUAGUUGACAUAUUACCUCUUUGCCUUUAAGAACAGAACGAAUUCAUUUUGUAAUUCAAACCUAUUAUAUCACUUGUCUUUUGAUUUCAUUAAUAUUAUUUUAAUAAUUGUCUUAAUAUGGAUGGUCAUCGUUUUCUAUAAAAAUAAAUAAUCUUAAUACAGAUGGUCAUCAUUUUCUUUAAAAAUGACAACCCUAUUAGGCAAAUGUCUAACUUCAAUCAACUUGUCCUUAGAAUAAAAUGAAUUAGUAGUCCAUGAUUACAAGUUUAGCAUACCGCAUCUGUGAAUACUUUCACUCUCAUCAGUCAACGGUUAAAAAAGUGUCAUGAAUUUCGUCCUUCCCUUCAAUUGAGAUUUCUUGGGUGAGAAAUGGAAUCUUGGCAUCUUUGGUUGAUGUAUUUUCAACUUGACCUUUAAGAACAAUACAAAAUAAUUGGAAAUGCAAUAAUACUAAACUACUACUUCUACAUACGGAAUACAACUAUCAUUUUCUUUGAAAAAUAAAAAGUUCAUGAUAUUGACUAUUUUACAUGUAAUAGUUGUUGUUUCAUGGAUAUUUGAAAAUAAUUAAGAAAAUAUAAAAUAGAAUUGAUCUUGAUCUACGUCUGAAACACUGACCACACAACCCAUUUCCCAUGUCCGUGGAGAAAUCUAUAAAUAGGGGUCGGGGGCUUUUCAUUUGAAAGGUUCUCAAAUUAUCUCAAGGCAGGAACAUUCAUAUAUAUAGCAUUUUUAAUUAGUUUUGGAUAUAAAUUAUUUUCUUUCUUUAAUUUAAAUUUCUAAAUCUAGUUACAUUUAAAGUUAAGGGUGGUAGUGGACCCUAGCCAUUCACAUUAUAGGGCUGACUCAUUUGGGCUUGACCCAUGAGCAAAUUGAGCUCGUUGAGCAUGCCCAUGAUUUAACUAGUCGUUAAAAUUUUUAGCUACCUUUUAGCCCCUACUUGUCAUCCUUUAAAGCUUUAAAUUAUUUGCUACAAAAUCAUUUUCCACCAUAAAUUCACACAAUAAAAAAUUCUAAGCAAAAAUCAAUAAAGUUUCAUUACUUUUUAAUCACACAUUCUCCAAAAAAAAAUACUACUCAAUAACUCAAUAUUCUCAAAUAAAAAAUUAUCAAAUAGGCUCUAAUUAAGAUGCUACUUUUGCAUACUACGAUUGAAUUAAUCAUACAAAGUAUGAAUGGCAUAUUAAAAUUGAAAUUUUUUAUUUUGUAAUUAAUUUUAUGUUUUUUGUACUUCUCUUUAAACUAUUUUUCCACUUCAAAUCGUUUCAGAAAUAAUCUCGAUGACAUUCCAGAAUUUUCGGUGAUGUUAUUUGAACUUCUGGAAGCGUUCAUCCUCUCCGUCCCUAGUCUCUUGUUUGCUUAUUUUGCUUGAUUUUUCCAAGAAUGUGACGGCUCAGUUUUGCAUUCAAUAAAAAUAAUAAUAAUAAUAAAUAAAUAAAAAUUCUAAAAAUUUGAUUUUUUCUUUGGCAGCAAUGAACAAAUUAAGAAACAUAGUUUUUUCCAAGUGCAAUGCACGUUAAAUUUAUUUGCAAUUAAUGUACAUAGCCAUAUUAGUUUUAUAAAUAUUUAGUUGCAAAAAGCCAAGCUGUCUAAGAAAAGAUGAGAUAUUAAAAAAGUGAACUUCUGGACUUGUAGAUCAAGGUUUUGCUCAAAAUCAAAAAUAUAAAUAACUAACAAUUCACUACUAAUAAAUAAGUUUUUUACAAUUGAAUAUAGUAUAUGUAGCACUAAGCUGUUCGAAUUUAAUUUUGUGGUCACUCAAUAUUUUAUAGUCUUAAAAUCUAAACAUUUGCUCAUGCAAACAAGGUCUUGUUUGACUCACAUUCUUUCAGAAAAAUAUAUUUUUAAAUAUUGAUGUGACAUCAACUACACAUUUUUUAAUAAAAUAAUAUUAUACGCUAAUUCAAAUUUUNNNNNNNNNNNNNNNNNNNNNNNNNNNNNNNNNNNNNNNNNNNNNNNNNNNNNNNNNNNNNNNNNNNNNNNNNNNNNNNNNNNNNNNNNNNNNNNNNNNNNNNNNNNNNNNNNNNNNNNNNNNNNNNNNNNNNNNNNNNNNNNNNNNNNNNNNNNNNNNNNNNNNNNNNNNNNNNNNNNNNNNNNNNNNNNNNNNNNNNNNNNNNNNNNNNNNNNNNNNNNNNNNNNNNNNNNNNNNNNNNNNNNNNNNNNNNNNNNNNNNNNNNNNNNNNNNNNNNNNNNNNNNNNNNNNNNNNNNNNNNNNNNNNNNNNNNNNNNNNNNNNNNNNNNNNNNNNNNNNNNNNNNNNNNNNNNNNNNNNNNNNNNNNNNNNNNNNNNNNNNNNNNNNNNNNNNNNNNNNNNNNNNNNNNNNNNNNNNNNNNNNNNNNNNNNNNNNNNNNNNNNNNNNNNNNNNNNNNNNNNNNNNNNNNNNNNNNNNNNNNNNNNNNNNNNNNNNNNNNNNNNNNNNNNNNNNNNNNNNNNNNNNNNNNNNNNNNNNNNNNNNNNNNNNNNNNNNNNNNNNNNNNNNNNNNNNNNNNNNNNNNNNNNNNNNNNNNNNNNNNNNNNNNNNNNNNNNNNNNNNNNNNNNNNNNNNNNNNNNNNNNNNNNNNNNNNNNNNNNNNNNNNNNNNNNNNNNNNNNNNNNNNNNNNNNNNNNNNNNNNNNNNNNNNNNNNNNNNNNNNNNNNNNNNNNNNNNNNNNNNNNNNNNNNNNNNNNNNNNNNNNNNNNNNNNNNNNNNNNNNNNNNNNNNNNNNNNNNNNNNNNNNNNNNNNNNNNNNNNNNNNNNNNNNNNNNNNNNNNNNNNNNNNNNNNNNNNNNNNNNNNNNNNNNNNNNNNNNNNNNNNNNNNNNNNNNNNNNNNNNNNNNNNNNNNNNNNNNNNNNNNNNNNNNNNNNNNNNNNNNNNNNNNNNNNNNNNNNNNNNNNNNNNNNNNNNNNNNNNNNNNNNNNNNNNNNNNNNNNNNNNNNNNNNNNNNNNNNNNNNNNNNNNNNNNNNNNNNNNNNNNNNNNNNNNNNNNNNNNNNNNNNNNNNNNNNNNNNNNNNNNNNNNNNNNNNNNNNNNNNNNNNNNNNNNNNNNNNNNNNNNNNNNNNNNNNNNNNNNNNNNNNNNNNNNNNNNNNNNNNNNNNNNNNNNNNNNNNNNNNNNNNNNNNNNNNNNNNNNNNNNNNNNNNNNNNNNNNNNNNNNNNNNNNNNNNNNNNNNNNNNNNNNNNNNNNNNNNNNNNNNNNNNNNNNNNNNNNNNNNNNNNNNNNNNNNNNNNNNNNNNNNNNNNNNNNNNNNNNNNNNNNNNNNNNNNNNNNNNNNNNNNNNNNNNNNNNNNNNNNNNNNNNNNNNNNNNNNNNNNNNNNNNNNNNNNNNNNNNNNNNNNNNNNNNNNNNNNNNNNNNNNNNNNNNNNNNNNNNNNNNNNNNNNNNNNNNNNNNNNNNNNNNNNNNNNNNNNNNNNNNNNNNNNNNNNNNNNNNNNNNNNNNNNNNNNNNNNNNNNNNNNNNNNNNNNNNNNNNNNNNNNNNNNNNNNNNNNNNNNNNNNNNNNNNNNNNNNNNNNNNNNNNNNNNNNNNNNNNNNNNNNNNNNNNNNNNNNNNNNNNNNNNNNNNNNNNNNNNNNNNNNNNNNNNNNNNNNNNNNNNNNNNNNNNNNNNNNNNNNNNNNNNNNNNNNNNNNNNNNNNNNNNNNNNNNNNNNNNNNNNNNNNNNNNNNNNNNNNNNNNNNNNNNNNNNNNNNNNNNNNNNNNNNNNNNNNNNNNNNNNNNNNNNNNNNNNNNNNNNNNNNNNNNNNNNNNNNNNNNNNNNNNNNNNNNNNNNNNNNNNNNNNNNNNNNNNNNNNNNNNNNNNNNNNNNNNNNNNNNNNNNNNNNNNNNNNNNNNNNNNNNNNNNNNNNNNNNNNNNNNNNNNNNNNNNNNNNNNNNNNNNNNNNNNNNNNNNNNNNNNNNNNNNNNNNNNNNNNNNNNNNNNNNNNNNNNNNNNNNNNNNNNNNNNNNNNNNNNNNNNNNNNNNNNNNNNNNNNNNNNNNNNNNNNNNNNNNNNNNNNNNNNNNNNNNNNNNNNNNNNNNNNNNNNNNNNNNNNNNNNNNNNNNNNNNNNNNNNNNNNNNNNNNNNNNNNNNNNNNNNNNNNNNNNNNNNNNNNNNNNNNNNNNNNNNNNNNNNNNNNNNNNNNNNNNNNNNNNNNNNNNNNNNNNNNNNNNNNNNNNNNNNNNNNNNNNNNNNNNNNNNNNNNNNNNNNNNNNNNNNNNNNNNNNNNNNNNNNNNNNNNNNNNNNNNNNNNNNNNNNNNNNNNNNNNNNNNNNNNNNNNNNNNNNNNNNNNNNNNNNNNNNNNNNNNNNNNNNNNNNNNNNNNNNNNNNNNNNNNNNNNNNNNNNNNNNNNNNNNNNNNNNNNNNNNNNNNNNNNNNNNNNNNNNNNNNNNNNNNNNNNNNNNNNNNNNNNNNNNNNNNNNNNNNNNNNNNNNNNNNNNNNNNNNNNNNNNNNNNNNNNNNNNNNNNNNNNNNNNNNNNNNNNNNNNNNNNNNNNNNNNNNNNNNNNNNNNNNNNNNNNNNNNNNNNNNNNNNNNNNNNNNNNNNNNNNNNNNNNNNNNNNNNNNNNNNNNNNNNNNNNNNNNNNNNNNNNNNNNNNNNNNNNNNNNNNNNNNNNNNNNNNNNNNNNNNNNNNNNNNNNNNNNNNNNNNNNNNNNNNNNNNNNNNNNNNNNNNNNNNNNNNNNNNNNNNNNNNNNNNNNNNNNNNNNNNNNNNNNNNNNNNNNNNNNNNNNNNNNNNNNNNNNNNNNNNNNNNNNNNNNNNNNNNNNNNNNNNNNNNNNNNNNNNNNNNNNNNNNNNNNNNNNNNNNNNNNNNNNNNNNNNNNNNNNNNNNNNNNNNNNNNNNNNNNNNNNNNNNNNNNNNNNNNNNNNNNNNNNNNNNNNNNNNNNNNNNNNNNNNNNNNNNNNNNNNNNNNNNNNNNNNNNNNNNNNNNNNNNNNNNNNNNNNNNNNNNNNNNNNNNNNNNNNNNNNNNNNNNNNNNNNNNNNNNNNNNNNNNNNNNNNNNNNNNNNNNNNNNNNNNNNNNNNNNNNNNNNNNNNNNNNNNNNNNNNNNNNNNNNNNNNNNNNNNNNNNNNNNNNNNNNNNNNNNNNNNNNNNNNNNNNNNNNNNNNNNNNNNNNNNNNNNNNNNNNNNNNNNNNNNNNNNNNNNNNNNNNNNNNNNNNNNNNNNNNNNNNNNNNNNNNNNNNNNNNNNNNNNNNNNNNNNNNNNNNNNNNNNNNNNNNNNNNNNNNNNNNNNNNNNNNNNNNNNNNNNNNNNNNNNNNNNNNNNNNNNNNNNNNNNNNNNNNNNNNNNNNNNNNNNNNNNNNNNNNNNNNNNNNNNNNNNNNNNNNNNNNNNNNNNNNNNNNNNNNNNNNNNNNNNNNNNNNNNNNNNNNNNNNNNNNNNNNNNNNNNNNNNNNNNNNNNNNNNNNNNNNNNNNNNNNNNNNNNNNNNNNNNNNNNNNNNNNNNNNNNNNNNNNNNNNNNNNNNNNNNNNNNNNNNNNNNNNNNNNNNNNNNNNNNNNNNNNNNNNNNNNNNNNNNNNNNNNNNNNNNNNNNNNNNNNNNNNNNNNNNNNNNNNNNNNNNNNNNNNNNNNNNNNNNNNNNNNNNNNNNNNNNNNNNNNNNNNNNNNNNNNNNNNNNNNNNNNNNNNNNNNNNNNNNNNNNNNNNNNNNNNNNNNNNNNNNNNNNNNNNNNNNNNNNNNNNNNNNNNNNNNNNNNNNNNNNNNNNNNNNNNNNNNNNNNNNNNNNNNNNNNNNNNNNNNNNNNNNNNNNNNNNNNNNNNNNNNNNNNNNNNNNNNNNNNNNNNNNNNNNNNNNNNNNNNNNNNNNNNNNNNNNNNNNNNNNNNNNNNNNNNNNNNNNNNNNNNNNNNNNNNNNNNNNNNNNNNNNNNNNNNNNNNNNNNNNNNNNNNNNNNNNNNNNNNNNNNNNNNNNNNNNNNNNNNNNNNNNNNNNNNNNNNNNNNNNNNNNNNNNNNNNNNNNNNNNNNNNNNNNNNNNNNNNNNNNNNNNNNNNNNNNNNNNNNNNNNNNNNNNNNNNNNNNNNNNNNNNNNNNNNNNNNNNNNNNNNNNNNNNNNNNNNNNNNNNNNNNNNNNNNNNNNNNNNNNNNNNNNNNNNNNNNNNNNNNNNNNNNNNNNNNNNNNNNNNNNNNNNNNNNNNNNNNNNNNNNNNNNNNNNNNNNNNNNNNNNNNNNNNNNNNNNNNNNNNNNNNNNNNNNNNNNNNNNNNNNNNNNNNNNNNNNNNNNNNNNNNNNNNNNNNNNNNNNNNNNNNNNNNNNNNNNNNNNNNNNNNNNNNNNNNNNNNNNNNNNNNNNNNNNNNNNNNNNNNNNNNNNNNNNNNNNNNNNNNNNNNNNNNNNNNNNNNNNNNNNNNNNNNNNNNNNNNNNNNNNNNNNNNNNNNNNNNNNNNNNNNNNNNNNNNNNNNNNNNNNNNNNNNNNNNNNNNNNNNNNNNNNNNNNNNNNNNNNNNNNNNNNNNNNNNNNNNNNNNNNNNNNNNNNNNNNNNNNNNNNNNNNNNNNNNNNNNNNNNNNNNNNNNNNNNNNNNNNNNNNNNNNNNNNNNNNNNNNNNNNNNNNNNNNNNNNNNNNNNNNNNNNNNNNNNNNNNNNNNNNNNNNNNNNNNNNNNNNNNNNNNNNNNNNNNNAAAAAUAAUAAUAAUAAUAAAUAAAUAAAAAUUCUAAAAAUUUGAUUUUUUCUUUGGCAGCAAUGAACAAAUUAAGAAACAUAGUUUUUUCCAAGUGCAAUGCACGUUAAAUUUAUUUGCAAUUAAUGUACAUAGCCAUAUUAGUUUUAUAAAUAUUUAGUUGCAAAAAGCCAAGCUGUCUAAGAAAAGAUGAGAUAUUAAAAAAGUGAACUUCUGGACUUGUAGAUCAAGGUUUUGCUCAAAAUCAAAAAUAUAAAUAACUAACAAUUCACUACUAAUAAAUAAGUUUUUUACAAUUGAAUAUAGUAUAUGUAGCACUAAGCUGUUCGAAUUUAAUUUUGUGGUCACUCAAUAUUUUAUAGUCUUAAAAUCUAAACAUUUGCUCAUGCAAACAAGGUCUUGUUUGACUCACAUUCUUUCAGAAAAAUAUAUUUUUAAAUAUUGAUGUGACAUCAACUACACAUUUUUUAAUAAAAUAAUAUUAUACGCUAAUUCAAAUUUUUUUUUUUUAAUUAUACAUUUUUCAUCUAUAUAUUAUUUAAAAAUAUAUUCUUAAAAAAAUAAUGUGGUUCAAUCAAGGGCUUAUUCAACAUUCAUGUCAAGAGCGCGUAGAACAUAUGCAAAUGUGAUUAGAUAGUGUAAAUUGUCUAUAAUUUGAAUUUCAAAUGGGUCAUGGUUAAAAAUUGUGUUUAGACUGAACAAGAAAUGAACAACAAACCUAUUGCUUUUGAGGUCCACGCCCAGGUUUGUAGGUACCCUCUUGCGCAGGUAGGUACACCUCCCAUUAUCUAUACCAUUCACCCCUACCGACCAUUAUCUUAAAGUCGCAUUAUUUUAAAGUCAUUAUGGAUGGUGAAGCCUCUUGCUUCCUUUCUGCAAACAUUUCUCUUUUUGUUCAAAAGGCAGAAGCAACUACCCUAGAAUCUUAGAACUCAUAAGAGAUAACCAUUUGAGAUAACCAUUUGGCCCAAUUUGGCCCCUUCUUUUUUAAAUGAAAAUGUGUGGAAUACUUUUUUUAAAAAAGAUUAGUGGUUGAAAAAGAAUGAUAAAUUUCUUAUUUACAUAUAAUAUUAUUUUAUAGAAGAUUGUGUGGUUGAAAAUAAGAGAGAAAAAAAUAGAAUCUAACGAAUUUAAUGUAAUAAGAUUCAAACGAUAACAAAAUGGAGGAAAUAGAUUACCCAAGAUGGGGAGAAAAAAGAGACAAGUUACACUAUCAAAGUAUAGUUUAUUCUCACCAGUCAAUUUUUCAAAUGAGAUUAUUGAAACCCAAUAUUAAUAAGCAUUGCUAGAGCUAGGUCAUAUGUUCGAAUUUUAAUUUAAAUCAAAGCCACCAGUUAAUUUUAAUCACAUAUACGGGACCAACAACUUUUAAAUCAUACAUUUAAUCAAAUUUUACUAAAAAAUUGAUUUUAAUCAUCAUCAAACAGAGACUAAGUGCCUAUUCACGAAUCCAACAGAAUAUAAUAAACUUGUAGAAAUCCAUGUUGAAUGGUAAAAUUGUUAUGCCUGCGAUUUUGCCCAUGUUUGUAACCCAUUAUUUGGAAAAUUAGAGAGUUUUGAAUAAUAUUUUUUUGAAGAAUAUGUGGUUAAAAAAAAAGAAAAUUUUAAAGGUGACAAAGAGCACUUGAUUUUUGCCUUUAUUUACAUCUUGGAAUAAGAAUUGUGAUUUCCAAAGUAGGAACAUCAUCACACUUUUUUAAACUUUUGCCGAAAUUUCCAGUACUUGCUUUGUUGAUACAAAAGCAUACGGAAUUAUAAGAAAGAGGGGGAGAGAGAGAGAGAGAGUUCACCUUUGCUUUGGCUUCAUUUUGCUGAAAGUUUCAACCUUUGGUUUGUGUUUAUUUUUCGAAAAAUUGAAACAUAUAUUCACUCUCAUUGAUCUCUGUCUCUUUCUCUGCUUGGCGUUUCGCCCAAACCAACAAUACUUGAUGGAUUUCUCUUACAAAAAAUCUGUCAUAUCUAAUCAAAAGCUCGAAUCUCAUUUCCCAUAUGCCAGAUUUAGCGCUUGAUGAAGGAAAAAUUGUUGGCUUUCAGUGGCUCGAACCCCACUCUUUAACUUUCCUCAAAUAUGUAGCAAAAUGGCAGUUUCGGUUAAAGAGGAUUAAUCAGUUGUUGGAGCAUCUUGAUGAUUCAACCUCAGAUUGCAUCUUAUAUGGAGUUAAUGAACAUUAUAACAACUUUUCAGAAAUCAUUGUUGUUGGGGACAGAAGCUCCAGUAAUACACGUUGUUUCCAAAUCGCAUUAUAAAGAAUGUGAUUUAAUUACAAUAUUGAAAUAUAUUACAUCACACCACGAAAACACAAAAUUGAAUUUGUAAAGAAAGAACACAAUGGGUAAAUGUAGAGGAACGAUGUUUAUUAAUUCAACAGUAUGGAGAAUAAAAGACAUACUAGCAAUACUGCUUCUAUGUUACUCUCUACAAACUGACCAGAGGAGUCUCGUAUUUAUAGGUCAACCUUAGAAGAGUCCUAAAAGGCAAGAAAAUAUACUACAAUUAGGAAACCCAAUUUCAACAGGAUUUUGUUUUCUUAUUCAACUUAGUUUCCUUAAACCCUAGGUUAAUAUUUUUCUAGUCCAAGUCGAAUACGCCUCUUCAAAAGACUCGAAUUUGAGUCAUACUCCUAACAAUCUCCACCUUGACUCGAAUUCCAGUGCUAUGAAUGAAACUCCUAGAUUUCAAAUUCAUCUACAUUGAAAUUAAUUGGCUGAAUUUAUGGUCUAACAUUCUUGCCAAUACAUUAUCUUCAUUUUGCUCCGGAUUGUAAUCUCUAAUGAAAAAUAUAGCUCAAAAUUUUGCCUAGACAAGAUAUGCCUUAUCUGCAAGAUGGAAGACCUGUUGAUAUGAUUUUCAACCCAUUAGGAGUACCUUUACGAAUGAAUGUAGGACAUAUAUUUGAAUGUUCACUCGGGUUAGCAAGGGGUCUGCUGGAUAGACAUUAUCGAAUAGCGCCUUUUGAUGAGAGAUAUGAACAAGAAGCUUCGAGAAAACUAGUGUUUUCUGAAUUUUUUGUGUCUUCCAGCUACUUUGUCGCCUACUUUAAUUUCGCGUUUCUGUGAAAUAUAUAUACGAAUCAUUUCUGGAUUAUAACUAGAACCCCCCUCCCUUUUCUGGAUCCACCUCACAUCAAUAACCCGGCCCCUACCACCAUCUCCUUAAUAUAUAACCACUCUAUAUAAACCAAACACUCGUCCUCUGUCCGUCGUCCACAACCGACACCCAAACUCAAUCCCCAGGGUUCCCAAUUCCACCAAGGAAUUAGUGUUGAUCACACAAGAUCGAAGCACACCCUGUAGCAAGAACCAAACCAGAUGCUUAAUCAGAAAGUUCUUUGCUGGAACUGUCGCCUUCAAGGUUCCUAGAAGCAUCCCAGACAUUGCUGACACCAUGGUACCUAUGCUCGAUGAGUUCUACCCAGCAAUUGAACACAGUAUACUCACUGAAAUUCGCGACAAGGCGGAAUCACCAAUGCUCUCCCUAGCAGUGUUUUAAAUUGACUCAGAGCCCAACACAAGAGGUACUGUACGAAACUAAACUUCCAACACGGUACUAAACUUGUCAAAAUGUCUCAUCUUAACUAGUUCUACACUCCCCUGCAAAAUGUACAACUCGGAUCUUUUACAUCCCUUCAGUACAACUCGGUCUCCCUUUCGGACCUUCAAAACUCCACCUCCUCCAGAGAAUUUAAACCCUUUUGCAUCUAGGGUACUUAGCGAAAUGAGAUUCCUUUCCAGGUCAGGAACAUGAACGAUCAAUUGCUCUAAAUAUUCCAUCUCGCAGCCUCAAUCUAACUCGACCAAUCCCAACAAUAUAACAAGAUUGGUCGUUUCCCAUUACAAUUCCAUCUUGCCAAAUAGCCUCAUAUGUCUGAAAUAAAUUCCUAUCGGAACACAUAUGGUACGAACAUACUGAAUUAAGAAUCCACUCCUCGUCGGGCCUAGAUUCCACAUCAGAUACCACGAUCAACAUCACCUCUUCGCCAUCUGAACAAUUCUCAACUACAUUGGUUUCAUCUGAAUUCAAAGGUUAAGCCCACGAUUUAUAGCUUAUCACCUUUAGCCUGCAACAUAUCGUAAUCCUUCCGAAUAUGUCCCUUCCUUUUACAGUAGUAAUAGGUCACAUUGCUAAAUCUAACUCUUGAUCUGCCUCUUCAUCGACCACCUUGAGAUACAAGAGUUUUUUCAUUCCUUGAUGUAGCUCCAACCAAAUGUUUCAUUUUCUCCUUUGAGUGCAAAACAUCAUAGACAUCUUCUAUAGUCAAAGUAUCUCAACUAUACAAGAUAGUAUCUAGGUAGAGAACACAACAGGAUCAAGCAAGAUCUAGGCAGAGAACACAACAGGAUCAAGCAAGAUCAUCUUCAUCGUACUUAACCUCCAACGUCUCCAGAUCUGCAACUAUUUCCUUGAACACGACAACAUGGUCUUUCAACGACUUUCCUUUCGCCAUGCGAUGUGAAUAGAGCUUUCUCUUGAGAGCUAGUUUACUUGUAAGACUCUUAGUCAUACACAACUGCUCCAACUUCAACCACAAAGCAGGCACUGUUUUCUCCUUCAAGACAUCCUGCAGAAUAUUGUUGGAUAGAUAAAGGUGAAUCAAUGAAACAGCCUUUCGAUCCUUCCGUUGUCCAACCAACUGGCAUCCUCUCAAUACCCAACAACGCAUCAUCCAAAUCCGAUUGAGCUAAAAUAACCCUCAUCUUUACUUGCCACAACGAGAAACUUGUAUUGCGAUCUAACAGCGGAACAUCAUAUUUCAACCUAGCCAUCUUGAAAGAAUCUCAACCAAUCCACAGAAAAUCAACAACCUCACUCUGAUACCACUUGUUGGGGGCGGAAGCUCCAAUAACACACGUUGAUUCCAAACUGAAUUAUAAAGAAUGAGAUUUAAUGACAAGAUUGAAGUAUACUAGAUCACACCACGAAAACAAAAAAUUGAAUUUGUAAAGAAAGAACACAAAGAGUAAACGCAGAGGAACGAUGUUUAUUAAUUUAAUAGUACGGAAAAUACAAGACUAACUAGCAAUACUGCUUCUAUGUCAUUCUCUACAAACUAACCAGAGGAGCCUCUUAUUUAUAGGUCAACCCUAGAAAUGUCCUAAAAGACAAGAAAAUAUACUACAGUUAGGAGGCCCAAUUUCAACAGGAUUUUGUUUCCAUAUUCAACUUAGUUUUCUUAAGCCCUAGGUUAAUAUUCUCCUAGUCUAAAUUGAAUACGCCUCUUCAAAAGACUCCUAUUUGAGUUAUAAAUCUAACAAUUUUAUCUUUUAUGCCACAGAUUAGAGAGUUCUUCAAAAGUCCAUACUCCCUGCAAUUGUUAGAUAGUGAUGAAGUUAUCGCUCCCAGCAAAAUCUACUUCCUUCUUGAAACUAUUGGAGAAUUGCUUAAUUGCGAAACGGAUACCAUUCUUAUGAGUAACCAAGUCAAAGUUAUUCUAAAAGAGUUCAAAUUUCUACUCUUUUUUUCUUCAGAUAUAAUGCUGUUGCGGAAGCUCUCUCAAAAGAUCUUCAAACGGUGGUUUUCCAGGCUCAGUCCAACGUACCUUUCUCUACCAACAACCAAUCCAAACGGCUCCAAACCACAACCAAUUGAUUCACCUUGGUUGCUAUUCAAUCUUACGCACGUAGGACAAGAAAGGAUGAUGAUUUAUCGCCACAAAGGCUAAGAGAAGACACCACAAAGGUAUACUAUGAAAGAACCACCAAUUGCACACGUUAUACGAGCGUUUUGGACACUUCUGGACACCCUUUUUCUCACACAAAAGGGGACAGCCGGGAUUCUCUUGUUUCUUCUCUCAAAAUCAUUCAAUCAUCAUGUCAAAGAGGCUAGGGUUAUAUUCAUAUAUAUACUCUAGGGUUAGGCUUUAAGUUGGGCCAUUAAAGGGGUAAACGGGCCAAGAUUCAAGCCAUCCAUAAGGAAUACAANNNNNNNNNNNNNNNNNNNNNNNNNNNNNNNNNNNNNNNNNNNNNNNNNNNNNNNNNNNNNNNNNNNNNNNNNNNNNNNNNNNNNNNNNNNNNNNNNNNNNNNNNNNNNNNNNNNNNNNNNNNNNNNNNNNNNNNNNNNNNNNNNNNNNNNNNNNNNNNNNNNNNNNNNNNNNNNNNNNNNNNNNNNNNNNNNNNNNNNNNNNNNNNNNNNNNNNNNNNNNNNNNNNNNNNNNNNNNNNNNNNUCAAGAGCAAAUACACAUGCGAUGACGAUAUACUAUAGGAUAACACACACAUAUCUUUUCAGAAACAUGUUCACAUAGAACCAUAGAUUAACACCAAGUCAAUCAAACCACGGUCAACCACAUAUGCAACACAUGCAUAAAUGACCCUAAGAAAAGAUCUCACCACACUUAUCCUAUCCCAUUCCGUGUUGCUCACACCUCGAGAACACAUAUCUCCUCUCAUCGCCCACCACGCUCACUAGACAGAUCACUCAAUUCAUGUCUAACUGGUGAGUCACAAUAGAUCCUAAGUUCACGGGAUAAUCCUCUAUCUCCACAUCACUUCUCCCAACCUACGUAGAUAAUUGGUCUCCACCUAACAGAAGUGAUAGAAGUGUCUCUCUCACACUCCACCUGAUCAGGGUCUCUUUCCAGAUAAAGGAUCCUAGACAUUUGAUCACAUCUCCACUCGUGAUCCAAAUGUCACACUCUACAUCCCUCGGUACAAACCACCAUGUACUCUUAGGCAUCUAUACUCCACCUCACCAAAAGACACACAAUACACUGCUAAUGCAUCCUAACCCACUAUGCAUGCAAGCAAUUACACCAAGUAAUCCUAAUGUCUCAAAUUCAUGCAAAUGCACAUAUCAAACACAUUGAAAUGUAGCAGAUAAUCAUGCAACAAAAUUUAGACAAUCACACACAUGCAGAAAGGAUCACACACAGAUGCAUAUGCAGUGACUAGGUUUAUACUCAAUAAACCUCACUGGGGUCAUAACUCGACCCCUCAACCAAAUUCGUCUCACCUCUUAUCUUUCCCUUCAGCUUAUCUUUCUUCUUAGGACAGUCCCUAAUAAAGUGUUCAGACUUACCACAACUGUAACACCUUUUACCACUAGACUUGUCUCGUUCCUUGCCCUUCUUCUUACUACCCUCAUCACUCGAGUCACUACUCGAAUCACUACCGUUUUGAGUUCUACCCAAAUUCAUUUGCUUAAACUUCAUCCUACUCCUCAUCAUAUGUAACUCGCCACUCCUCUUAUCCUCUUUUUCAGCCUUAAUCUCCAUCUCCUUACUCCUAAGUGUUAAGGUAUCCCUACCAUACUUAAUUGCAUUCUUAACUUCCCUAUAUGAAUCAGGCAUGGAAUUAAGCAGGAUAAUAGCCUUAUACGUUUCAGAUACCUCUUCAUCACAGUUAACGAUGUCUUGAACUAAUUUGUUAAAGACAUCCAGAUUAUCAUCAAGAUCCUUUGAAGGAUCCAUGUUAAAGCUGAAAAAUCGUUCAAGCAAGUACAAUUUAUUAGGAGUUGACUUAAGCAAAUAUAAGUCCUCCAACUUUUCCCAAAGUUGUUUUGUAGAAUCCAGUUUUCCUACUUUUCUCAAAACAGUAUCAGAUAGGUGUAAAAUAAUUGAAGUGUAUGCAAGUUCAUCAUACUCUUCUUUUUGUACUUCUGUUAAAUUUGCAGGAAACUUGCCAUCUAUGGCAUUUGAAACUUUUUGUUGGACCAAAAUACCCUUCAUCUUUUGUUGCCAAAUUGAAAAAUCCCCUUUCCCAUUAAAAAUUCCAACUUCAAAGCGUGAAGACAUUUUUAAAAAACUAGAACAACCAAAAGCACAGAUAGGUCACACAAAGUUAUCCUACGGCCGCAAUAUACACCGUUCUAGAUUCCCAGGGUUUCGUAAGAUUCACGAUCUUAGAUCAAGGGAAUGUUCGAAUGGGUUAAGUCCAGGUGUUCUAACAGAAAAAUCAAUGCAACACGAAGGUAUGUAAACAAAAGUUCGAAUUUCCACGCAACAAGCCUCACACAGUGACUAUAUGACAGGUAAAGCACAAAAUCAACUACCAACUUGCAAUCAAAACUCAACACUUCAAAAACAGAGCAAAUAAUUCCUAAAUUUUCUAGCACAAGCAAUGGUUGUCAAGCAAUGACAACCCCCAAUCCUAACGAUCACCCCACACGAUGAUCUGCUAAUGCUGAAAUUUAAAACUAAGUUAAGCCAAUAUACCAGAGCGGACUAUCUGAGUCCGUAAAUUAUGAGAGUUGCGAAUUUAUCACUUUAGGACCACCACUAUUCGUCCUAAAGUCUCUGGAAACUGCAGCAACCAAAAAAUCACGAUCGAGUCCCGAAUGCCCGAAGAACAACGCUGUCCAAAUUCUUCUGCGUACCCUGAAACAGAAAACUUUCAACACGAAAAAUGUUAAAAAUAAUAUAAGGAACAAACUGCCUGAAGAGACCGUCGCCAGAAAACAUCACACGCGCCCGCACGCGCCAAAUCAGUCCCUGCGUGUGGCCUCCACGCGCCGCCGCCGUUCACACGCGCCUGACCGUCUUGAUCACCACCGCCUGCACGUUACACCAGUGGUCUCUGUUUCCCCAAACUCGUUCUGGAUUGGUCAGAAAACACCAAAACAGAGACUGAUUUUUAACAGUUUUUUGAUCUGAUUUCUGCCACGUUUCUGCCGAUUUUUUGGACGAUUUCUGGUAGAUUUCACGAGUCAAAACCUUCACCUUGAAGCUCUGAUACCAAUUUGUUGCGGAAGCUCUCUCAAAAGAUCUUCAAACGGUGGUUUUCCAGGCUCAGUCCAACGUACCUUUCUCUACCAACAACCAAUCCAAACGGCUCCAAACCACAACCAAUUGAUUCACCUUGAUUGCUAUUCAAUCUUACCCACGUAGGACAAGAAAGGAUGAUGAUUUAUCGCCACAAAGGCUAAGAGAAGACACCACAAAGGUAUACUAUGAAAGAACCACCAAUUGCACACGUUAUACCAGCGUUUUGGACACUUCUGGACACCCUUUUUCUCACACAAAAGGGGACAGCCGGGAUUCUCUUGUUUCUUCUCUCAAAAUCACUCAAUCAUCAUGUCAAAGAGGCUAGGGUUAUAUUCAUAUAUAUACUCUAGGGUUAGGCUUUAAGUUGGGCCAAUAAAGGGGUAAACGGGCCAAGAUUCAAGCCAUCCAUAAGGAAUACAAUUGGGCUGGGUGUAGUUCAUGGACUUGGUUGUUGGACUUAUUUCAUUCAUCGGCCUAUGCCUAUGAAAUAAUAUUAACCCACGUUAAUAUCAUAGCCCGGGAUUUAUUGGGUAUCAAAAACCCAACAAAUGCGAUGUAGAAUCAGAGAAGUUGGCAAGCGUAUAGCUACAAUAACUUUUAUGAUGCAAGAAAAUCAAAAGGAUAAUAUAUUCACAGACGUUGAAGUUGUGUAUAACGAAGCGGGACUUUUCUUGCAUUCGUUCUUUUUCACUGUAGACCUCAUUACCAUGACCAAAAUGGAUCUGGCACUUUCUGUUCUAUUAGAAAGAAUUGAGAUUGUGAAAGUGAAGAUCAAAGACUACUUCAUCACAAACUCAAUGAAGAUGAAUUGUAGAAUUGAAGACUACAAGUUGCAGAAAGUCCCAGUGAAGUAUCAUCCCAAGAUAAAAGCAUUUCCGUGGUAGAUGAGAUGAUUGUGGGCUUAGAAGACAUGACACCACAAAUUACAAGCAGGCUUCUUGGAGGACGAGCUACUUAAGCUUUCGUAGUGUGUUGUUUCUCAAACUUACCAAAAGAGAAAGGGAUUGGUUGAUAUUUUGAUCUCUUUGAGUAACCUUAGCAACCACGAAAUUUCAGAAAUGAAAGAUGAAGAGUUAGCCAAAAAUCUUAACAAAUCCUUAAUCGGUAAAAGAUACCUCAUUGUUAUAGAUGAUCUAUGGGAUAUUCGUGCAUGGGAUGAUUUGAGAAGGUACUUUUCUAGAUGACAAAAUUAACGGAAGCAAAGUAUUGUUCACUAGUCGGCUGAAAAAUGUGGCAUCUGAAAUUUCACAUGUUAUCAUUGAACCUCUUCCCCUCUCAUCAAGUGAAAGUUGGACGUUAUUAGAGAAAAAUGUGUUCAAGAAAGAACGUUGCCCUCAAGAACUGCUAGCUAUCAGAAAGCAAAUUGCAAUAUAUUGUCGUGGACUACCGCUCUCAAUCGUCAUGAUAGCUGGAGUUCUUUUGAAUAUGGAGAAGAAAGAAAACUUAUGGCAAAAAGUUGCAGAAAAUUUAAGUUCUUACAUUUUCAAAAAAGACGAUGAAUACAUUCCUAUAUUGAAACUUAGUUACAUGCAUUUACCAAAUCACUUGAAGCCACGUUUCCUCUACCUUAGUGCAUACAAAGAAGAUGAGGAAAUUCCUGUUCGGAAGCUAUUACUACUAGGGAUAGCUAAAGGAUUCAUAGAGAAAAAGGAGCACAAGAGCUUAGAAGAUGUAGCUGAGGAGUAUCUAAUGGAACUUAUUAACAGGAGCCUACUGCAAGUUUCCAGAAGAAGAUUUGACAAUGGAGUGAAAGCUUGUAGUCUUCAUGAUCUAGUACUUGAUAUGUGCUGGAAAAUAGCUGAAGAAGAAAAUGACUUGUUAUUUUCUUUUAUUUAUUUACAUUUUAGGUCUUUCUCUACUACUGUAUUUUUCCGUAAUCAACCAUUAUAAGUAUUUCCAAGUUUGAAAUGAAAUUCGUUUGCUUUCAACUUUUUCGUCUAAUUUAUGGUUUUUGCAUAAUCUCCCACCUAAACUUAGGAAAAUAUUAAAAUCAGCACUACGUGUAAUGUGCUCGUUCUAGUAUUGUUUCAAAGGUAAAGUAAUUAUUACAUUACCUUAUUUCAGCAAUAUCCCAAAACAUAGGGCCCCUGUUUUCGUUCAAGUUUCAAAAUGAUAAUUUUUUUAUUUUUGACGAUUGUUUUGCACCUUUUUGAGAUACCAUGUGACAAUGUUCAACUCAAUCGAACUAGGCAAUACAAAGUGACUUUCCAGUCCAAGUAGUCGUAGAUUAGUAUAAUGCCAAGUAAUCUAUUUCUGAAACCUCGUUCAUUCUAUUGCUUUCCGAUCCAACGGAGAUUUUAAAAUGCUAGUUGGAAUGUGAGUUUUUAGCCAUUGCUUGACAUUUAUUUGCCUCAAAUUUUGACUGACUCCAUGUCUUAGUAACGGGAGACAACAUAAGAACUUUUUUGUUGAGUUCUUCAAAUUGAGUUGUCUUGCAUUUUUAAUAAUUCUUUAUUACCCACCAUUUGUUGCACAUCAGGAUUAAAAAAAAAGGGGGAAAGAAGAGAAGUCAUCUCUUCAAGUAUUCUGAAUUAUCUAACUCAAAUAGAACAUCUUUCAUGGCCAGCAAAAUUGACAGACGUCUUUCAAACAUAGAAGGACGAAGUUAUCAGCUUAAUUUGAAUACACAGGCUUUAAGCUGCCAAAUUCAUCUUUGCUCUUUGGGCAAUGUAGAACCAAAUUUAAGGUACAGAUCUCUCAAUUUAAAAGAAAUUGAUUAGAAAAACAAUAUGUAUAUUACAUUCUGCCGUAGUUUCAGGGGAAGUGUUGAAAAUCAAGAACCUUUUAACUUAUGAACAAGUUAUUAAUUGUUCUGAAUCAAAUAAGACUGCAAGCUAAGAGAGAAGAAAUAUAUUCUUCAACAAAGAAUAAGACUUGGACCCUUGUGAAUAGACCUGAGAAAACAAAGUUUUUUUCCUGCAAAUGAAAGAAAAGAUAUCAUAAAUGAUAAAUCAUUGCUGACAAACAGCACAAUGAAAGCAGGAAUGCAAUCAGCCUAGUAAACAAGAAAUUGCAGCCAGUUUGUGGGCUACUUGUUCGCUAAAUGGUUUAACAAUACAAGAAUAUAGUACCUAAACAGACAAAUUAGAUCAAAGAUAUAAAGCCACCAAAUUGUUCUAGCAUAGUAAGUCUCAUUUAGGUUCGAUUUACAAAAUACAAGAAUAUAGUACCUAAAAAAAUAAAGCAAAAUAUGAAGGUAGGAUAGACGUUGUUGAUACACGUCAAGAAGGAAACAUCAAAAUUUAUCCUCAUACAUUUGACUUAGUCAAUUUCGAGAAGAACGACUCCUUGGAUUUGUUUUUGACCGUGUUGAAGGAAAUAACGCGAAAUGUUAAGGACCUUAUUGCUGAUAGUAUAAUAAAGGGUCUUAAAGAUGUCUAUCCUGAUGCACAUCAUGGCAACUAAAUUUACCAUAUACAAAGCAACAUAAAUUGCCUCUCGACUUCUCCUUCAACAAGUUCAAUGGAUUCCUUUAUGAGGGUGAAAAAGUUUCAUGGAUUCCUCCUGAAUUUCUUUCUUUCCUUCAACUGAGAUUUCUUGCCGGAACUACAAAUUGAAUAUAAGCAUCUUUAGUUGGUAUAUUACCACUUUGCCUUUAAGAACAAAACAAAUUCAUUUGAUGUCUUAAAUGGAUUGUCAUCAUUUUCGACUAGAGUAAAUUUUCUUAAUAUGGAUGGUCAUCAUUUUCGACUAGAAUAAAUUUUCUUAAUAUGGAUGAUCAUCAUUUUCUUUACAAAUGCCAACUCGAUUAGGUAAGUGCCUAGAUUCAAUUAACUUGCCAUUAGAAUAAAACGAAUUAGUUAAUGUUCAGGAUUACAAUUUCAGCACACUGCAUUUGUGAAUGCGUUCACUUUCAUCAGUCACCAGGUAAAAAAUGCCUCCACUGCACUAGAUUCGUGUCUCUACCACUACUGUCGACCAGAAUUAAUGUGAAGUAUUUAUUGGGCAAUGGAGAAAAAAGUUUUAUGAAUUUCUUUCUUCCUUCAAUUGAGAAUUCAUGAGGAAACUAGAAAUGGACUACAAGUAGGGUUGGCAACGGUUCGAUUCGGUUCAGCCAAAAUCAUCGUCGAACCACCAAUUUUUUGGCUAUACUGUAACCGCACGAUAACCACGUAAGUCGGUUUGGCUCAGUUGGGGUGGUUAAUAACUGUGAAAAUAAAUUAUUUUUCAUGGGUCAAAAUUGAAAAAAACAAUUUAUGAAAAAAAGUCACACAUGAUGGUUAUCAAUUGAUAGUCGAGUAAAUUAUAUUGGAUCACUUCAAACAAUUUAUGCUACUAUAUUGUUUAGAUUAUUGGAUUUGGUUUACAUCCCAAGGGUUCAUUUGAAGUGCAAAGUCUCCCUCUUAAUGAGAGGAUUCUCAAUUUCUCUGGGUUUUUAGUUAGGACCAAGCUACUUGUACCUCGACAUUGACAUGCCAGGGUACACGCCCCCUCACAAUAGGGGAUCCCAUGCCUUUUCCAACGACAACCCCUUUUGCUGUGAGGGACGUGCACCCUGAUGUGUCAACACCUGAGUACAAAUGGAAAAAUCCUUUUUGUUAAGAGGAUGAGAGAAAAAUGUAACAUUGCAGUCAUAACUUUGUAUUGUUGAAGACAAUACUUUUAAUUGCGUUGUUGAUCACUUACCAUACCAAAAUUGUACAAAGGACCAAUAGAGGGUACAUCUGUAAGAAGAUAAGAAGAUGGCAAUUUAUGAUACCAAGAGUGAUAUUUAGGUUACUGAUGACAAAAUCAAGAAAGGCAAAGACUGUGUAUACUUAAUUUCAAGCUAAUCCAAAUGCCUAAAACUAAUCAAAUAAUCAAAUUUACCGUAAGUGAAUAAGUUUUUUGAAACUGAAAUUGUUGAUUGAGUGAGUUGAUAACCAUCAUGUGUAACUACAAAGGAAGAAAAAAGGCCCAUGUAGAGUUUGCAAAAUUAAAUAUUUUUUUAUACAUGUUUUGUAUUGGAUUACUAUUUAGAUGGAAAAAAAUAAAUUUAACAGCUAAUCGGUUCAAUUCGGGAUGACGGUGUAAAUACCAUAACCGCACUGCCCCAAACCGGGUCAUUAAAAUCAAAUACCAUAUCCGCCCCAUUGCACCAUUUUCUUUAAAAAUGCCAAAUCGAUUAGGUAAAUGUCUAUCUUCUACCAACUUGAUCCUAAACAAAAAUGAAUUAGUUGUCCACAGUUACAAUUUCAGCAUAUGCCGCAUUUGUGAAUAUAUACGUUCACUAUUCUCAUCAAUCACUAGUUAAAAAAUGCAUCCACUGAACUAGAUUUGUGGCUCCACCAAUACCGUCGCCGUAAUUAAUGUAAAGUGUCAUGGGCAAAGUGAAAAAAGUUUCAUGAAUUUCUUUCUUCCUAUCAAUUGAGAUUUCUUGUAGGAAUUGGAAAUCGAAUACAAGCAUCUUUGAUUGAUAUAUUCCUACUUGGCCUUUAAGAACAAAACAAAAGAAUUGGACUUGUAAUAAUACUAACCUACUAGACCACUUGUGCUUUGAUUCCAUUACUUAAUUAAAUUAUCCUAAUAUGGCCGGUCGUCAUUUUUUCGAAAAUGCCAACUUGAUUAGUUAAAGGUCUAUUUUCAACCAAUUUUCCCUUAAAAUAAAAUGAAUUGAGACACCAAUUGUAAUUAGAGAUGUGCUAGUUGUCCAUGAUUACAAUUUCUAUGAAUAUACGCAACCCAACAAUACUUGAUGGACCACUUUGACUUGAUUUCUCUCAUAGACGAAAUGAAAAUACAAAAGACAAAACAAAAUGUCUAACUUUAUUUUAGAAACAGGAAAAGAAAUCAAGGUCAUAUAUUAUGAGUAAUUUCUAUUAAACCUAAAUUGUUUAUAUGCAUCAUUAAAACAAAAUUUUACCCUUUAAUACUUGCCCACUAAUAAAUUAUAUCUAGUUAUAGAGCACUCAGGCCUCCAAGGCAUAAUUAUUAAACACAACCCGAAUCGGUCGCCGGUUAAUCAGGUUGAAAUUUUUUAUUUUUUAAUUAAGUUUUGUAUUCAGUCAAAAAAGAAAUCUAAUAAUUUGAUUUUUCCUUUGGCAACGAUGAACAAGUUAAGAAACUUAGUUUUUACCAAGCAAAAGCCACAUGGCGCCCCUGUUUUUUAACCUGGCUCUAAAGCAGUGUUCAUAAACCUUUGCUCUGGCUUUAUUGCUGCUUAAAGUUUCAACCUUUGCUUUGUGUGUAUUUUUUGAAUUCACUGUCAUUAAUCACUCACUCUCUCUCUCUUUCUCUCUCUGCUUAGCGUUUCACCCAUACCAAUACUUGAUGGAUUUCUCUUACAAAAAUCUGUCAUAUCUAAUCAAAAGCCCAAAUCUCCUUUUCCAUAUGCAAGAUUUGGAGCUUGAUGAAGGAAAAAUUGUCAGCUUUCAGUGGCUUGGACCACACUUUUUAACUUUCCUCAAAUAUGUAGCAAAAUGGCGGUUUCGGUUCCAGAGGAUUAUUGAGCUGUUGGGGAAUCUUGAUAAUUCAGCCUUAGAUUGCAUCAUAUAUGGAGAGAAUGAACAUUACAAAAACUUUUUAGAAAUCAUAUUCUCUUUCAUGCCACGGACUGUAGAGUUCUUCACAAGUCCAUACCUGCAGCAAUGGUUAGAAAGUGGUGGAAUUACCGCUCCCACCAAAAUCUAUUUCCUUCUUGAAACUAUACGAGAAUUGCUUGAUUGCGGAACAGAUUCCUGUCUUCUUGUGAGUAAUCAAGUCAAAAUUCUUUUUGAGGAGCUACAAUUUCUGCGCCUCGUUUCUUCAGAUAUGAUGAGAUGUGCAAUGGGAGAACGGGUCGAGUCUAUGGGAUUAAGAAUUUUUAAGAUGUCAGAAAAUCAGAUAUUCAGAGAAUUUGAAGCUGUCUUUAUAGACGCGGGACUUUUCUUGCAUUCGUUCUUCUUCACCACAGACCGUGUUACCAUGACCAAAAUGGAUUUGGCAAUUUCUAUUCUGCUAGAAAGAAUUGAGAUUGUGAAAGUGAAGUUCAAAGAUUAUUGCAUUGCAGUCUCAAUGAAUAUGAAUUGUGGAAUUGGAAGCCUUCAAAUUGCAGAAAGUCCCAGUGAAGUAUCAUCAUCCCAUGACAAAAGCAUUCCCGUGGUAGAUGAGAUGAUUGUGGGCUUAGAGGACGUGGCAACAGAAAUUAUAAGCAAGCUUCUUGGAGGACCGAGCUACCGCCAGAUUAUUUCCAUAGUUGGAAUGGGUGGACUUGGCAAGACCACUUUAGCAAAGAAAAUAUACAAUGGUUCCAACGUUCGGUACUAUUUUGAUAAGCUUUCUUGGUGUGUUGUUUCUCAAACUUACCAAAAGAGAAAGCUGUUGGUUGACAUUUUGAGCUCCAUGAGUAACCUUAACAACCACAAAAUUUCAGAAAUGGAAGAUGAAGAGUUGGCUGAACACCUUUACAAAACUUUAAUCGGUAGAAGAUAUCUCAUUGUUAUAGAUGAUCUAUGGGAUAUCUGUGCCUGGGAUGACUUGAGAAGGUACUUUCCAGAUGACAAAAUUAACAGAAGCAGAGUAUUGUUCACUAGUCGGUUGAAAAAUCUGGCAUCUGAAAUUUCACAUGUUAUCAUUGAACCUCUUCCCCUCUCACCAGGUGAAAGUUGGAAGUUAUUGGAGAAGAAUGUGUUCAAGAAAAAACGUUGCCCUCAAGAACUGCAAGAUAUUGGAAAGCAAAUUGCAACAUAUUGUCAUGGACUCCCGCUUUCAAUCAUCACGAUAGCUGGAGUUCUUUCGAAUAUGGAGAAGAAAGAAAGCUUAUGGCAAAAAGUUGCAGAAGAUUUAAGUUCUUACAUUUCCCAAAAAGCCUAUGAAUACAUUCCCACAUUGAAACUAAGUUACAUGCAUUUGCCAAAUCACUUGAAGCCAUGUUUCCUCUAUCUUAGUGCAUACAGGGAAGACGAGGUAAUUCGAGUUCGGAAGCUAUUAUUACUAUGGAUAGCUGAAGGAUUCAUACAGAAAAAGCAGCACAAGAGCUUAGAAGAUGUAGCUGAGGAGUAUCUAAUGGAACUUAUUAACAGAAGCCUGCUGCAAGUUUCCAGAAUAAGAUCUGAGAAUGUAGUAAAAGCAUGUAGUCUUCACGAUCUAGUACUUGAUAUGUGCUGGAAAAUAGCUGAAGAAGAAAAUUUUCUAUUUCAACAGUAAGUUAAACCUCUCUCUUUCUAAUACAUUCUUGUUUUACUUUUCUUUUCCAAUUUAGCCUACUAAUUUAUGGUAUUAAUGUCAAUGUUGUUGCUGUUGCUGUUGCUGUUGCUGUUGCUGACACUCAUGCUGGCUGAUGUGCUUGUAAACUGAUGAUGAUCCUCCAUGUUCUUAUUAUACUAACUCUUUAGUGAAUUCUUGCUAUCUAAGCAUCGCCAUCGAUUGUUUAGGGAUUGGUCUCAUCGUCUCUCUGAGGACUUAACCAUUUUUUACAAUUUGGAAAAUAUUAAAAUCUUUGAUGGAGAGCAUGGAUACUUAUUCAGGAUUAGUGUUAUGGGUGACUUGAGGUACUUGAUAAUUGACUCAUUAGAGUUAUCAAUAAGCAGUCUCCAGAACCUAGAAUUCCUUCGUGUUGAAUUCUUGGAUUCUAUACCAAGAUACCUUCUCUAUAUGCCUAACUUGAGACAUUUACAUGUUGGAAAGUCAUAUUUCCCUGGAAUAUUCCAGAAGAACUGUGAUAGCUCAGAUAUCUCCCGAAUAAGUAGCCUGCAAACCCUUCGUUAUGUUUAUAUUGACGAUUCAGAAAGCGAAGAAAUCUUGAGAAGUUUACCAAAUCUUCAUAAGCUUAAAUGUACAUCUCCAAACAAUUUUUGUCCAGAUCUCAGCUUCCUUACUCAGCUUGAAUCGCUUACAAUGGCUUUUGAAAGUAGAUUUGAAGGUGAUUACUCAGUGAUUAACUUCCCCACGAACAUAAAAAAGCUAACUCUUUCUGAAUUGGCUUUGCCUUGGAAAAAGAUGUCAUUAAUUGGGACAUUGCCCAACCUGAGGAUUCUGAAAUUAGAAAAUGAAGCCUUUGAAGGAGAAAUCUGGAACACAAAGGGGAUGAGUUCCAAAAACUCAAGUUCCUUCAACUAAAAUGGUUAGAUCUUGAACAAUGGAAUUCCUUUCAUGAUCACUUCCCCGUGCUUGAAGUACUGUUGUUGUUUGGAUGCGAAAAAUUGAAGAUGAUUCCUUCUGAAUUUAGCAAUAUUCCAACACUACAGAAGAUUGGGGUAUAUUUCUGUGGCAAAAAUGUUGAGAGUUCAGCUUCGGAAAUUCGAGAAGGACAACUGGAGAAUGGUAACCAAGACUUUGAGGUAACCUUUAAUUGGUCAUUACAGUAGACUUUUUUCAUUUUUUUUUAUGAAAUAUCAUAGCAGGAGAUUCCUUGACAUCCCACACAAAAAAGAUGUAACUUCCAGCUCCAUAUCAAUUGCUAGUUGUGAAUUCAUAGUAUUUUCUUUGUAAUGAGCAUGAAGUUAUGUCUUCUCUUUUGCAUGUUAAAUAAUUGUUUGGUUGCAAAUUAUAUUUUAUUAUGGUUAAUUUGACAAGUGACUGGAUCUUGAUCUCAGCCUGGAAUAUUUUGCCUUGUUAUUUUCAUUUUAGGUCUUUCUCUACUACUGUAUUUUUCCGUAAUCAACCAUUAUAAGUAUUCCCAAGUGUGAAAUGAAAUUCAUUUGCUUUCAACAUUUUCAUCUAAUUUAUGUUUUUCGCAUAAUCCCCCAUCUAAAAUUAGAAAAAUAUUAAAAUCAGCACUACGUGUAAUGUGCUUGUUCUAGCAUUGUUUCAAAGCUGAAGUAAUUAUUAAGUUACCGUGUUUCAGAAUGAUAAUUCUUUAUUUUGAUGAUUGUUUUGCACCUUUGUGAGAUGCCACAUGACAAUGUGCGACUCAAUCGAACUAGGCAAUACAAAGUGGCUUUCCGAUCCAAGUAGUUGUAGAUUAGUAUAACUUCAAGUAAUCUACUUCUGAAACGUCGUUCAAUCCAUUGCUUUCCGGUCCAGCAGAGUGAUUUUAAAAUGCUAGUUGGAACGUGAGUUUUUAGCCAUUGCUUGACAUUUAUUUGCCGCAAAUUUUGAUUGACUCCAUGUCUUAGUAACAGGAGAGAACAUAAGAACUAUUUUAUCAAGUUCUUCAAAUUGAGUUGUCUUGCAUUUUUAAUAAUUGUUUAUUACCCCCCAUUUUAUUUCACGUCAGGAUAAAAAGAAAAAGGAAAGAUGAGAAGUUGACUCAAAUAUUCAAGACUACAAGCUAUGAGAGAAGAAAUAUAUUCUUUAACAAAGAAGAAGACUUGGACACUCGUGAAUGGACCAGAGAACAAAGUUUUUCCUUUCAUUUAUUUUUUUUUUAAUUUUAAUUUUAAUUUUUUUGGGUGGUGCAAAUAAAAGAAAACAUAUUAUAAAUCAGUGCUAGCAAACGGUGCAACGAAAGCAGGAAUGCAAUAAGCCUAAUGAUCAAUGGCUAUGAAAGAAAUUGCGGCCAGUUUGUGGGCUACCUGUUUGCUAAAUAGUUUAACAAUACAACAAUAUAAUACCAAAAUAGACCAAUUAGACCAGUCGAAGACAUGGAGCCACCAAAUUGUUCAAGCAUAAUAAGUCUCAUUUAAAUUUGAUUUACGAAAUACAAGAAUAUAGUACCUAAAAGAAUAUAGCAAACGUAUGACGUUUGUUGAUACACGACAAUUUCAAGCAGAACAACUCAUUGGAAUGGUUUUUCACAAUGUUGAAGGUAGUAACGUGAAAUGUUGAGGACCUUGUUGCUAAUAGUAUAAUAAGGGUGGAUUAUCUUGAUGCAUAUAGUGGCAAAUAAAUUUACCAUAUACAAAGCAACAUAAAUUGUUUCUCGACUUCUCCUUCAACAAAGUUCAAUGGAUUCCUAUCUAAUUUCUUUGUUUCCUUCAACUGAGAUUUCUUGUCGGAACUACAAAUGGAAUAUAAACAUCUUUAGUUGGUAUAUUACCUCUUUGCCUUUAAGAACAAAACAAAUUCAUUUGACAUAUAAUAAUUGUAACCUAUUAUACCACUUGUCUUUUGAUGUCAUUAAUAUUAUUUUAAUAAUUGUCUUAAAUGGGUGGUCAUCAUUUUCGACUAGAAUAAAUUUUCUUAAUAUGGAUGAUCAUCAUUUUCUUUACAAAUACCAACACGAUUAGGUAAAUGUCUAGCUUCAAAAAACUUGCCAUUAAAAUAAAAUAUAUUAGUUAAUGUUCAGGAUUACAAUUUCACACACUGCAUUUGUGAAUACAUUCACUCUCAUCGGAGAAAAAAGUUUCACAAAUUUCUUUCUUCCCUUCAAUUGAGAUUUCUUGUGGGAACUAGAAAUCGAAUACAAUCAUCUUUGAUUGAUAUAUUCCCUACUUGGCCUUUAAGAACAAAACAAAAGAAUUGGACGUGUAAUAAUACUAACCUGCUACACCACUUGUGUUUUGAUUCCAUUACUUAAUUAAAUUAUCUUAAUAUGGACGGUCAUCAUUUUCUUCGAAAAUGCCAACUUGAUUAGUUAAAGGUCUAUUUUCAACCAACUUUCCCAUAAAAUGAAAUGAAUUUAGAAGCCAAAUUUAAUUAGAGAUGUAUUAGUUGUCCAUGAUUACAAUUUCUGUGAAUAUGCCCAACCCAACAAUACUUAAUGGAACACACUGACUUGAUUUCUCUCUUAGACGAAAUGAAAAUACAAAAGUAUGAUCUACAAAACAAAAUGUCUUACCUCAUUUUAAAAACAUGAAAAGAAAUCUAGGUCAUAUAUUAUGAGUAAUGUCUAUUGCACCUAAACUGUUUAUAUGUAUCAUUAAAAACAACAUUUUACCCUUUAGUACUUGCCCACUGAUAAAUUAUAUCUAGUUAUAGAGCACAAAGGCCUCAAAUGCAUAAUUAUUAAACGCAGCUCUAAUAGGUUGAUUAACUGGGGAAUCGAUUAAUCGGCCAGUUAAUCAGGAUGGUUCUCUAAAUUGGCCAAACAAAAAAUUGAUCCGUGAACAACCAUAUCCACCAGGUAAAACUGGGUGGAAUGACAAUUUGAGAUUAGGGAUUGAAUUUAUUCAUUAAUAAUUUUAAAUUUGAAUUGUGUAUCUCUUGCUCAAAACUGCUGACAUAUCUAAAAAAUAUAUUUUACCAACAAUCUGUUUCGUAUCUAACUACAUGAUCUUCUAUGUUUUAGUUGUUCUUCAUCGUAAUUCCACCUCUUUUUCUUUAGGUCUUUCACGUCCGUUUUCAUUACAAGUUUAUUGUUUCAUGUAUAUUUGAAAAUGGUUAAGAAAAUAUAAGAAUUGAUCUGCUGGUCUACGGUUGAACCAUUGACCUGACAACCCAUUUCCCAUGUCCAUGGAGAAAACUAUAAAUAGGGGUUGGGGGCUUUUCAUUUUAAGGGAUCUGAAAUUAUCUAGGAGGCAAGCUUCUCAGCUGGAAAAUUCAUUUACAUAGCAAUUUCGUAAUUAGUUUUAUACAUAAAUUAUUUUCUUUUUUUAAUUUAGAUUUCUAAAUCCAGUUCAAUUUAAAGUUAGGGGUGGCAGUGGACUCGAGCCGUUUGCAUUAUAGGCUGACUCAUCUGGGCUCGCUUAUGGGCAAUUGAACUGGUUGAACAUUGGUCUUGUGCCGAGCGUGGCUCCAUUUUUGGAAACGAGUCAGCUCAUGAAUGCCGGGGAGCCCGAUUCUUUGGGCUAACUCAUGGGUAGGCCUAACAUGAUUUACAAGUCCCUAAAUUUUUCAGCGACCCAUUUAUCCGGAUGCUGCUUUUGCAUACUCUGAUUGAAUUACUCAUAAAAUGUUCUAUUGGCCUAUUAAAAUUGAAAUUCUGAUUUUUAAAUUAAUUUAAAAAAUUUCUACUUCUUUUUAAACUAUUUUUCUUAUACAAAUCAUUUCGCCAAUCAUCUCUGUAACAUUCCAGAAUUUUCUAUGACGUUAUUUAAACUUUGGAAGUAGAAUUGUUGUCCUUUCCGUCCAUAGUCUCUUGUUUGCUUGUUUUGCUCGGUUUGUCCAAGAAUGUGAUAGCUCAGUUCUGCAUUCAGUCAAAAAAAAUCAAGAAUGUGAUUUCUUCUUUGGAAGCAAUGAACAACUGAAGAAACUUAUGAAAGUUUUAUUUACAAUUAAUGGACACAGCCAUAUUGUUUUUAUAAAUAUUUUGUUGCAAAAGCCAACCUGUCUAAGCAAAGACUAGUUAUUAAAAAAGUGAACUUUAGAAGCUGGACUGGUGGAUCAAGGUCUUACUCAAAAUCAAAAUAUAAAAUAACUAAAUUUCACUACAUAAUUAAAUAAGUGUUUUACAAUUGGAUAUGGUAUAUGUACAAAUAAUCUCCUACAUAUGCUAUGUAGUAUAAAACAUGCCCACCACUGCCACGUCAGUGGUCAAGCCUUGAAUUGUGAAAAAUCGUAAAUCCACAUCAGCGGUGGACAAGAUAGCUCCUACACACCAUGGGUAGGAGAUCAUUUCCAAUAGCAUAUAUAGAACUGAGGUGUUCAAAUUUAAUUUUUUGGUCACUCAAUAUUUUAUUCAGAGUUUGAAUGUCCAAACAUUUGCUCAUAGUGUUAUCAAUUUGGUUCAUCGACUCCGAUGGCCCGUGUUCUCGAGUCAGCCUGGCUCACGGCUUGGAGAAACUGAGCCAAGGCUCAAGCCAAGCCUCAUUUAGAGCUCGAGCUCGCCCGUGUGCCUAGUCAACCAAACGGGCCAGCCAUGUCAUGGACCAAAAAUGGGCUGCAAUGAGCCAGCCCAAACAUGGGCCAUUUUGGCUAGUGUUAUUUGAAAAAGAAAAAUUUAAAAAGGCAACCACAACUGUCCAAAAAAUAGGCAGCAGUAGCUACCUCUUAAAAAAAAAAAAGGCAACCUUAGCUAUCUCUAAUUUUUUUUAACGGUUGUGCUAAUGGUACAUAAGGGUGUACAUAAGCAUGUAAACCCCUCUCACAUGGGGUAUAGGAUCCAUCCGAAUAAAAAACACUUAUUCAGGUGGACCUCACACCCCAUUUCGGGGGGAUGUACACCCUUAGGGAUACCCUAUUAUGUAUCGCUAGAUUAAUUCUUUUUUCAUACAAGAAGUAGCCUAUUGCAAUAGGCAACUAAUAGCGGUAGCCAUGUGCAGCUACACAUAGUUUCGCUCAAACAUCUACUAGCUACUUAUUUAAUAUAAAAAUAGCAGCUAGCCGCCUUCUGCAGAUCAAAUUCAAAUUUUGGUAGAAACGGACUCAUUUUUUGUUAUGAAAACAAGGUAAAAUUUAUGGUUUCAUAUUAACUUACUUCAGCAAUAUUGCAGUAUUCUAUUUUUCAAGUUCAUUCUCCAACUGUUGUGCUAUAUUAUUUGGUUAUUUUUACUUUAAUAUUCAGUAUAUUUUACCAUAAUAGCCCCAAAUGAAUUAUACCAGUGAUGAGAUUAACCAAUUUCGAGUAAUAUAUCCGAUUAUGAUGCUUCUCAAAAAUGUUCCAAUUGAUUUGGAGGGUAUCGAAGAGGAAGAAGUACUCAAAAUUAAAAGGUAAAAAAUAAUAAUCGGAUUGUUGACAACAUAUGACACAUAAAAAAGAUGGUUUUCAAAAUGGAAUAGAUAUUUCAAAAGUAUGUUGCAAUUACUAUAGCAUAAAGCUUAGUUAAAAGUUUGGUUCAAGCACAACUCAUUUUAAUAGGCAUGUAUUAAGGAGUUGCAAAGUGAAACUAGUAGAUCUAGACCCGAAACAAAUCGAACUAAUGUUUAGUGGCUUUAGUUCUACUCUUUCUACCUUCGUAUAUUCAUAGAAAAGAUUUCGUGAAGGAAUGGUUGCAUAUAUAACUCACUACGAUGAUAGGCUCCGUAUACAGAAUUAUCUUCAACCAAGGCAUACUUCUUAUUAUAGAAAUACUCUUUGUGCAGAUACUAUAAAAUUUAUAACAAAAGAAAACAAGUUGAUAUUGAAGGUCUAAAAACUUUUGAUAAUGUUAUAUCGUUUACCUCUAAUUUAUUGACCAGUGGCAAUAAAAAAGAUUAUAUUGCUGCUAUGGCUCAUUACAUUGAUCAUUUUGGAUUCUACAUAAAAGAAUUAUUGCAUUUAGAUUAUUAGAAUAUAUUCAUAGUGCCACUAGCAUAUACAUUAUUUUAAAAGAUAAUAUACAAGAACUUAGUAUGCAAGAAAUUAUUCGGAAUUUUACUUUUGAUAAUGCUAGUGUGAGCAAAAUUGUUAUUGAAAAGUUUAUUAAUGAUUUUUCACCUGCAUUUGGAAGUUCAUUUUUCAUCAAUGUUGUGCAUGUCACAUUUUUUUGUGCAGUGUAUAGCUUAAAAGAAAAAUCAUUUGCCGUUGAUGUAAAGCAUAGAUGGAACUUUACAUAUCUUAUGUUACAGUCGUGUGAAAAUUAUGAUAAAGUUAUUUCACUAUAUUAUAAUGGUAGGCAUGCUUAUGGACCUGAACAUAAUUUGCAAGAUUGAAAAUUGUCUAUUGCAUUACGUGUGUAGAAAUAAAAAAAAUCAAUGUCACAGAGGCAUGUAGCAGUGUUUAUAACACUACAUCUUCACUUGUUUUACAAUACAGCUUCUAUAUUUCACAAAUAUUUCAUAAAUAUAUGAGUUUGCCAAUUUUUGUUGAUGUAAUGUUCUCUAUGGAGUUAAAAUAUCGUAAAUAUUGGGAAUGGUUGCUCUUUUUAUUUCUUUUGGCUUCGAUGAUGGACCCUCAACUUAAUUUAAUUGGCAGAAAAGCUAUUAUGAAGGGAAUUUCAUAUUUUAUGAAUAUAAAGUUAUCACAAUCAUAUAUAUAGAAUCUAUGCUAUAUGAAAUGUAUAAUUAUUAUACUAAAAAAGGAGGUCGGGACAAUUCUACUUCCCGAAGUACCUUUCAAGAAAUACUUCAACGAAUUCAGGCGAUUUAUGGAAUUAUUUUACGUGUUCCAUUAUUUUAGUUAUGUGUUCCAUUAUUUUAGUUAUAGUUCAUCCAUAUACAGAGAGAAAGACAUCGAUGGUACAAAUCUUGAAAUUCUAUCUCUAAGUUAGCUAAGUAUAUGUGCGUAGACGUUCAUAAUGUCUUACAACAAAAAGAAUUACAGGAAUUUGGUCUUGCAUCAAGGAGGUGUAACAAAAUGCAAUAUUCAAUUGUAUAAAAAAAUUACACAUUAUCUACUAACACCUCUGAUAUCUAUGAUACCAUCGGAGGUUGCAUUUGGUUUAGAUGGUCGAGUUUUAUCAGAUAAACAAUCAAGACUAAAAGAAAAUAUAUUGGAGGCUUUAAUGUGCUUGAAGGAAUGAGAAUGUCGGAGUUACAUCUUCAAGAACAAGUUAACAGUAUAAUGACUGAAAAUUUGUAGUAGAUCAAAGGAUAGGAUAACAUAAGUUUUCAAAUUGAUUAUUUAAAAAAAAUUGCGUAAUUUUAAAUUUGUUUGCUUCAGAAAAAUUUUACAUGAGAUAUUUUAUUCAUGUACCAUUUCAACUCCGUCUACUUUAAUUGUAGCCGAUCCCAAGCCUAGAAAAAGAAUAGGGUUGUAACUUUUAUUUAAUCUAAAAUUUGUAUAAAUUACAAAUAUUUUAAAUUGUUCAAAAAAAAUUAGAAGCCAUGAAGUAAAAAUAAAAUGCUAAAAGCUCAAACAUAACUUCAAUUUUUUAGUCAAGCUUCGAGUUUUCACUGGCGAGCUGGCUUGACUCGACUCGACUCGUUGAUAUCCCUAUUUUUUCAAGCAAAUUUAUUCAACAUUCAUGUCAAGAGCGCGUUGAAUAUAUACAAAUGUGAGUACAUAUUGUUAGUUAUCUAUUAUUUAAGUUUCAAAUGAAAUUACAUAUUUGAAUUUGUGGGUACAUAAAAUGUGUGAAUAAAAACUGCAUUUGACUAGUUUAUAUUUUAAUUUAAACUUUGCCAAACGUCAACUCGUGAUGGGAGCAAGAAAUAGACAACCAACUAGCAAAGGACAAAGUUCUUCAAGGCGGGCAGUUUAAAGGUCACGGGUUUGAUUCAUGAGGCUCUUGGAAGGCAAGGCUUUCUUCUGGAAGGUAGGAUAUUUCCUGGAAGGUAGGAGUUCCUUGGAAGGCAAGGUACAUAUAUGGGUUUGACUCGCUCGGCACUUUUGCAGUUCAGUUGGGGGGACUCUUGGAUCCUGACCAGUUUGGGGCACAACCCGCGGUUUACCUAGUCUGCGUGAAGAGGGGCUGGAUCAUAGACCCCAGGAUUAGUCGUUGUAAGGUGGACACCUGGGUGUCAAAAAAAGAAAAGAAAUAGACAACAAACAUCUUUCUUUGGAAGUCACCACCCAAGUUCCUACGUACCAACCUUUUGUACCAUAUUGGACAGAUACACCUACCAUUAUUUUAAAGUCAUUAUUGAAGGUGACAAAUCUUUUCUUUCUUUCCACACUUCUUUUCUAUUUUUAUUCAAAAAGCAAAAGCAACAACUCUACUAUCUUAGAAGAGAUAAAAAUAUAGGAAAUAGAUUACACGAGAGGAAAAAAAUGUCAAAGUUACACUAUAUUCAGUACAACGAGGUCGCUUUUGAAUCACACAAAUGAUGAUGAUUGAAUGGCAUGAAAGGUAUAGCCUAUUCUCAUUCAACAUCAAUUACUUUUCAAAUGAGAUUAUUGAAAUCUGAUAGUAACAAAUGAUAUUAAGUUUAAGUCAUAAGAACAUUCCAACACUCAGCAAUGAUACUAAGCCUCUGUUUGGUAGAGAUUAAAAUCGAGAGUCAAUAUUAACAAUUAAUUUUAACUGUAGAGUUUUUGGAAACCAUAACUUUUCAACCAUACAUUUAAUUGACUUUUAUCAAAAUCGACUAAAAAACGAGAAAAUAAAUUAUUGGUCACUAAUCUCUAGUUUGUGGUAAGUGCUUACUAACCGAACUUUAAAAAGUAAUUCAAUGCUCAUUCGAGUGUCAUAAACGUACUCAUCUAUCACUAAGAUGGAAUCCAUUUGAAAACUUUGAUGGAACUGUCCACGUGACAGAUGAAAAAUUGACAUGGCAAGAAAUCAGAAGAAGAGUGGGAAAGCCUUUUUCUAUGGUAUGGGGAAGAAAGCAGAAAUCGCCAUUCAAACAAAGGACGGUAUUUAACUGUUAAAAAAAUCGCCUUCCAAACGUCCCUAACACGAUCUAAACAAUUAGCAACACUUUUUUCAGCAUCUAAGAAAAAGGUCUUCAAAUUUUAAUUCUUUCAACCGCAAAAAAAAAGUGUCGCCAAUUGUUUAAGUCGGGUUACGAGUUGUUUAAAAGGAUAAGUUGUUAUUUUAACUAUUACAUAUUGCCAUGUCUGAUUCCAUCGCCACGUGGAUAAUUCAGUCAAAGCCUUAAAACGAAUUCCAUCUCAAUGAUGGAUGAGAUAAGUUUAUGGUACUUGAGUGAGUAGGCCUGGGCGUAGUUUGGUUUAGGUCGUGACUCCAACUCAAACCACAACCAAAUUAGUCAUUUUGAAUGCAUUUUGGCAAUUUGGAAAAAUCUUUCUUAAUUGGGGCAAUUUUGAAUGCAUUUUAGUAAUUUGGCCAUAACUUUGGCUACAGUUGUCAGAAUCGCAAUUAUGACCCCAAUUCAGAAGGCUUUUUUAGCAGGCACGACAUGGUCAUCCAACUAUGCUCAGUGGGCAUCAAUUUCAGUGCCAAAAUCCAUUGUUGUCCCUCCUGAAUUUCCAUUUUUAGUUAUUUUUUUCCAUUUAUGGUAAUAUUUCGAUUGCCGUUUUCGAGGUGAUUAUAAAUCCAAUUUGAACAAGAUCUUUGGCAACAUACUUCUUUUAUUACGUAUUUUAUUUUGGUAUGAUUAAUUUAGAAUUUUCUCCAUUAUAUAACCCAACUUGUGGGUUAUUUUUGGCCAUUCGAUAGUUUUAAUAAAAUUGAAUUAAAUUUCAAAGAAUUAUCUAUGUCUUUGGUCGUUUUUCUUCGUACUCCUUCCUGUAAAAUAUCUAUUGCAGCUAGCAUGUAGGAUAAUCGCUAUCCUGCUCAGUGUCAGUUGGUAUUAGAGUAUUCAGCAUCUUCUUGGGUGAGUUUCCAUCCGUUUCAAUGGUUGGUGAACGUGGUCGUGGUCGUCGCAGGCAGGUUCCUAUUGAGGAAGUCCCAUACCGUGAUUUUAAUAUUCGGUAUGUGAUGAUUGAGGAUUUACAAAGGCAAGUUGUAGACUUAACCUAACGUCUAGCAGAAUAUGAAUUCGAUAAUCAUGAAGUGGUGGGUUACGAUUUCGAUACUGAUUUUGAAAACUCGUAUCAUAGUUGUGCUCAGGUUUGGAAGCACACAAAAAGAUUGCUAUGGAGACCUCGAUUUCAGAGUCAAUCUGCCAGAGUUUUCUAGUACGUUAUAGGCUAAAGGAUUUGUUGAUUGGCUGAAUGAAGUGGAACAUAUUUUUUAAUAUAAGAAGGUCUCAGAUUGUGUCAAUUUGAAAUCGGCUGCCAUCAAACUCAAGGGAGGAGCAUCUGUAUGGUGGGAACAGUUGAGGCGUCAUGAGAAUGACAGGGCAGGCACAAGAUCACUGAGGAAGAAGAAGAAGAAGGUGAUGAAAGGGCACUUCCUUCCUUCGGCUAUACUCAAACCUUAUUUCAGCGCCUCCAUUCACUGAGGCAAGGUACAAGAUCAGUUGAUGAUUAUGAGGAGUUCUAUCAAUUAGUAGCCCAAAAUGAUUUAUCUGAGACAGAAGAGUGAAUGAUGGCACGGUAUUUGGGGAAUUAAGGCAAUCCCUAUAGGAUGUCCCUAGCCUUCACUCGUUGUGGAUUGUUUUUGAAGCAUGCCAGGGUGCACUUGCUAUGGAAAAGCAGCAGAACAGGAUGCUAGUGAUCAGGGACGAAAAUAGCCAGCCAGUUCGCCCUCAAAAAUCCUGUCUUGCCCAUCAGCCACCAUGGUACAAUUCUAACUCAUGUUUUAAAUGUUUCAAAAGUGGUAAACAAGGACAUAGGACGACUGAUUGUAGAAAGCCGACUGAUCAGAAGAGCAGAAAUCUCCUAAUUGGGGAGGACAUGGUAGGAGAAUUCGAUAAAGUUGGAGAACCUGUAUAUUAUGAUGCUUAAGAUGGAGACAUGUUGUAUGGAGAUGGCCAAGAGACUCUAGUUGUUCGCAAGAGUUUGUUGAGUCUCAAGGACGAUUUAGGAGAUGACUGGUUGAGGACAAAUUUUUCCACAUGACCUGUAAGUUGCAGAUAAAGUCUGCAAGAUGAUCAUCGAUAGUGGCAGUUGUGAAAAUGUAGUAUCCAAAAAGGCUAUCUAGAAGAUGCAAUUAAAGACAGAUCGUCAUCCCAAACCAUAUAAAUUAUAGUAGACAGGCGAUGUCUAGUGUCUUUUUCGAUCGGUAAAAAAUAUUUUGAUAAUACUUGGUGUGAUGUCGUAUCUAUGGAUGCUUAUCAUGUUUUGUUGGGCCAAUCUUGGUAGUCUGAUCACAGUGUCAUUCAUGAUGAGCAGAAAAAUAGAUAUUCCUUUAGCAUCAAAGGAAAGAAGAUUGUGUUGGUGCAUCGCCGGGAAAAAAACUAUCCCUGUCCUAGUAGUUAAUAAUACCAACUUACUUUCUAUGUCUAGGUUUUUUGUUGAGAUUGGGCAUGAAGAUGUAGUCUAUGCUCUACUACCUCGUGAGAAUAGUGCAAUAAACGAGGAUCCAGAUUUACCAACAGAAGUACAGCAGUUGCUAACAGAGUUUUCUAACCUGAUGCCAAAGGAUCUUCCUCCAGGGUUACCACCUAUGAGGGAUAUUCAACAUUAGGUCGACCUUAUUUCGGGGUCAGCUUGCUUAACUGACUAGCAAACCACUUCAGUCCCGAGGAAGGGAAGAGUUACAGCGACAGGUGGUAAAAUUAUUGGAGAGGUGCUACAUCCAUGAGAGUACAAGUCCAUGUGCAGUUCUUGCUCUACUAGUGUCGAAGAAGGAUGGGUCUUGGCUCAUGUGUGUUGAUAGCAAAGCAAUCAAUAGGAUUAUAGUGAAGUAUAGGUUCCUAAUUCCCCGUCUGGAUGAUAUGUUAGAUCAGUUGUUUGGUUCUAAAGUCUUCUAAAAAAUUGACCUUAAAAGUGGAUACCACCAAAUUAGAAUAAGGCCUGGAGAUGAAUGGAAGACAGUAUUUAAGAUGCAUCAUGGAUUGUAUGAGUGGAUGGUCAAGCCCUUUGGACUAUCCAAUGUGCCAAGCAUCGUUAUGAGAUUUAUGCAUCAGGUUUUAGGGCCUUUCAUGGGGAGUUUUGUGGUAGUCUAUUUUGAUGACAUCCUCAUUUAUAGUCUGACAUGAGCGUCAUAUUUUGAUAAAUUCUGUGCUGUGUUUGAUAUGCUGAGGACGGAUCACCUAUUCAUCAAUCAGAAUAAGUGGUCUUUUUUUACAGCUUCUAUAACUUUUUUUGGUUUUGUUGUGUCUACUAAUGGUGUUCAUGCAGAUCAAUCAAAUAUAGAGGAGAUCUAGAAUUGGCCCAAGCUAAAGACCCUAUAGAUGUCAGAAGUUUCCAUGCAUUGACGUCCGUCUACCGUCGGUUCAUUAGGAAUGUCAGUACUCUGAUUGUUCCUAUCACAGAGUGCUUUAAGGGAUGUGAUUUUCAGUGGACUGGGGAGGCAGAAGCCAGCUUUCAAUUGGUCGAGCAAAAAAUGACAGAGGCUCCAGUUUUGGCACUUCCUGAAAAAGUGUUUGAAGUAAAUUGUGAUGCAUCUGGGGUUAGCAUUAGUGGUGUUCUAAGUCAAGAGUGGCUCCCAAUAGCCUUUUUCAAUGAGAAGUUAUCAGGAUCAAAGAAGAAUUAUUCCACAUAUGAUAUGGAGUUUUAUGCCGUUGUUCAGUCCCUGAACCAUUGGCCCCAUUACCUGGUACAGAGGUAGUUCAUUUUUGUCACUAAUCAUGAGGCCCUGAAGUACAUCAAUGGUCAACACAAGCUGAGUAAACGGCAUGCAAAGUGGGUGGCGUACUUGCAGGAGUUCACAUUUACACUUAGGCACCAAGCUAGUAGCCUGAACUGUGUCGUAGAUGUAUUGAGCUAUUGUACACUAUUCCUUACCACCAUAAGCACCAAGGUUGUAGGAUUUGAAGCAUUUCCUAAUAUGUAUACUGCAGAUCCUUCCUUCAACAAGAUAAUUUAGGAGGUAACUAAUAAUCAACGACAUAAUUUUACCUGGUACAGAGGUAGUUCAUUUUUGUCACUAAUCAUGAGGCCCUGAAGUACAUCAAUGGUCAACACAAGCUGAGUAAACGGCAUGCAAAGUGGGUGGCGUACUUGCAGGAGUUCACAUUUACACUUAGGCACCAAGCUAGUAGCCUGAACCGUGUCGUAGAUGUAUUGAGCUAUUGUAAACUAUUCCUUACCACCAUAAGCACCAAGGUUGUAGGAUUUGAAGCAUUUCCUAAUAUGUAUACUGCAGAUCCUUCCUUCAACAAGAUAAUUUAGGAGGUAACUAAUAAUCAACGACAUAAUUUUAUUUUGCAUAAUGGUUAUCUGUUUCGUAGAUUACAGUUGUGCAUUCCAGAUUGUUCACUAAGGCAGCAUAUUAUUAGUGAACUUCAUAAUGAGUGACACUUUGGGCUUGAUAAGAUAUUGGCAUUUGUUUCUUCUGACUAUUAUUGCCCCAAAUUGAGCAAUGAUGUGGCGCAUUAUGUAGGGCAAUGUUGUGUGUGUCAGUGGUCUAAAAGAGUUCUCACUAAUGUGGGACUUUACACACCUUUACCUAUACCUGAAGUUCCUUGGAUUGAUGUCAGCAUAGAUUUUGUAUUGGGCUUACCCCGUACUCAACGGGCGAUGGAUUCUAUUUUUGUUGUGGUUGGCAAGUGUUCCUAGAUGGCUCAUUUUGUAGCUUGCUGGAAAGCAAUGGAUGCUACCCAUAUUGCCCAUCUUUAUUUCAGGGAGAUUGUGCGUUUACAUGGUGUUCUCCCGUCCAUUACUUCUGAUCGUGACACCAAGUUCAUCAGUCAUUUUUGGAAAAGCUUAUGGGAGAAAUUGGGAACGCUAUUGAAUUUUAGCAGCACCUACCACCCUAAACAGAUGGUCAGACCAAUGUGGCAAUGUUAUACCUCGCUCAAUUACAAUCAAAAUCAAGGAAUUAUAUAGUCAAAGUUAAAGUCAAAUAAGGAUUUAAGUUGGAGGAAUGAUUUUCAUGGGGUUUAAUUUGAAAUUGCUAGUACUUAAGAAGGCCCAAACUGAUAUAAAAAUAAAUCUUAGGAUUUUGCUUCUCAUGAUAAAUAAGAUUACUAAAUGUUAAAUUAUAUAAAGAUUGGGGAUUUGAAGUGUAAUUAUAUUAUAGUUAUCUAUUGACUUAGAGGAUAAUGACCCAUUUUUCGAAAUAGAUAGAAGGGUCGAGAGAGAAACAAAGAGACCGAGAGAGAAAUGAAAAAAAAAUGGAGAAGAAGAAGGAGGAAGAGGAGGAACAGGAGUUGGCUUUUCAAUUUCCAUUCUUUACUUCUCCUUAUUUUCAAGAGAUAAGUAAAAAUUAUAUAAUUGAAUUUUUAGGGUUCAUGGAAAAUUGCUAAAAAUUGGAAAUUUUAGCUAGAAUUAAUGAUUAGAAGAUUUGUGUUGAAGUGUGCAAAAAUGUGAAAUGGGUUUGUAAUUUAGAGCUUAAAUCUUUGAUUUAUUGUGUGUAUAUGAUAUAAAACACCUUAUUUGUAAUUUAUUAUAAUGAGAUAUGAAGUUAAGGUUAGAUUUUGGUAUUUAUAAGCAAUUUUCGUGCAGUUGUUAAUUCUGAAAUUCUGCCCAAAAAAGUGUUAUUUCUGUCAAGGGUUCCGAUGCCAGCUUUCAAAAUACAAAAAUUGGUGCCAGAUUUCUAUAUUCUAGAAUUUUAGUGUUGUUUUUGUCAAACCUUGGAUUUCUAGAUUUUUAAAUGUUUGAAUGAAUUUAUAUGACAAAUAGUGAAGUCUAUGUAUUGGACUAACUAUGUAUACGGGUUGUAUAUGUAUUAAGGUAGUGAUUUUAAGGAAGUGUGAGUGGUGUAAUGGAUUUGAUAGUAUAUGGUGAUUAGUUGAUAAAUCAUUAAAGAGAAGAAAAGUUGGGGAAUUGGAGAUGUAAGAGUAAGUAUAGAAGUUGAGAAGUUAAGUGGUGGAUUUAUAUUAAUUUAAUUGGUAGAUUUUAAUUCAAGAAAUUAUACCGUUAUUUCAGGUGGGAACGUGGAAGCUUGGAAAUACUCGCCAAUUUAAUCAGAUUUCUAUCCAUAGUCUAUGAGUGGAAAAAUAUAAAUAUUUAUAAAAUAUUUAUAAAUUAAGUAUAUUAUCAAAGUAUGUGCAAUUAUGUGUUCAAUUAUAUGAUUACUAUGGAAAUCUUUUUUAUUAUGAUACAUGUGAAAAUCUCAAAGAUCAUUUAUGGCACCUUUGUGACUUGAUAUGUGAGACAUGUGAUAUUGAGAUUUGUUCAAUAAAUGAGAUAUGUAAUAUUGAGAUCGAUCAGAAAAGUACUAAUGAUUAUAUACAUCUUCUAGCUCACAGAGGGGCCUUGAAUGUGUUCUAUCCUACAGGGAGGGGUCUUAACCAGACAUUGGUCUUGACCGUGUAUAUAUAGUUCACAAGGAAGCCUUGACCGUAUUCUAGAAUUGAUUACCAGAGGUCUUGAGACUGGCUUUCGUUCACAGAGGGGACCAAAGGCCCGUGGUAAAAGUUUUUAGCUCGAGGGGCGGAUUAAGAUUUUAAUCAAAGAGUAAUUUUUCGUGGAUUUUUCAAAACAUUUGAUGUGAUGUGAUUAUAGUAUGAUUACCAUCUUAUGUUCAUAUCAUGAUUUGAGAUGAUAUUUUACCACGUUAUGUGAAUGUCUCACGUUUUGGCUAUAAUUAUAUGAUGUUAUCUUGCGAGUUAUUUAAUGAUAUGAACUCGUUUUUCGAUAAAAAUGUUAAAUUGAAAAGUAUAAAUAUUUUCGAACUUCUCCACUUGCUGAGCUAUCAACUCAUAUAUUUUCCCACGAUUUUGUCUACAGUAGCAAUUGAUUCUUUUUAACUAGAAGAGCCUAAUGAUUUCGGAAUGAGAACCACACGAUAUGUUAAAUAUUAUAACUCAUAUUAAUGAAGCACAAAGUAAAUAUUUUGGGCCCAUCGCAUUAUGUUUUAUAUAAGCAUUUGAUUUUGUUGCAUUUUUUUAAAUAACUCAUAGUCAGCCUUGGUGAUAGAUUUGACAUCUAAUCAGCAUCUAUCAUCAGCAUACGUCCGUUUCAAGUCUACUAGGGUAAUUCGGGACGGGUUGUGUCAGGUGAACUGGAGUUUGGGUAAUAUUUUGAAAAGUUUGGCAGGGACUAAACCGAAGCAGUGGAAUUUGGCAUUACCUCAAGCAAAAUUUACUUAUAACCGAUCGAAGAAUAGAACACUAGAAUGAGCCUUUUUGAGAUUAUCUAUGGUCAGAAUUCAUCUGGAGUGCUUGGCUUUGCCCCUAUCCCAUGUGUGGGUCAUUUCAAUCACAAGGCCAAUGAAAUGGCAGAACAUCUUCAGGGUGUAACGCCUCAAAAAUUUUAUAAAAUAAAAUUUAUUUGCCCUAUGUGCUAUAUUUUUAUAUUUAAAAAUUGAGGGACUAAAGUGAAAUAUGUUUCAACAUCGUUACUUUAUUCGGUAGAAUUAUCAAGCACUCAUUUAACGAGAAUUUUUUGCAUAUCUCAAGGUGAAAAAUAAUCCUUUGUGAGUUAUUUAUCAUAUGAAAUUGAAAAUAGGUCAAUUGGAGUCCCAUAGAAUUUUUCGUAGCAUUUUUUGUAAGCUGUGACAAUUAAAUUCGGGAUUUCAGACCAGCCUGUUCGAAAAAUAAUUUGGUACUUCGAAAGACGUCAUGGAGAUCUCAAGUUUUUAUAUGUCGUACUUAUAUAGGUUUGUUACCAUCUGGUAAAAUUUCAUAAAGUUUCGUCAAGGUUUGCUUGAUCAAAUAAUUUUUGUAAACUCACUGCAUAAAUGGAGAAACUGUUUUCAACUUGCCGUUGAUUUUAAAAUAAAUAAAUAAAUAAAUCACUAAUUUUGCAUUGGGAAGUUAACCUAAAAGGACACGUGUCGACAACCCAACGUAUUACUAGAAUACGGGGCAUUACAUAGGGUCUCCAUGAACAGGUGAAGCUGGCCAUUCAAGAGAGUAAUGCCAAGUACAAGGUUCAGGCCGAUAGCCAUCGUCAUCAAGUGCUUUUUGAUGUUGGUGAUUUUGUUAGUGCGGUAUUAGCCUGUGAUCACUUUCCUGUUGGGGAGUGUAAUAAGCUCGAGGAGCGGAAAAUUGAACCUAGUGAGGUACUGCAGAAGAUCAAUAAUAAUGCCUACAGGUUGCGCCUCCCAGCCAUUUGAAGACUUCUAAUGUCUUCAAUGUGAAGCACCUAAGCACUUAUUUUGUGGAUUCAAAUGAAACUCUUGUGAACUAGAGGGUGACUUCUUUCCAACCCAGAGCGACUGAUGCAAGAGGUUCCGAGUCAAGUGAUGCCGAGUUGUCAAAUAGCACGUAAUGGUGCUAAGAUAACAUGAGUUGGCAGAUCAAUGCAAAAUUGGCAAGUGAUCGUGAUCUUUUCUUAAUUGGGGCAGUUUUGAAUGCAUUUUAGUAAUUUGGCCAUAACUUUGGUUACGGUUAUCAGAAUCGCAAUUAUGACCCCAAUUCGAAGAGUUCUUUUUUCCGCCCACGAUGUGGUCAUCCAGCUAUGCUCAGUGGGCAUCCAUGUCAGGGCCAAAAUCCAUUGUUUUCCCUCCCGAAUUUUCAUUUUUAGUUAUUUUAUUCAUUUAUGGUAAUAUUUCGGUUGCCAUUUUCGAGGUGGUUAUGAAUCGGAUUUGAACCAAAUUUUUGGCAAUAUACUUCUUUUAUUACGUAUUUUAUUUUGGUAUGAUUAUUAGGAUUUUACUAUUUUUGGUAAAAUUUCGAAUUUUCUCAACUAUAUAACCCGACUUGUGGGUUAUUUUUUUGCCAUUGGGUACUUUUAAUAAAAUUGAAUUAAAUUUCAGAGAAUUCUCUAUCUUUGGGCAUUUUUCUUCUCACUCCUUCCUGUGAAAUAUCUGUUGCAACUAGCCUGCAGGAUAAUCGUUAUCCUGCCCGGCAUCAUGAUUUUACUUUGCUUCCAUAAAAAGGAGGAUUUUAGGCUCUUCCCUGAUACUUGUGAUUUUUUUGCCGUUCUCUGCUGAUGCUGUUCAGAAAUGAAGUUUUGACGUAUCACUAGUUUGCCUUAUCCACACAAAGCUCAUCAAAGUUUGCAACAAAUACCUGUUCAGUUAAUGAGUGUUGAGUUAGAUUAUUUGUAGCGAGCUAUAGUUGGAAGAUACGUAUUAUAAAUGGUGUCAACCUCAUAUGAGAAGUAUUCCAUCUGUUAAAUCUAAUUGAAUUUGCAACAGUCUUAAUGGAAUGAAAUAAUUGAAGAAGUAAUGCUUUAAAUUUUUGCAAUGCCAUACACAGGAGCGUGAUUGAAUUUAAGGAAAUGAGAGGUGUUUUUGAUGUGGGAAAGCACGUGAUUGAUAAGCACUGCAACAACAUUGAAUAAACAUUUCCACCCUCAGGUAAAAUUGGUGCUGGAUAGAGAGAAUAGAGCAUCAUCGAGCCAACCACAUGAAGAAGAACAAGUUUCCUAUUCAUGCCCACCCCCAAUGUGGGGCUGCAAUCUGAAAUAGUUGUUAUAAGUAGUGGGCCAGCAUCCUCGCCUAUGGAUGAGAGUAAUGACGGAGGACAAUUGUUCAAAGCGCAGGUGGCGACUGAGCAAACUAGGAUCUUUAACGUUUUGUAAAACUGAAUUGAGGCUCUAACUUUGGGAUAUGACGUGUUCGAUUGUAUUUUUGGUUUUGUUUGGUGUUCCUGUUUAACUAGGAAAAAAAUUCUGUUUUGCUUAUGAACAACAGCUAUGUUUAUUUUCGCUUUCAUCGAAAUGAAGUCUGGUUCAGAAAGAUGUAAUGCAGCGAAUUUGAAAGUGCCUUAAAAUAGUUGAAUGUUAAUCAAAGUUAAAUAUGCUUUCUUUUCAGAUUUUUGAAGGAUUUCCUUCUGUAGUAAGCUUAGCCACUCUCAAAUGCCUGAAUUUUCAUUAAGUUAAUUCAAGAUGUUUUAAAGCCAUAUUCAGCACCAAAAUGAAAUUGCAUAUAAAAUUCAUUGUGGAAAUUUCUUAUUCAAAUUUUUAUAUGUAAUGUAGCACUACAACUCAUAAAUUUAUCCAACGAACUACGUUUGUGUAUUAGAACUAGAACAUUCGCUCUCUCUCUCUAAUUUUCUUGACUAAGCUGGAGUUUGUAGAUUCGUCCAACUCAAUGCAAAAAUUUAUAUUUCACUUAAAAAUUCUAAACAUAAUUUCUACAAGUCCAAAGAUCAAGGCUAUUGCAGAAAGUAUCCCAAACAAGGUUCACGGAAUCACACUUAACGAUACUACUGCAUACAACUUAUCUUGAAACAACAUACACCAAGCAAAACUUACACCGAAGUAGCAAGUUGCAAACGUAAUUGACAAAUAGAAACCAUGAGCACUUAACUCCAAAGCAACUUACAUAAACAUGACAAUUAUGAAAUCAGUUGUUUAAUCAAUUGCAUAGAUGGAACAAAUUCACGGAUCUCUUCCCUUUCGUUUCCCAUUCUCUUCCAUACUUCAUUUUUCCUUGUAGAUAGUUAUAUUGAGGAAUAUCUUCAAGUCCUCUUGUUUGGAUAUUUAAGCAAAACUUUUGAAUAUACACGACAAAUCUUCAAUUUGAUCUUUAGAGUUAGAUUUUGAUGUAGGACAUAAUGGGAAUAUUAGAAAAAGAGUACUAGUAGAAAUAGAAAUCUUAGCUCCGGGUCGGGCCCAUAAGACCAUUUUGAAAAGAGAACGAUGAGAGGAACAAUACUCACAGCUAUGUCAUGACGUACGAUGAAUUUUGGCCUUUCGAGUUCGUUUAGGACUCGAAAGCUGAUUUUUAAAAUUUUGGUGCUAUUUUUGUCAAUUCGUUUAUUUUCGGUUUUUUGCAAUUCUAGUUUGUUUAGACUUUUUUUUUUAAUUACUUUUAGUUGUUUUAAACAACGUUUCCAUGUAAACUUUUAUAAAUAAGGGGUUAGUUCAUUUUUUUUCAUUAUCAUUCAUCAAUAAAAUUCAUGAAAUUUAUUUUCUUCUUAAUUUGGUUGAUUCCAAAUUUCAUAUUCUUAAGGUUUUCUCUUGAAUUCAUGUUUCUCACUACGUCAAGUGGUAUCAGAGUCGACUUUCCCAUCUCUAUAAAUUUGAUUCAUAAACAUGAUUGACAUAUCAGUUACUCGGGCAAAUUUAGAUGCAACAAAUUGAUGGCUUGACGAACGGUUGACAAUCUCAUUACUCCGAUUGAAGAAAUUCGUCAAUUGCUUCUACGGGUUAAUGGAAACAAUGGGUAGAAUGAAUGGAGGGCAAUCGAGAAUGAGCGGAUGGCUGAACCUAUAGUUCGGAGAGAAAAUAAUAUGAGGCGUGUAAUAGAAGACAAUGAAUUAGAGUCGGAGGAGGAGUUCAAAGUACUGCUGCAUCAUCCUAAUGAUCAAAAUUGAAAUACCUUUGAUGAUUAUUGGAUUAAAGUAGACAUUCCUCCGUUCUUUGAAAACAUGUAGAUCGAGGACUUCUUGGAUUUGUUGGUAGAAGUUGAGAGAUUCUUUGAAAUUAUGGAUGUUUCAGAGGAGAAGAUGGUUAAGAUGGUGGCAUUCCGUUUGAAAUCUGUGGUAGUAAUAUGGUGAGAUCAAUUACAGAAUGCUAGAAAAAGACAGAGAAAGAGUCGGAUUCGAACUUGGAGAAAGAUGAAGCAAUCUUUGAUGGAUUGAUUUUCACCUGCAGAUUAUGAACAGAUUUUAUAUCAUAUGUACCUAGGAUGCACAUAGGGUAAUCGUACAGUGUCAGACUACACCAAUGAAUUUAUGAGAUUGGCGAAGCAAAAUAAUCUGUCAGAAUCUGAAAAUCAAAGGGUAGCCAAGUGUACUAGUGUUUUGAAGGUGACCAUUCAAGAUAGAAUUGGGAUGUAAUAUAUUUGGAUAUUGCAGGAAGCCAUUAACAUGGCAAUGAAAGUGGAGAUAUGGAAUUUAAUAAGAGGAUGGUUUUAUAUAGGAGGCCCUUACCUGUCAAAACAUCAUAUCCGCCCCUUCAGACGAAAGAAAGGCCCCAUAGCAAGCCCAGACAAUCCUAAUAGGAAUAAGGUUGACAACAGUGGUUGGUUUUGGAACAAAAGUCAAGCUUGAGGUAUACCUAAGAAUGCAAAUUCGUAAGCUAAGCCCACGGGAGAAAUUUGCUAUAGAUGCCAAAAGCCUAGGCUGGGCAUCAUUCCAAUAACUAUCCUAAGAGGAAGCGGGUCAAUUUGGUGGAGCCGGAGGCAAUGGAUGAGGAGGAAGAUACUGAAGUAGAAGAUGAGUACACGGGAGUAGAGUUUACUGUGGAGGAAGGAGUAGAAAGGCUCACUUUGGUACUGCAAUGAAUACUUUUGUCACCUAAAGAGGAGGGACAGUGUCAUUGCAUCUUCCAUUAACUUUGUUCUAUCAAGAAUAAAGUGUGUGAAGUGAUUGUGGACAAUGGAAGUUGUGAAAACUUUGAGUCGAAAACAUUAGUUGGUGAAUUUGUUGAAACUACCAGUUGAGAACCAUCCUAAACCAUAUUCACUUGGUUGGGUGAAGAGAGGUCCUUUUGUUCAAGUUGUUGAAACUUGCAAAGUACCUAUUUCCAUUGGUAAGCAGUAUAAGGAUGAAGUUAUGUGAGAUGUCAUAGACCUGGAUGCCUGCCAUAUCCUAUUAGGUCAUCCAUGGCAGUUUGAUGUGGAUUCAACUCUCAAAUGACGUGAUAAUAUAGUACUCUUUUCAUGGGCAGUCAAAAGAUCACUAUGGUUUCUCUCACAUAGGUGAAAAAGUCUACCCAUCAAUGAACUGACAGUUUCCUUACCCUUACCAAUAAUGAAAAUGAGAUCAUGAGGUCUGUAAGAGAAUUUGAUUGCUUCUAUCCAGUUGCAGUUAAGGGGCUUUUUGCAUCAAAUAGGGAAGAUGAGGGUGUUCCAUCUGAGGUACAUAAAAUGUUGACAGAAUUUGAAGACUUAACUUUCGAUGAAUUGCCAAACGAGCUAUCUCCUGCGAGGAAUAUCCAGCAUCAGAUUGAUUUUUAACCUGGGGCUAGCCUUCCAAAUUUUCUCUUUACCGAAUGAGUCCAAAUGAGAAUGAGAUUCUAAGGGAGCAAAUUGAGGAGUUGUUGAGAAAAUGGUUCAUAAAAAAGAGUAUGAGUCCAUGUGCAAUACAUGUCCUUCUAGUGCCAAAGAAGGAUGGAAAGUGCCGUAUGUGUGUUAACACUUGUGCCAUCAAUAAAAUAACACUGAAGUACAGGUUUUCCAAUCCACAGUUGGAGGAUGUGUUAGAUAUGCUUAGGGGUUCUAAGGAAUUCUGAAAAAUAGAUCUUCGCAAUGAUUAUCACCAGAUCCGUAUUAAACCCAGGGUUGAAUGGAAGAUUGACUUCAAGAGUAAGGAUGGACUCUACGAAUGGUUGGUGAUGCCAUUUGGACUUUCAAAUGCUCCAAGUACCUUCAUGAGGAUGAUGAACCAGAUUCUUCAUCCUUUUAUUAGGUCUUUUGUUGUGGUUUACUUUGAUGAUAUCCUUAUUUACAGCAAGUCUAAGGAAGAUCACCUAGUUCACUUGAGGCAAGUCAUGGAGGUUCUGAAUGAGAAUCAGUUGUACAUCAACUUGAAGAAGUGUACCUUCUGUACAUCUAAACUAUUAUUUUUAGGUUUUGUGGUAGGUGAAGAUGGUUUACAUGUAGAUGAAAAGAAAACAAAAGCAAUUCGAGAUUGGCCAACACCAAAGUCAGUUUCUGAAGUGUGGAGUUUUCAUGGGCUUGUGAUUUUCUAUAGAUGAUUUAUCAGGAAUUUUACCACUAUUGUUUGGUACCUCUCAUAGAAUGUUUGAAGAAAUGAAGGUUCGGUUGGGAAGAAGAACAAAAUAAGAGCUUCGCCUUUAUCAAAGAAAAGUUGUGCACAACUCCAGUAUUAGCUUUACCAAGCUUCGAGAAGAUUUUUGAGGUAGAGUGUGAUGCUAGUGGUAUCAGUAUUGAGGCUAUCCUUUCUCAAGAGAAGGGAGACCCGUGGCUUUCUUUUCAGAAAAGUUAAGUGAUGCCAAGCAGAUUUGGAGUACCUAUGAGCAAGAAUUCUAUGCAGUUGUAAGGGCUUUGAAGUAAUGGGAACACUACCUGGUAUAGAAUGAGUUUGUGUUGUUCACUGAUUACCAAGUCUUGAAAUUCAUUCAUAGUCAGAAACAUAUCAGCAGGAUGCAUGCUCGGUGGGUAAAUUUCCUCUAGAAGUUUCCUUUUGUGAUCAAACAUAAAUCUAGAAGUACAAACAGAGUUGCAUAUGCAUGGAGUCGGAGAGCCUCUUUAUUGAUCACAUUGUCACGGGAAAAUGUUGGGUUUGAGUGAUUGAAAGAACUAUAUGUAGAUGAUCCUGACUUUAAGGAGAUUUGGAGUAAGUGUGUGAAUCGGGAAUCAAUGGUGGAUUUCUAUAUUAGUGAAGGGUAUUUGUUCAAAGGCACCCAACUUUGUAUUCCUGUUUCAUCUCUACCUGAAAAUUUGAUUUGAAAUCUGCAUGGUGGAGGUCUAAGUAGAUACUUGGGACGUGACAAGACAAUAGACAAUUUGGAGGCUUGGUAUUAUUGGCCACAGUUAGCGAGAUAUUGGAAUUAUAGUUAAAAAGUGUUAUACUUGUCAGGUGUCAAAGGGUCAAGUGUAGAAUACUAGGUUGUACAUGCCACUUCCUAUCCCUCAGGGUAUAUGGCAAGAUCUGGCUAUGGGUUUUUUUUUUUUUUUUUUUUUUUUUUUUUUUUUUUUUUAUUUUUUUUGGAUUACCUCAUACUCAAUAGAUCGUAUAUUCUAUUUUUGUGAUGGUUGACAGUUUCUCCAAAAUGGUGCACUUCAUAGCUUGUCGAAAGACUUCAGAUGCAUCAAAUAUUGCCAAACUAUUUUUUAGGGAGAUUGUUAGAUUGCACGGAGUUCCCAAGUCUAUUACAUCAGACCGGGAUACGAAAUUUGUGGGGCACUUUUAGAUUACUUUGUGAAAGUUGUUUGGAACCAAUUUGAAUCGAAGCAGCACUAUCCAUCCCCAAACUGAUGGACAGAUCGAGGUUACUAACCGUACCCUUGGAAACAUGGUUCGAAGUGUUUGUGGAGAUAAACCUAAAUAGUGGGAUCUUGCACUACCUCAAGUGGCAUACGACAGCGCAGUUCAUACUGUUACAAGCAGGUCUCCAUUUGCUACUAUGUAUACGGAGGUGCCUUACCAUGUGGUGGACUUGAUGAAAUUACCUAAAGGUGAUAGGGUUGGGUAAAUCUCCCGAACCCGAACCGAACCCAACGGUUCUUGUCAAAUUAAAUACCUGAACGGGUAUCUAAAUUGAGAAUCGACGGAUACUGUUUGGUUCUCGAUUGUAGACCAAGAACCGAAGAACCGAAUAAGAACCGAAUCUUUCUAAUUUUUUUUAUAUUGAGUAAAUCAAAUUAUUUUAAUUUUAAUUUUUUCUAAACAAAUUAACAAAUUAGCAAUUUCCAAAUCCAAUUUUUUGCCCAAUAAUUUGUUUCAUUUCUAAUUUUUUAAUUUUUGACUCCAUUAGCCAUUUUAUUGUUUCAUUUCUUAGCCCAACAAGAUCCAAUCCACUAAAUAACUAUAAAUACCUACACUAAAGUGGAUUACAUUGUCUCGACUCUCGCACUCACUCUCACAGCCUCGCUAACAUUUCAAAACCUAUACAAUCGUCGGUCGAUGCUGUGACCUCCACCAACCGAAGCUUUGACCGUAGCGAUAAUUUGAACAAGGUAGUCUACUGGUCUAUGGCAUUCCAAAACCAUUGAAUGUAUCACUAGUAUUUAUAUAAUGUUGUUGUAAAUUAUAAAAAAUUUAAUUAUAGUACAGAACCAAACGGAACCGAACCGAACUGAACUGAACCGAAUGGAAUCGAACCCGAACGGUUCCAUAAUUAUAUUUGGACCCGACGGUUCCAUUUACUAGAUACCCAAAAAUUUUGGUUCGGUUCGGUUAUCCUAAAAGGCGAUAAUAAAAGUGUUGUUGCUGAACAUCUGGUAGAGGAGGUGUUAGCAGUUCGUGAUGAGGUAAAAUAGAAGUUAGAAAAAGCUAAUGCAAAGCAUAAGGCAUCAGUAGAUUCACAUUGACGGGAUAAACUAUUUUAAAAAGGAGACUCGGUGAUGGUGUUUUUGAGGAAGGAGAGAUUUUCCAUUGGUUUUUACAAUAAGCUGAAACCAAGAAAAAAUGGACCUUUCAAAGUUCUUAAACGAAUUAACAACGAUGCCUACAUUAUUGAUUUACUAGAUUCUAUGGGUAUUUCUCGAACGUUCAAUGUGGCAGAUUUGUGUGAGUUCCAUAAAGAUGAUAAGUCUUUGUAUCCAGAUUAUAAAUCGGGGUCGAGUUUUUCGGAGGUAGAAGGGACUGAUGUAGAACAUAAUGGGUAUAUUGAAAAAAUAGUACUAGUACAAAUAGAACAUUUUAAUUUUGGAUCGGGCCCAUAAGACCAUUUUAGAAAGAGAAAACGAGAGGAACAAUAUUCACCGCUAUGUCGUGACGUACGAUGAAUUUCAGCCAUUUGAGUUCGUUUAGGACUCGAAAGCCGAUUUUAAAGUUUUAGCGCUAUUUUAAUCAAUUCAUUUAUUUUGGAUUUUUUGCAAUUCUAGUUUAUUUAGACUUUGUUUUCAUUACUUUUAGUUGUUUUAAACUACGUUUUCAUGUAAACCCUUAUAAAUAAGGAGUUAGUUUUUUUCAUUAUCAUUCAUCAAUAAAAUUCGUUUGAUUUUCUUCUUAAUUUGGUGGAUUCCAAAUUUUCAUAUUCUUUAGGUUUUCGCUUGAAUUCUAGUUUCUUGCUACGUCAGAUUUACUCAAAUAAACACAUCCCGAUUUAAUUUCGUCGUAAACACCACUAGAAUGACCUUCAAUUUGCAAUGAUUUUUUUUGGUCGGACGAAACAUCUAUGCACUUGAAAUACCCCAUUACUACAACAAAAGAAUAACUAUCCUAUAUUUUCCGUCUUCUUUUGCUCAUCUAUCCAUUUCACAAAGCCCUUGCCACCACUUGGGCAUUGCUGUUUUAUUGGGCAUUGACUGUCUAAAUCUAUGUCAAAUCUCUUUGUUCUUUCCUAUCAUUGAAAAAAUCUAUUGCGGCCAUGAAAAUUCAGUACACAUAAAGUGUGAGAAAUUAAGCAAACACACUAUUGGCAAAUUUUUAGCGUUAAUCCAUCACCGACAAAACAUUACAACACAAGCUAUUGCCAAACCUUGAAAAGAUGAAUAUGAACAUGAACUGUACAUUUAUAAAUCAGGUAACCCGCUUUUUCAAACAGAAAAAUGAACAAUGAUUAUGAGUGCUGGCACCCAAAAGUCAAUUUUGUACACUUUAAGGAAUCACUAAAAAAAUUGGCGGCCGCGAAACCUUCAUCCAAGGUUGCCUUCAAUCAAAGAGGUCAUCAUUACCAAAAAAUUUGCCACAAUCACUACAAAAAAAAAAAAAAAAACUUGCAUCCAGCGACCAAUAAGAUUGGUCGCUAAAAGGUCUUUCCUAGUCGUUGGAGCCCUUUUGCGACCAUGUAUCUGUGGUCGCUUAAUGGUCGCAAAUUCGCCGUUGGUAAAUCUCUUCAACGACCAUACAUACCGGUCGCUGUACAUGUCAUCUCAAACGACCACAUAUUGGUCGCGGUAGGGUUUGAUUUUCGUUAGCUGAUAAGUUAAUUAAUUUGUUGAUUUGCUGUCUUCAAAUCUCUUUUACGACCAAGAUAGAUGGUCGCUGAGUGUUAGAUAUUUAGCGACCAACGUGGUCGGGAAAAGGAGUAUGUUUUGGUCGCUCAUAAUUGUUAGAAGUUUGUUGCUUAUACUCUUUUGUGAUCACACGUUGGUAGGUAAAUGUAAUAGAACGAAAUAUUUUCACACUAACAACAACCAACGAUUGGUUGGUGAAGAUAAUGAAAUAGCGACCAACCUAUGGUUGGUGAAUAAUGCUACCUUUCGUGGACCAAUUGUUGGUCGGUAAACAUUGAUAACUAUAGUGACCAAUCAUUGGUCGAUGAAGGACAACAAUUUUUUCAUUAUUUUUCAGUGACCAUAAUUUGGUUGCAGAAUGAUAUUAUCAACUAAUAUGUGGUCACUAGACAUAUGUAUUAAUGCUUUUAUAUUAAAUAUUUUUUUUAUUCCUGCUAAUAAUUUGUCCAAUAUUUCAAUUUUCAACCAUCAUAAUUACUAAUUUAGCAAUAUCGAAAGCUAUAGAAUAUUAAAUUAAAAAAAUAUGUUCUACAAAAGAAAAUUGUAUUGCGUAGAUAACUACUAAUAGUCAAUGUAUAAUCAUAAAUGUCUAUUAUUUAACCACAAAAAGAUAAAUUGUAACUUUAAUAAUGUAAUCAUAGUACUAUAGCACCAACAGAUGGUUGUGGUGGAGGUGGUGGAGGUGGAUCAUUGGUUGGUUCUAUUGGAGGAUGCUCACUCAUAUCCAUUCAUGCAACAAGGCUCUGGAUAAGUAAUGCUUGUUGUUCGAGACUUUGUGUAAGCUCACUAAUAGCUUUAUCCUUCUCUUUAUCUCGUUUUGUAAGAAUUUCCAACUGUUGCAUCAAUUUAGGAGGAGCCGUAACUACGUUGUUAUAUGAUUUGCGUGGAGCGGAUCCAAUCCUAGAAAUAGUCCCAGCACUCUUACCAAGAACUCGAGCACAUAUUUCUGCUUCAUCCAUUAUAAGUGCUUCAUCUUCAAGCUCUGUUUGUGAUUGUUGUAACUCCACUAUUUCUUUCUGUCAUACAAUAGAAAAAGGUUGUUAAAAUAAAUAAUAUUAAUGUUAAGAUCUUUGUGUAAUAAAUGAAAUAUCUUACAUAUCGAGACUCGGCUAGUUGGUUGUCCCAUCCUUUUGAUGUGGUCCUCCUAAACAAUUCAAUAUGUCGAACUAAUUCUUCAUUUGUAGACUGAAAAAGGUGGAGAAAAUGUCAUAAUAUAGUCAAAUUAGGAAAUAAUUGAUAACCUCAACAUGUUGCCAAAGUAGUGAAGAGUAUAAAACUUGUCGAAGUUUAAAUUCAACUAAACAUAUCCCACAAAACUAUGGCCUUAUGGACUGAAAAACAUAUCUAGCAACAUUUCAACAAUAUUUAAUGACAGUCAAGGGAUAAAAAACAUGUUAAUACUCCUUCUAGAAGUCAGCCAACAUUCUAAUGACAACCUUUUUUUAAAACUAAUUUCAUCAUUUUCAGAAAUCAAUUCUUCUUUUUCAAUAUGUAUUCUAUGAAGCACGCUUAGAAGUUGAAAUAGUUUCGUAAAACUAAACAUGAGAUAAUUACGUCGGAUCAACUAAAAGAUAGUUAAUUAUUCAUAUUUCAACUAAAGGAAGCAAAUUUAAAAUAUUAAGCCUCAUACUCGAGCCUAAACUAGGGGAAAAAUACCUAAUUCAUCAUUUAAGUCCAAAGAGUUAUAAUUCUAACAUAGUGAGCAAUGAUAAGUAGAGUGAUAUAUAUUAACAACAAUUAAUAAAACAUUUCAACUUAAGAAAAUUGAAUGCUAUUUAACCAACCAACUUCAAUUGGUUAAUAAGCCAGACCAAUACUCACUCUAGAAGUCAACAUGUUUACCAAAAACUACUUAUUAAAAUUGCAAGAGAUUAAGUCUAUUGGAUUACCGGUGCUUCCCUAGUUGCGGUAAAUGAUCUAGUCCCUCCAUGGUGAUUAUAAAGAAGCUUCGAACGAUUGAGUUUCCCAGCUGCAGAUCGUUUCUUAAAACCAACAACAAUAUCUCAAAGUGAGUAAUUUGGCAUCUCAAUCAUUCCGCUUUAAUUAACAAUAUUAUAAAGUAGUAUAAUAACUUAACAUACCAAAAACUUAUCACUUUGAAAAUGUGCACACAUCCAUUCCCAAACCUCUUGUGAUUUAAUAGUUGAUGGCCUACAUUGUAGUGGAUCUUUUCCAUUCAAUUUUAACUAUUUAUAUUUUUUUAUUACAUGCACUUCUGUGUUCUUUAUAUCUCUCACGAUAAUGUUUUUCAACAAUUUCAACCAUCUGUUGAUCAUUUGAAUCAACAUCAAAUUUAACCUGAACAAAGAGAAAAUAAGACUUCAGUGAUUAUAGUAUUAAGCAUAAUCCAAAUGAAUUACAAAAUUUACUUACAAGAAGACGAUUAUAGGCUAAUUCUUUAUCAUGAGGAGUUGCCUGGCUCCAACCAGUCAAGCGUUAUGAAACAACAUUUCGCAUGAUGAUACCAAUCUCGUUAGCAAAUGGUGAGGAUAUCUCAACAAAGGUACACAAAUCUCCUUCCCUGGCUUGUACAACUAAUUUUUUCUUACUAGCAUCCAUUAAUCUCUGAGAUGCCAAACCACAACUAAUUCCUCGCUUUCUUUUAUGAUCAAAACCUAAAAGAUAAUUAAUAUUGUUGAAUAUGAAGAGUCAAUCCACAUUAUCUUAAAAAUCAUUAAAUAUAUACCAUUGGAUGACUCUUGCUCAGCAGUAUCCACAAAAUCAGUAGGAUCUACACUAGAUUGAGUAGUCCUAUUUAUACCUGAUUGAGCUGUAGAAGGUGUCGAAAUAGGAAUGUCUAAUUGAUUAGAGUGUUCUCCUUGUUGACAAGGAGAUGGGCUCCCAUUGCUAGAGCUUCGAGGAGUCGCAGAUGUUAUGGGUAACACGUGCUUUGACUUUCUUUUCAGUGGCGUCUAUAUUUGUAUUUAGAAAAUAGGCAAAGCAAACACGGUGAAGAAAUAAAUACAUAUUAUGAUUAAACUCUACAACAUUAAUUAAUUGUAUAUUAGCAAACAUACAACAAUUCCCACACCCAUGAUCAUAGCUUCUUUUCCUUCCCUUCUCAUAUAUAGCUCACUUUGCCAAUCAUACCAUAUGUGAUUAAGACAACCAAAUAGUAAGAAGCCAUACCAUAUCAAUGAAAGUUUCAAUUACAUUAGUCUAACUGUAGUUAGAAAUCUUCAAUUAAGAUGCAUUUCUUAUUUAUUCUAAUAAGAAUUAAUGAAAACAAAACUUAAUUAUCCAUGAAAAUUCGCAAGAAGUUCAUUGGAUAUGGCCUUGUUACACCUUCAUUUAAAAUGGAAAAUGAGUUAUUUAGUAAAUAGUUACAUAACGAACAACUAUUCAAAUGAGUCUGAAUCAUCAUUGUCUUCACUAUUCAACAAUGGUUCAUCUUCGAUUUCCAUAUCACUAAGACUACUGGCCAAUGUAUCUUCAUUCACUUCUUUAUCUUGCAAUAUUACUUGUGUUGGACAAACAUCUUCUCAAUUAAGUUGCUCAAUGUCAGUUAAUUCGAAUGUUAUCUCAACAUCUUUAGAACUUUUUCUUGAUAAGCUUCACUUUCACCAUGCUCAACAUUAUUGUCAUUACCAUCUCUUUCAUCCAAAUUGUCUGGAACAUCCAACACAUGACGAUGAUGGAACUUUUGAACCACCUUCCAAUUUUGACCCAGUUUAUAAUCAUCCACAUGGAACACUUGGCAAGCUUGUCUAGCUAGCACAUAAGGUUCAUUUUCAUAUCAAUGUGCACUUAUGUUGAUGCUCGUGAUGCCAAUAUCUGUGUGUAUAUUCUUUCUACUUACAUUUGUGUCAUACCACGUGCACUUAAAAAGUUCAACUUUCUGGUCAAAAAUAUAAUUCGGUUCAAGAAUCUCCUCGCUACAACAUGCAAAGACUAAAUGAAAAAAAAAACAAAAAAAGGAGGAUACAAUUGCGCCAAAUCUUUUAGCGACCAUGACAUCGAUGGUUGUAGAAGGCUAGGAUCUGGGACCAUUCAGUGGUCACUUUUGUGGUAUAGCGCCAGCAACCAUUGCCUUUGGUCGCUAAAACAUGCAAAGACCAAAUGAAAAAAAAGCGGGAUAAAAUUGCGCCAAAUCUUUUAGCAACUAUGACGUCGAUGGUUGUAGAAGGCUAGGAUCUGGGACCAUUCAGUGGUCACUUUUGUGGUAUAGUGUCAGCAACCAUUGCCUUUGGUCGUUAAAACAUGCAAAGACCAAAUGAAAAAAAAAAAAAAAAAAAAAGCAGGAUAAAAUUGCGCCAAAUCUUUUAGCGACCAUGAUAUCGAUGGUUGCAGAAGGCUAGGAUCUGGGACCAUUCAAUGGUCGCUAGAGUGGUUAUCAUUCGCAGAAAAUUUUUUGUUCUUUUUUUGCACUACCUUUACCAACCAAUCAAAUGUAUGAUCCCUAAUUCUCUGAAAUAGCUACCAUAAUUUGGUCGCAAUAGAGCAUAACAAAAUUUGUCCAACUUUUCUAGACCAAAACCUAUACCCACCAUUACUUGGUCACUGAACGUGUUUUAUAGCAAUCAUGUUUUAUUGGUCUCUAAACCUUUGGUCGGUGGAGCCCUUUUUUUUGUAGUGAGUGGUACAAUCUUCAAUCCUCGAACUGCUCGAAUUGGAUGGCAUUUUCAAAGGAAAAAUACUGACAAGAAGAAAAAAAAAGGUUUGGGAAUUAUCUCAAUGUGGUGUGCACGGCUUCAACAAUCCAAGUUUUGUGGUCGGUUGCUGUGGACCUUCAAUUGUGGGGUAGAAUUGAUUUGGGGGUUAGGGUUUAGAAGGAUUUGGGUUUAGGAUAAUGAUGGCACGUUUUCAUUACAAUUGGCUAAGGCAUGAUUGGGAUUUGCAAUUUAAUGCACAGGAAUUUGAUAUUAAAUUUUGGUUAAAAGUUAACUACCAAAUAGAAAUUCCACCAUCCACAUAGGCUGAAAGAGAAACAGAAUAUGUCCAAUGAGUGAUGAAGUGAAAUAUCCUAUAGUUGAGUGAUCAAUAAAAAGUAUUCUAAAUCGGUGAGUAACCCGUGGCCAUAUCCAAAACUAGGGGUGUUAAAACAUUGAACUUGAGACUUUAAUAAUUACAUCAUUUUUUAAGUACGAAAAAAAUAAUAAAUAAAAGGAAAAAAAUUUGAAGACCACAAUAUGUGUUGACACGUGGCAACAUGAAUAGUGUCGAUACAAAUUAAGCUUCAUUUAGUCCUUGAUUUUAAUUUGUGGGAAUCACUCUUCUUCCACAUUUAUUUUGAACGACAUAUUUUCUUUAAAAAAAAAUUAUUUUUCACAUUUCCUCAUCAUAUUUGCUUAAUUUUAACCAUUUUACAUUCACAAAUAUAAAAAAAUAAAAAUAAAAUAAAAUAAAAUAAUUAUCAAACAAGUGCUUAAUAUUGGUAAAAUCUAAAAGACAAAAUUGAUGCAAAGUAGGAGAAAAAUUCAAGAAACAACUUUAUUACAAGAACACACCUCUCUCUCUCUCUCUCUCUCUCUCUCUCUCUCUCUCUAUAUAUAUAUAUAUAUAACUACAUUUAAAUAGGACCUACCUCGAAAGACAUCAUUGAUUCACGAGCUUGAAUUAUAAUAUCGUAUAUUAUUAUUGUUAUUAGGCGGCCACGGUUGUCACAUUACGUGGUCUCUAAAACAAUAACUAUGCUACAUGAGCAACAGCACAAGUAACAAAACAACAGAGAUUUAGAACUAAUGUGAUUGUGUGUACAUUUCGAUUUAAACUUCAAACUCAUAUUCACAUAUUUUGAAGAUGAGAGUGGUUAUACUUUAUGAAAUUGAUUUUGGUGAGGAAUUUGCACACGAGAAUUUAUUUAUAUAUUUGUUUUUUAAUAAUACUAAUCACUAUAUCUUCAUAUUGGUGCAGGUGAAAAAAAUUUAGAUACAAUACUUGAAAGAUUAAAGUCGACAAAAUUUAAUUUCUUCUUUUUAAGAUUUUUCAGUAAUGUUUUUAUUCGCAUUGUCAAAUCGACAAACAUUUUGAAUUAGGGGUACAAUCAAAUUAAACAAAAAAUUGAAAAACCAUGAAAGCAUUCAAUGUUUUCUCACAAUUGUUCUCUACGCAUUUUGAUUCCUAACAUCCUCAGCAUUAGUUUCAACCAGAAUGCUUCCAAGAUUAGUUUAAUCAACUUCAUUAGUUUCAUCCUCAACAUCCAUUCCAUGAUCAAUCUAUCAUCCAUUGAAUCUCCAACGUCAUUUCAUAUCUUGAACCUUACUUUCAUUAAUAUUUUGCUCAUAAGAAAAAAAAAACAUAUUUACGGUUAAAAAAUUUGUUCAUAAGUGAUACAAACAAUCAAUUAAAAUAAUUCAAAUAAACGAUUCACGUAAUCGAAAGGAAAAACAUUCAACCAAUAAUUAAUACUAAAUUAUUAAUAAUCAAUUCAAAUAAAUACAAUUCAAUAAAUGUUAGUCAAAUUGAACACAAUCAUUCCAAACCCAUUCUAUACACAAUUUAAAAAUCAUUCCAUAUAACAUAAAUCAUUCCAAACCCAUUCCAAAUCAAUUUGACACAAUUCAAUAUACAAAAAUUUAAAAAUAAUUCCUCAACAAAAAUCGGAUAGAAUGAAAAUAAACUAUAAUUUUUCUCUAUCACUUUGAUUUUAAAAAAAAUAAAAAUAAAAACUGAAAAUUUGAAACUAUAAGUUAAUGUUGCCUGUCCAGUGAUUGCGUUUCGAUUUUCAAAUGCAAAAUUAAGGGUAAUUAGCACAAAACAUCCCUACCUUUUGAUAUUUUUGUGGAAAACGUCCCUACCUUUCAUUUUUUGGCGGAUUACACCCUUACCUUUACCUUUUUUUGCGCAAAACGUCCUUCUGUCAACCCUCCGUUAAAAUGUUCCGUCAAAUCAAAAAGGUAAUUAGCACAAAAGGUCCCUACCUUUCAGAGUUAUUGUGCAAAACGUCCCUACCUUUUAUUUUUUAGCAUAAUUAGCAGAAAAGGUCCCUACCUUUCAAUAUUAUUGUACAAAACGUCCCUACCUUUCAUUUUUAGCAUUUUUACCCCUACAUUUCACCUUUCAUUGUGCAAAAGGUCAUUUUCAUCCAUUUUUUUCAAUAAAAUGACGAUUUUACCCUCCUAUUGAAAUAAAAUAAAAAGAAAAGAAAAAAAUAAUUAAUUAAUUGCAAUCAUAGUUCUAAAUCUUUCAAAACAUUACAGAUAAAUCAUAAAUUCUCAACCACCACCAUUUUCACAACCUAUCAAGCUGUCAACUAUAAAUCCACAUAAUACCACCUUUCGACCACCAUGCCCAUCGGACUCCACCACCGUAAAUGUGGUUGUUUCGGACAGAUUGGUGACCAAUACUAUGGAGGAGGAUAUUGGGGAGAGUGAGGCGACACUGGUGGUGGUGGAGUCCGAUAGGUGUUGUGGUCGAAAAGUGGUGCUAUAUGGAUCUAUAGGUGGUGGCUUGGUGGGGUUGUGAAAGUGGCGGUAGUGGAGAAUUUAGGAUUUAUCUGUAAUGUUUUGAAAAAUUUAGAACUAUGAUUGCAAUUAAUUAAUUAAUUUUUUUCUUUUCUUUUUGUUUUAUUUCAAUCGGAGGGUAAAAUCGUCAUUUUAUUGAAAAAAUGGAUGAAAAUGACCUUUUGCGCAAUGAAAGGUGAAAUGUAGGGGUAAAAAUGCUAAAAAUGAAAGGUAGGGACGUUUUGUACAAUAAUAUUGAAAGGUAGGGACCUUUUCUGCUAAUUAUGCUAAAAAAUAAAAGGUAGGGACGUUUUGCACAAUAAUUUUGAAAGGUAGGGACCUUUUGUGCUAAUUACCUUUUUUAUUUAACGGAGCAUUUUAACGGAGAGUUGACAGAAGGACGUUUUACACAAAAAAAGGGAAAGGUAAGGGUGUAAUCCGUCAAAAAAUGAAAGGUAAGGACGUUUUCCACAAAAACAUUGAAAGGUAGGGAUGUUUUGUGCUAAUUACCCAAAAAAAUAUUCCAUAACUUACUUUCUCAGAAAAAAAAAAGGAAGAAAGAAAGAAAAGCCUCUUUUUGGCGGGCAACAAACGGAGCUAAUUGUACAAGGAAAAUGCAACCAUAAAUGAUAUUUAGUUCCUAUUUGACCCCCAUUUUUUAAAAUGUAUUUUUUCUCAAACUAAUUUUCAAUCAUACAUUUCAUGAGACCUACAAUUCUUAUUAACUUUUCACCCAAAUAUUUCAUCAACUUUGUAUAAAAUUUAUUAAAAAUGUGAUGUUUAGUUAAACCAAACAUAGGCUUAGUAACAAGCGAAUCAGUUAAGCCUUCAUUUGGCAAUUAAUUUCUCAAUCGUUUAUAAAUUCAGUCAAAUAUUGAUUAAUUUCAUUCACGCAUUCACAACUAUUUCAUUUAUUUUUUACACAAUUCGUUGAAUCCACUACUAUUUCUCUUUGUAAACUAUAUAUAGAUUCGCCAAAUGGAGGCUGAAUUAAUACCUAUAAUUUCGUACCAUAACAAAUUUUAUUGUUAAUCAUAUAUUUCAAUAAAAUCGUAAGUGCUAUUGACUUAUCUACAACUCAUUUUUAUCGUUUAUAAAUAUUUUCCAAAUGGAAAUCUUCAACUCGUGUUGACGAUGAUGUGUGAAUAAGCAUCCCAUAGGAUAAUUCCCUCAAAAUGCCCAACAGUCUGCUAUAAAUUUGGAAGACAUGGCAUGUAAGUGCACAAAAGAACUUAAAUUUUGGGCUUAAAACGAAGAAGUUAUGAGGUUUUGAAAUUUGUAUGAAAAUCUGAAUUUUUACAUGAAAAUUGGUAAAAUCUGAAACUUCAUCACUUGAUAACUUCCUGUAUGUUUUAUAUCAUUCUUCUCCUUUGGUAUGGUUGGAUAGAUCUUCCAGAGAUCUUUCUAACAGCAUAAAGAUCAUUAAUUUUGGCAUUGAAAUGAAGAACUUAUGUCAUCUCGAAAUUUAGAUAAAAAUCUGAUUUUAUUUUAUUUUUUGGUGUGAAAAUUGGUAAAAUUCGAAAUUUCAUCACAUGAUAACUUUUUCUACACUACAUUUCAUGAUUCUCAUUUAGUAUGGUUGGAUAGAUCUCGAGACCUUUUCAAAGGCAUAGAUAUCAUUAAUUUUGGCCUUGAAAUGAAGAAAUUAUGACUUCUUUGAUCGAAAAUCUAAAAAUUUAAACAAAUUGGUCCCUGAAUUAUUCUUGAUUUUUCAGUACAAUUAAAUUAAUUUUUGUACAGUUAAAAAUAUUAUUUUUUUUGUAUUUAAUGCUUAAAAUUAAUUUUUUAAAUAAUAUUAAAAAAUAUACUUUUCAAACUUGAUUAAAUUGUAAUUUUUUUUUAUAAAAUCAAGAAUACUUAUUAAGUGGCAUUUUGCUAGUGGAAUUUAUUCUUUGAAGUGCUCCCAUUUUUUGGAAAAUGAAAAAUAUUCCGAAAAUAUUUAAAAUAUCACGUUUUAUAUAAGUGUAUGAGUUGUGUGGGUCUUUUAUUAGGUUAUGUGAUCUAUCAUAACUUUUUAUAAUUUUUGUAUCUAAUCAAAUAUGAUUGGAUCGAUGCACAUUUAAAGCAUUCAUAAAAGGAAGGCUAGAAAAGCAAAGGCUAUAGAACUUGUUGAAAAGCUACAUGCUUAUUGAAAUUAAUAAAUGGAUCUAGAAUAUGACCUAAUUGGACACGUAAUAUUUAGGAUAUGUUUGGUGAUAAUGAGAAUAUAAAAAUUCUUAUAUCACUUCUCAUUUGUUGGGAUUGUGUUGUAGUAGAUAUUAAAGUGGGUUUGAGAAUCUAUUUAAUAAAACUUAAAUAGAUUGUCCAUUAUGGUUUGUGAAAUAUUGAUUGUCUACUAUGGUUAGCAACAACUCAACACCAGUAACAAACUUCACCAUUCCUUCACGACAAUUUUCUUUUGAAUAGAUUUAUGUGCUAAGUGUAGUAAAAUUAGUGCCAGAAGAAGAACUACCAAAUUGGAAUUUUUUUUUUUUUUUUUUUUUUUUUGCCAACAAGUUCAUGUUUGUCGAAGAUUUCACGUAAUGACGAUUGAGGUGAGUAGUUUCAAUUCCCUUUUACCAUGCCAUCAUUUGGAAAUAUUUACAAACUAUUGUACAUUCUUGGACUCCGUUGACUACACAACCCGUUGAAAUCAAUUUGAAGUGUUCCCAACACUUUGCAGUUUUUUUAGACUUUCGCUUACCUCUUACAUUCAGUAUUUUAAGUUUCGGCUCUGCUUCUUCAUCAAUAUCAUCCAAAUUAAUUGGAUGACUACACCCAUGAACAUCGUCAAUGUCUAAAUCAUCAGGAAUGGGGAUGUCAUUUAGACUGAAAAAUUCAUUAUGUAAUUGAGAUUGUGGCAUCAUAAGUGUGUUGCCACCGAACAAGCCCCGGACAUAAGAAUUGUGAUCCAUUUGUAUGAAAUAAAAUUGGAAUGUAUAAAGAUGAAAUCAAAUUAUAGUAGUAUUAGAUAACGGAAUGUAAUGGAUGAAUUGUAAAAUUGAGUUAAAGUGAGAAAAUAUGAAGAACAAGAAAUGUAAUAGAUGAAUUAAAUAGGUUGAUAAUUGAAUAAUGUAACAACUAAUGAGGAAUUGAAUUGAGAUUUGAGAGUGAAUAAUUAAAUUGUGAAAUGUAGAAGAUAGAUGUUGAGAAUUGGUGUGGAAAAUGGAUUGAAAUGAGGAGUAUUUAUAGAGUUUAAAAAAAAUUGUGAACUUUGCAAAAUGGUUUCAAAACUUUAUGAAAGUUUAUUACUUUUGGGUGAGCCCACAAGCGGCUCUACUCAUCGUUUCAAACGAUUGCUAGGCUCAAGCCCUGGCUUGUCACCAAAUGAGACCGAGCCAUCAGUGGGCCUAGCUGCUCGGGUCAUUCACCACCCUUAAAGACUUUUCACGGAUUCCUAGAUAAUUGUUUUUUGACUUCUCCUUCAACAAUUGACAUGAGGGUGAAAAAAGUUGCAUGGAAUCCCAUCUAAAUUUCAUUCUUUCCUUCAAUUGAGAUUUCUUGUGGGAACUAGAAAUGAAAAAUAAGCAUCUUUAGUUGAUAUAUUAUCACUUUGUCUUAAGAACAUAACGAAUUCAUUCUAUAAUUCAAACCUAUUAUAUCACUUGUCUUUUGAUUUCAUUAAUAUUUUUUAAUAAUUGUCUUAAUAUGGAUGGUCAUCAUGUUCUAUAAAAAUAAAUAAUCUUAAUAUGGAUGGUAAUCAUUUUUCUUUAAAAAUGCCAACCCGAUGGUAAAUUUCUAACUUCAACAAACUUGUCCUUAAAAUAAAAUGAAUUAGUUGUCCAUAACUACAAUUUCAGCAAACCACGUCUGUGAAUACGUUCACUCUCAUCAGUCACUGGUUAGUAAACACCUCCACCGUACUAGACUCGUGGCUCCACUACCACCGUCGACUAGAAUUAAUGUAAAGUAUCAUGGGCAGGUGAAAAAAGUGUCAUGAAUUUCUUUCUUCCCUUCAGUUGAGAUUUCUCUAGUGAGAAAUGGAAUCCUAGCAUCUUUGGUUGAUAUAUUUUCUGCUUGACCCUUAAGAACAAAACAAAAUAAUAGGAUAUGCAAUAAUAAUAACUACAUGUCUAAUUGUGUAUCUCUGAUUGACGACUUGAGAUUAGCAGUUGAAUGUUUUCAUUAAUAACUUUCAAUUUUAAUUGUGUAUCUCUUGCUCAAAACUGCGUACAUGUCUGAAAAAUAUAUUUUUACCGAACAAUGUCUCAUUUCUAACUCCAUGAUCUUCUAUGUCUUCAAUUAUUCUUCAUCGUAAUUCCACCUCUUUUUCUUUAGCUCUUCCAUGUCCAUGUUGAUUACAAGUUUAUUGUUUUGGGUAAUAAAAUAGUGUUUCAUUCAAACUUGAUAUUUUGUGAAUUUUUUGUUAUAAAAACUUCAUGAUAUUUACUAUUUUACAUGUAAUAGUUGCUUUUUCAUGAAUAUUUGAAAAUAAUUAAGAAAAUAGAAAAUAGAAUUGAUCUUCGAUCCACGGUUGAACCAUUGACCACACAACCCAUUUCCCAUGUCCGUGGAGAAAACUAUCAAUAGAGGUUGGGGGCUUUUCAUUUGAAGGGUUCUCAAAUUAUCUCGGGCUGGAAAAUUCAUUUAUAUAGCAUUUUUAAUUGGUUUUCGAUAUUAAUUAUUUUCUUUCUUUAAUUUAAAUUUCUAAAUCUAGUUACAUUUAAAGUUAAGGGUGGCAAUGGACCCUAGGCAUUCACAUUAUAUGGCUGACUCAUUUGGGCUUGACCCAUGAGCAAAUUGAGCUCGUUGAACAUUGGUCGUGUGCCAAGUAUGGAUCCAUUUUUGAGAAUUAGUCAGCUAGUGAAUGCUCAGGAGCUCGUCUUUUUGGGCUAGCUCAUGGGUAGGCCUAAAAUAGCCGAUCUAUGAUGCUCAUGAGCAUGCCCAUGAUUUAACAAGUUGUUAAAUUUUUUUGCUACCUUUUUAAUUAUACGCUACUGUUGCAUAGUACGAUUGAAUUAAUCAUACAACAUAUGAAUGGCCCAUUAAAAUUGAAAUUUUUGAUUUUGUAAUUAAUUUUAAAAAAAAAAUUUACUUCUUUUUAAACUAUUUUUCUACUUCAAAUGGUUUCAGAAAUCAUCUAAACAACAUUCCAGAAUUUUUGGUGAUAUAAUUUGAACUUUUGGAAGCGAUCGUCCUCUUCGUCCCUAGUCUCUUGUUUGCUUAUUUUGCUUGGUUUGUUCAAGAAUGUGAUGGCUCAGUUUUGCAUUCAAAAAAAAAUUCUGAAAAUUCGAUUUUUUCUUGCGCAGCAAUGAACAAAUUAAGAAACUUAGUUUUUACCCAGUACAAUGCAUGUUAAAUUUAUUUGCAAUUAAUAUACAUAACCAUAUUAGUUUUAUAGAUAUUUAGUUGCAAAAGCCAACCAGUCUAAGGAAAGACGAGUUAUUAAUAAAGUGAACUUUGGAAGCUGGAUAGGUGGAUCGAAGUCUUACUCAAAAUCAAAAUAAAAAAUAUAAAUAACUAACGUUACAUUACUAAUAAAUAAGUGUGUUAUAAUUGAAUAUAGUAUAUGUAGAACAAAGUUGUUCAGAUUUAAUUUUAUGAUCACUCAAUAUAUUAUAGAGUCUUAAUAUCCAAACAUUUGCUCAUGCAAAUUUAUUCAUCAUUCAUGUCAAGAACGUGUAGAAUAUAUGCAAAUGCGAUUAGAUAGUGUUAAUUAUCGUCAAAUGAAAAUACAUAUUGGAAUUUGUGGACCCGUAGAAUGUAUGGCUAAAAAUUAUAUUUGACUAAUUUAUAUUAUAAUUUAAACUUUGCCAAAUAUGAAUUUAGGGUGAGAACAAGAAAUGAACAGCAAACAUCUUGCUUUUGAGGUCCACACCCAGGAGCAACUGAAUAUGUUUUUAGAAGUUUAGUUAGCAAUCAAAGGCAUUUUUCAAAGUUUAGUGAACAAUUGAAAACAUUAUUCAAAAUUUGGUGAGCAACUGAAGACUUAACAAUUUGUUAAUAGCGUGACGAGAUGUCAUAUGUAUAUUUCGUUAGCUACGUAACUAAUUCCGUUAAAGAAUUAGAAUAGAAGUUAAGGUAGUGAGCAAUGUCCAACGUAAUUUUAAUGAGCAAUCGAAGACUAGACAUACGUUCAAUGACCAUUGGGAGAAAUAACUCCUAAAAUCUUAAAAGAGAUAAAAAUGUAGGAAUUAGAUUACACGUCCCAGGAGGGGGUAUACUAUCCUCACUUGACAAUUUUGAGUCACUCAAAUAAUGAUGGUCGAAUGGUAUAAAAAGUAUAGUUUAUCCUCACCCGAUAUAUAUUCUUUUUUUUUUUUUUUAAUGAGAUUAUUGAAACCCGAUAUUAACAAGGGCUACUAGAGAUAAGGUCGUAGGAUCAAAUUUUAAUUUAAAUCAAAGUCAAAAUUUAAUUUUAAUCAUAUAUGUGGGAUCAAUAACUUUUCAAUCGUACAUUUCAUCGAUCUUUAUAAAAAUUUACUGAAAUUUUGAUUUUAAUCAUCACCAAACAAAGGCUAAGUGAUUUUUCACGAAUCCAGCAAAAUAUAAUAAACUUGUAGAAAUCCUUGUUGAAUAGCAAGAGGGUCGUUUUGCCCGGGAUUUAGUAGAUUUUUGCCUUUAUUUACAUCUUCGGAUAAGAAUUGGGAUUUCCAAAGUGGGAAUAUCAUAAUCACCUUUUUGAACUUUUGCUGAAUUUUCUACAUUUGCUUUGUUGACGCAAAAAGCAUACGAAAUUAUAAGACAGAGGGAGAGUAUGAACCUUUGCUUUGUGUUUUUUUUUCGAAAAAUUGAAACAUUCACGCUUAUUAAUCUCUCUCUCUCUCUCUCUCUCUCUCUGCGCUUCGCUCAAACCAACAAUACUUGAUGGAUUUCUCUUACAAAAUAGAAAAGCUGUCAUAUCUAAUCAAAAGCCCAGAUCUCCUUUCCCAUAUGCAAGAUUUAAAGCUUGAUGGGGGAAAAAUUGUUAGCUUUCAGUGGCUCGGGCCACAUUUUUUAGCUUUUCUCAAACACGUAGAAUACUCGAUUUCUGAGUUCAGGAGAAUUAAGGAUCUGUUGGAGGAUCUUGAUGAGUCAGCCUUAAAUUGCAUCAUAUAUGGAGAGAAUGAACAUUACAAUGAUUUUUUAGAAAUCAUUAUCUCUUUCAUGCCACAGACUAGAGAGUUCUUCACAAGUUCACUCCUGGUGCUUAAACGUGAUAUAUUCUUCCGUUCCCGCAGAAUCUUCUUCCUUCUUGACUUUAUUGGUUCAUUGCUUAAUUGUGGAACGGAUUCCAAUCUUCUUGUGAGUAAUCAAGUCAAAGUUCUUCUGAAGGAGCUGAAAUUUCUGUUCUUUUUGUAUGUAGAUAUAAAGCGAUGCAGGGAGGGAGAACAUGAAGAGUUAGGUGAAGUAAUUAGUGCAAUGGGAAAACAGGUGUACAACAUUUUCAUAGAAUUUGAAGAUGUAUGUAAAGAUGCGGGACUUUUCUUGCAUUCAUUCUUUUUCACCACAGACCUUGUUACGAUGACCAAAAUGGAUCUGACAAUUUCUGCUCUGUUAGAAAGAAUUGAGAUUGUGAAAGUGAAGUUCAAAUAUUUCUGCAUUAGAGUCUCCAUGAAGAUGAAUUGUGGUAUUGGAAGCCUUCAAAUUGCAGAAAGUCCCAGUGAAGUAUCAUCAUCCCAAGAUAAAAACAUUCCCACGGUAGAUGAGAUGAUUGUGGGCUUAGAGGACAUGGCAACAGAAGUUACAAGCAAGCUUCUUGGAGGACCGAGCUACCGCCAGAUUAUUUCCAUAGUUGGAAUGGGUGGACUUGGCAAGACCACCUUAGCAAAGAAAAUAUACAAUGAUUCCAAUGUUCGGGAAUACUUUGAUAAUCUUUCUUGGUGUGUUGUUUCUCAAACUUACCAAAAGAGAAAGCUGUUGGUUGACAUUUUGAGAUCCUUGGGUAACCUAAAGAGCCACGAAGACAAGAAAGAUGAAGAGUUGGCCGAACGUAUUUACAAAUCUUUAAUCGGUACAAGAUACCUCAUUGUUAUAGACGAUCUAUGGGAUAUCCGUGCAUGGGAUGAUUUGAGAAGGUACUUUCCAGAUGACAAGAUUAACGGAAGCAGAGUAUUGUUCACUAGUCGGUUGAAAAAUGUAGCAUUAGAAAUUUCACAUGUUAUCAUUGAACCUCUUCCCUUGUCACCAAGUGAAAGUUGGAAGUUACUAGAGCAGAACGUGUUCAAGAACGAACUUUACCCUCAGGAACUACAAGACAUUGGAAAGAAAAUUGCAACAUGUUGUCGUGGACUCCCGCUCUCAAUCGUCAUGAUCGCUGGAGUUCUUUCAAAUAUGGAGAAAAGUGAAAGCUUAUGGCAAAAAGUUGCAGAAAGUUUAAGUUCUUACAUUUCCCAAAAAGCCGAUGAAUACAUUCCCAUAUUGAAACUUAGUUACAUGCAUUUACCAAAUCACUUGAAGCCAUGUUUCCAGUAUCUUAGUGUAUACAAGGAAGACGAGGAAAUUCGAGUUCGGAAGUUGUUAUUACUAUGGAUUGCUGAAGGAUUCAUAGAGAAAAAGGAGCACAAGAGCUUAGAAGAUGUAGCAGAGGAGUAUCUAAUGGAACUUAUUAACAGGAGUCUGCUACAAGUUUCCCAAAGAAGCUUUGACAAUGGAGUAAAAGCAUGUAGACUUCAUGAUCUAGUACUUGAUAUGUGCAGGAAAAUCGUUGAAGAAGAAAAAUUUCUGUUUCAACAGUAAGUUAACCUCCUCUCUUUCUAAUUCUUUCUCAUUUUACUUAUUUUUUUUUAUUAUUUUUUUUUCAAAUUUAGCCCACUAAUUUGUGGUAUCAUGUCAAUGAUGUUGCUGAUGCUGAUGGCGGUGCUGAUGCUGGUUGAUGCGUUUGUAAAUGAUGAUGAUCCUCCAUGUUCUUACUAUGCUAAUUCUUUAGUCAAUUCUUGGUAUCUAAGCAUUGUCAUCGAUUGUUUAUGGAUUGGUCUCAUCAUCUCUCAGAGGACUUACCCACUUUUUACAAUUCGGAAAUUAAGAUCUUUGAUGGACUGUUUAAAGAGGAAAACAGUAUUACUAUUAUGCCUGACUUGAGGUAUUUGAAUAUUUACACAUUAUAUUUUAUUUCAUAUAGCAGUCUCCAGAACCUAGAAUUUCUUCGUGCGAGGAAAGUGGUUUCUAUUGACGCAUACCUUCUCAAUAUGCCUAAGUUGAGACAUUUACAUGUUGGAUGGUCAGAUCACUAUCAUCAUCUCCCGACGAAGUAUUAUAGCUCAGAUACCUCCCGAAUAAGUAGCCUACAAACCCUUCGUUAUGUUUAUAUUGACGAUUCGGAAAGUGAAGAAAUCUUGAGAAGUUUACCAAAUCUUCGUGAGCUUAAAUGUACAUCUCCAAACAAUUUUUUUCCAAAUCUCAGCUCUCUUACUCAGCUUGAAUCACUCACAAUGGCUUUUAAUAGUAGUUUCGAAGGUGAUUACUCACUGAUUAACUUCCCCAUGAAUAUAAAAAAGCUUGCUCUUUCUAAAUUGGCUUUGCCUUUGGAAAAGAUGUCAUUAAUUGGGACAUUGCCCGACCUGGAGAUUUUGAAAUUAGAUGAAGCCUUUGAAGGAGAAAUCUGGAACACAAAGGAGGAUGAGUUCCAAAAACUCAAAUUCCUUCAAUUAAAAAGGUUAGAUCUUGAACAAUGGAAUUCCUCAAAUGAUCACUUCCCUGUGCUCAAAAAACUGUUGUUGUUUGGAUGCAAAAAAUUGGACAUGAUUCCUUCUGAAUUUAGCAACAUUCUAACACUACAGAAGAUUGAGGCAUAUCGUUGUGGCAAAAAUGUUGGAAGUUCAGCUUUGCAAAUUCGAGAAGUACAACUGGAGUAUGGUAACGAAGACUUUGAGGUGACCAUCAGUAAUUGAUCAUUAUACUAACUUUUUUUUUUUCUUUUUUUUUUUUUUUUGGGAAAUAUCACGGCAGGAGAUUCCUUGACAUCUAGCACCCAUGUGGUGAGAAAAAUGAUACAACUCCCUGCUCCAUGUCAAUUGUUAGUUGUUGUUCUUAUUCAUAGUAUUUUCUUUGUAAUGAACAUGAAGUUUCGA
rnacentral:lncRNA from 1 species